rnacentral:lncRNA from 1 species
GGGAAAGAAAUUCUUAUUUGUGUUGGAUGACCUAUGGAAUGAGAAAUAUGGUGAUUGGAAACGCCUCCAAACUCCUUUUACUUCUGGGGCAAGGGGAAGUAAAGUCAUUGUAACAACACGGAGCCAACAUGUAGUAUCUGUCCUGCAAAGUGUUCAUGUUCAUCACUUGGAACCCUUGUCGCACGAAGAUUGCUGGUUCUUACUUGCAAAACAUGCAUUUGGAAAUGAAAAUUGCAGUGAUCCAAACUUGGAAGAAAUUGGCAAGAAAAUUGCACACAAGUUCAAUGGGUUGCCUUUAGCUGCAGAAACACUUGGGGGUUUGUUACGUUGCAAUAUAGAUUCAGAGGAAUGGAAUACAAUACUAAAUAGCAGUAUUUGGGAGCUACCCUAUGAUAAAUGUGACAUUCUUCCGGCUCUUGGGUUGAGUUACCAUUAUCUCUCCUCCCAGUUAAAACGAUGCUUUGUUUAUUGUUCAAUUUUUCCAAAGGAUUAUGAGUUUAAAAAGGAAGAUAUAGUUCAAUUUUGGAUCGCAGAAGGUUUAAUUCCAAAAGCUGAGAAUGGAAAGAGCAUAGAAGCGGUAGCUAGAAAAUACUUUGAUGAGCUGUUGGCACGAUCGCUAUUUCAAAAGUCAAGCAAAUCCGGUUUCACAAUGCAUGAUCUCAUUAAUGACUUGGCCAUGUUCAUGUGUAAGGCAUUUUGCCUUAGGCUAGAAGGGGGGGAAUCACAUGACGUAGAAAAAGUUCGGCAUUUUUCAUAUGCUAUAGAAAGAUUUGAUGCAGCUCCAAAAUUUAAGCCAUUACAUGGGGCUAAGUUUAUGCGGACCUUUCUACAAGAUUUGUUGCCAUCACUAAGAUGUUUACGGGUGUUAUCAUUGUCACGUUAUCAAAAUGUUACUGUGUUACCUGAUUCUAUUGCAAACCUCAUUCACUUGCGCUACUUGGAUCUUUCCCAUACCGCUAUUGUUUCUCUCUCCUUGAAUUGCCUACAGACAUUAGAAAAUUGAUUAAUUUACAGAAACUGACGUUGAGAGGUUGUACGUCUCUUAAUAAAUUGCCUGCAGGCAUGAAGGAGUUGACUAAUUUGCAUCAUCUUGAUGUCAGUGGAACUAAAAUUGAAGAGAUGCCGGUGCAAAUGGGUAGAUUGAAAAGUUUGAGAACAUUGACUGCAUUUGUUGUGGGCAAAUCUACUGGGUCAGGCAUAAGAGAACUGAGGGAGUUCCCGCAACUUCAAGGAAAACUAUCAAUUUUGAAGCUACAAAAUGUAGUUGAUGCGAGGGAUGCACUGCACGCCAAUAUGAAGCACAAGAAAGAUCUCAAGGAGUUAGAGUUUUCAUGGGGUACGGAGGAUGCUGAUGAUUCCCAAAAGGAGAAAGAUGUACUCGACAAGCUCCAGCCUUGCAUGAAUUUGGAGAAAUUAACCAUCGGAUUUUAUGGUGGAACCAAUUUUCCGAAUUGGUUAGGAGACUCGUCUUUUUCUAACAUACGAGUCAUGCAUCUCAGUGACUGUAGUUAUUGUUGGUUGCUCCCACCAGUUGGACGGCUACCGGCACUCAAAGAGCUCUGUAUAGAAAGAAUGAAGUCUUUGAGGACGAUUGGCGUUGAAUUCUAUGACAGAGAUGGAGCUUAUCUGACUCAGCCAUUUCGAUCUCUGGAGAAGCUAGAGUUUAGGGAGAUGCCGGAGUGGGAGGAAUGGGUACCAAGUGGAAGUGCAAGUGGAGGUGAAUAUGGUCCAGACUUUCCUCGUCUCCAGGAGCUGAUUCUAAACGAGUGUCCGAAGCUAAGAGGAAGUUUGCCUUGUGAGUUGCCUUGCUUGAAGAAGCUUACGGUGUAUGGGUGUGAGGUUUUACAUGAUGGAAGGGCGGCUACCGCAACUACCAAUAGUCUUAACUAUAAAUCUCUGGAAGAAUUGGAUAUACAUGGUGGAUGCCAAACUCUGUUAUCAUUAUUAGAGACAAAGCUCCUGUCCCGACUUGACAGACAGUGCUUGCCCAACUGCAAUCGUCUUCAAAGUUUGACUCUUUCGAAUUGUCCAACGCUGUCGUCGUUUCCUAAAGAUGGCCUACCCAGUACGUUGACAUCACUUGAUAUAAACAAUUGUAGGAAAUUAGAAUUCCUACCUCAUGAGAUGUUGGCCAAAUUAACAUCGCUUGACUAUUUGUGCGUACAAAAUAGCUGUGAUUCAAUGAGGUCCUUCCCGUUGGGCAUUUUUCCCAAAUUGACGACGCUUCAAAUUCGUGGUUGUGAGAAUCUGGAAUCUUUUUCCUUGAUUGAAGAAGAAGGAGCUGUUGAGAAUCUUAGCCAUCUCAAUGACUUGCAAGUCUCUAAAUGUCCAAAAAUGGUGUGUUUUCACGAGGGAGAAUUGCCCACUCCCAACCUGAGUCACUUUGUAGUCAGUGAUUGCGAGAAUUUGAAGUCAUUGCCCGAACGCCUUCACACCCUCACAGCCCUUCGAUAUUUGUCGAUAUGGAAUCUUCCGAAUCUGGAGUCAUUUGCAGAAGAUGGGGGUUUGCCUCCCAACCUCCGAUCUUUUAGCAUUUGGAAUUGUAAGAGACUGAGGGCUUCAUCAGUGGGAGAGUACUGGGGUUUGCAAGCACUUGACUCCCUUGAGAUCGAUGGAAGUGACCAUGUCUUGGAGACGUUGCUGUUCCCUGCCACUCUUCACACUCUCCGCAUCUCUGAUCUAUCAACUCUGAAAUCUUUGGACGGAAAGGGUCUUGGACACCUCACUUCUCUUCAAAAGCUAGAAAUUGACAGCUGUCCAAGUCUGGAAUUACUGCCAGGAGAGGAACUUCAACACCUCACUUCUCUUCAAACUCUAAUUAUUAGUUCGUGUGGCAGUCUCCAAUGCCUGCCAGAAGAGGAUUUGCCGUCAUCUCUUUCUCAUCUGAGUAUCUGGCGGUGUCCUCCCCUGGAGAAAAGGUAUAAGAAUAAGACGGGACAAGAUUGGGCAAAGAUAUCUCACAUUCCUUGCAUCAAGAUAGGAUACGAACUGAUCAUAUAAUAUGAGCUAUUCCAUAUUUCAUGCUCAACCCUCAACUCUCAAAUCAAAGUCAGGUGAGGUGUGUGCCUUCUCUUACUUUAAAAAACUGCUUCUCUUCUUCUAAUUGAAUACAAAAACCAAAACACAUAUUCUCUUUCUCUUCCAAAAACCCAAAUACAUGUUGGACAUUGCCCAAAUUUGAUCUCCAAAUUCCUAAUUAUUUCACGCUUUUUGUUAUUUUAUGGUUGCUGGUCACAAAUUAUAUCCUACUUGGAGUAUCAAAUGCUGAAUAAUUAGCAGUCUUUUUGCAGGACGACAUACCUUCUCUUGGCCCUUGGGGAGCUUUUCAAAAUUUGCAAGGUUUCUUUAUGUGGCAUUUCCAGAGGAGGGUCACAGGGCGGAGAAACAGAAAAGGUUUACCUGGAAUAUCUCAUACAUUCCUGCAUGUAGGCAUCAAAUGUACACCAUUUUUAGGUACUUUUAUAUGAAAAAAAUUGUAUUUGAGUCUCAUUUGCACUAGUUUAAAUCAAAUUUAAUGCCUAUGGAUAGUCUAUUAAUAGGUUCAUGCCAUGAAUUAAUCUUUGGACUUUCCCAGGUACUGCAGGUUUGUUAUUAAUGUUGUGGCUAGGUUGUCUUACGUUGAGGAGAGAGAUCGAUCAGCAAUUACAAAAUUGUUAGCGAAUUUAGUUUGUUUAUCAUCUCUCUCCUUUUGUUUGUUAAGUUUUGUUGUUCUAGGUUAAACCCUUGUCCCCGCAUUUCACAGCAACUCUGUGUUAUUCCACUCUGUUUAGAUUUCAUUUAUGUUGUGAUUCGACUGCUGCUGUAUUUUAGAUUUCGUUCAUGUAAUGUUAGGAUGUUUAAUCUCUGAUCUGUGGUGGUAGUUGAGUAGUUGAGUAGUCUAGUUAAUCCAGUAGAUAACUUGUCCCCUGUUUUGUAUUGUUUUUAUUUCUCUGGUAAUGAAAGCACGUUUCUUAUAAAUAAAUAAAAAAUAUUUCAUUGAUAUUCAUUGCUUAUUUUGAACUGCAGAAGCCUACUUUUGUCAGAGUCAGUAGAUGCCAGAAUGAAGUCAUUGCCUAAACACAUUGGCACCCUCACAGCCUUCGACAUUUUGGGAUAUAUGAUCUUCAAAAUCUUGUGUCAUUUGCCUCCCAACCUGCAAUAUUUUCAUAUUUUAAAUUGUGACAGACUGAGCCCUUUGGUGGGAGAUUACUGGGGUUUGCAAGGACUUGGUGGCAAUAUCUUGUAGACGUUUCUCAAGGAACAGCUGCUCAAUGCCACUCUUCGCACUCUAUAUAUUAUGGCCUGUCAGUCUAAAAUUCCUGCCAGGAGAGGAACUUGAACGCCUCUCUUCACUGCAAAGGCUACAUAUUUGUGGGUGUGACAAUACCCAAUUCCUGCCAGAAGAGCGUUUGCUGCCAUCUCUUUCUUAUCUGUGCAUCGACCAUUGUUUUGCCAUGUAGAAAAGGUAUCUCACAUUCCUUGCGUCAAGAUAGGUGAAGAAGUGAUCAUAAGGUAUGAGCUCUCUCUCCCUCUCGCUCACAUACAAAGUACUUAAACACUCAAUCUGAUUUCUAUUAUUAUUUUGCUCAGUAAAUUUUGUUUAAAUUUGCUUUAUUUCUCAUUGCGCUUGUUCUGCUUAUCACAACUUAUAUCCUAUUUAAAUCUCAAAUGCUGAAUAAUUAGCAGGCUUUUCGCAGGACAACAUAUCUUCUCUUGGAGAGAUAUUCAUUUGCAAGGUUUCUUUAUGUGUCAUUUCCAGAGGAGGGUUUACUAUUUAAUAGAAAGGUUCACCUGGAAUAUCUCAACUGACACAUUCCCAAAUACAAGCAUUGAAUGCACAACAUUUUGAGGUACUAUUUUUGUAAUAAAAAUGUACUUGAGUCUCAUUUGAGCUAGUUUAAAUUGUAUUCAAUGUCUAUGGAUAACCUGUGAGCUUAAGUAGUAAGAUAAAACUCACAGUAUAUUAUUAGGGUUUAGGGUUCAACAGGUGAGCUUUAGUUGUACUUUCCUAGGUACUGCAUGUAUAUUAUCUUCGUAUCAACAGGUGGUCUUAUGUGGACGAGCGAGAACAUUGAGGAAUUACAAAAUCUUCUUAGCUUGUUUCAGCUCUGUUUGUCAUCCCUCACAUUUUCUUUGUUAAGCCUUGAUUUUUUAUUAGACAUAAGAAAAAAUGCUUUUAUAAGACAGGAGAUGAAUGCUUUUAUAUGUUGAUGUCAUAGUCAGUCUUCAACCACACUCUGUUUUUAGAAUUCAUUUAUGUUACAAGUGGAGUGCUGCUGUAUUUUAUAUUUCGUUCCUGUAAUGUUUGGAUGUUUAGCUUGAGUAGUCUAGCUUAUCCAGUAGAUAACUUGUCCCCUGUUUUGUAAUGUUUUUGUUUCCUCUAAUGAAAGCAGGUUUUACUUAUCUUGAAUUGCAGAAGCCUACUUUUUGACAUAGGUGGCAUGGCACAAACUCGCAUCCGCAUUUCCUUCCCCAUUGGCAUGCUGUCUCAUCUUUUCUAUUCUGUUACCAGCUUGAAGCUUGUGUAGACAUGUUAUGCUCUUGUAAUUCUGAUCACAAACAUCACUUGACAAAUGGAAAGUCACAAUCAGAUCUUUCAGGUGAUCUGGAGGUUUACUUUCUAACAUUUGUUUUCGUGGGGGGGGGGGGGGAGGACAACAAUACAGAAUUUAAAAUUUCUGAUAAUCAAUAGUAGUUUGCAUAUAUCAGCUGGGACCUGUAUGACUGUAUUAUGUAAUUAAUUAUUCUCUUAUUGUUUUGGUACUGUUAAAAGGAGUUAGCCACACAAAAUAAAAAAGGAGGCCUCUUAUUUCAUACUAAUCGUCUGGUCCAUCUGCUGCUUCACUCCCUAGUAGCUUCAUCUCCUGUCCUUUGCUUUAUUUCUGUUAUUUAUUUUGAUUUCAUGUCCAUUGCUUCAUUUCUGUUUGGAUUCUUAAUUAAAUCUGUCCUGGACUUGAACAAGGGUUAGGUUAGCUGUAUAAUUUGCGGUUUUAUAUACACAACUGUCUACAUUGAUUAAAACCAGCAUUAUUCUAAGGUUCAUUUAGAAUGUAUUAUCACCAAAAUUAUAAAGUAUACUUCUAUUACAAUUAAUUUGUUGAUUCUAAUUUGGACUUGUAGGAACAGACCAAACAUGUUCAUAUGUGGCAUUGCUCAAGUCAUCAUCAUUCGGGACAGAGAAUAAGCCUUCAAAUGUCUGCUGAGUCAAUGAACCUUUCUAGAUAUCUCAAGUGUAAUGGAAAUUGAUGAGUUACAAAGGAUUUGUAAACAUUUUCUACUGGAGGCUAGAAAUGCUUCAAAUAAAUGACUGUGUUGCAAUUAUUUUGUAGGAUCAAAGACUCUGCAAAGAGGUAAGAAAGUCAUCAUCAAAUAACUUUGCUCUUCAAACUUUUUAUUUUUAUUUUUAAAUAUCAGUAAUAACUGGGAAAGCUUGCAUCUCCUUAAAUUGCUCAUUCUUACAUCUUUUAUAGUUUGUUGAUCUUGGGCAAGUGGAGAGAGAGGCGUCAAGUGAUACACAACAACCAUUUUCUGUGAGCUGAUUUGAUAAAGAGAAAUGGUAUGCUUUCUUGUCUUAAGCGGUGUGUUCUGCAAUUAUUUGAAACAAAGGAUGCCGCACUUCAAGUUCGAGAAAAUCAGGUAUUUUAGUAUUUUAUUCUUGAGAAAUUUGAUUUAUGUAGAAACUUGAACAUGUAAAUGAGAGAAAUAUAUAUAUAUAUAUAUUAUAUAUUGUAUAUGCUGUUAAUGAGUUAAUAUGGUGCUUGCUCCUAGUUGGAAAUUUAUGUAGUCAUCUACCUAUGAUCAAAUAAAGAUGAAAAAUAAAAUAAAAUUGAGAGCAUCUUCCUCUCCCCUGCUUUGCUCAUCCCUUGUUCUUCCACUUCAGCCCCACUAUUACACCAUUUUUUCAGCCACAAUUAUAAUAGCUCCAUGAGCAUAUUAACAUCAGUGGCCACAGUUCCAUGAUUUGAGUGCACAGAAAGGUUUCAAAAAUUGUCCCAAAAGUACAGUCGUUCAAAGUGAAAGAGAGUUUUCAAAGCUUAAUUACAAGUUCAUGUUAUUUACAAUAGCAAAAAGCUUUCAUUCUUGCUUACAAACUUGUAUUUCCAAGUUCUGUAAACCUUGGAAUUUCACUUCAUCCAAAUCCCCUUCCAAAGCAGGAAAAAAUGGCAGCAGCUUUGAUUGGAGAGGCUCUCAUCUCUGCUUCUAUCGAGGUGUUGUGUGACAGAGUUACUUCAGCCGAGUUCAUAGACUUAUUUCAGCAGAAGAACUUGAUGAAACACUCCUCAUGAACCUGAAGACAACACUGUUGAUUUUGUUUGCGGUGCUCAAUGAUGCAGAGGAGAAGCAAAUUGUGAACCCUGCUGUGAGAGAGUGGCUUAACAGCUCAAGCAUGCUGUCUUUGAUGCAGAGGACUUAUUUGAUGAGAUUGACACUGAAGCUUUGCGAUGCAAGCUGGAAGGUGAGGAUCAAACCCACAAUAGUUAACCAACAAGGAUCUUUUUGAUUGUUUGAAAGAAGAGUCUUUGAUGAUUUGAAAGGAGAGGGUUGCUUUAUUUCUGUUGGAUGCGUAAUUAAAUCUUAUUUGGAGUUGAACAAGGAUUAGAUUAGCUGUAUAAUUAGUGGUAAACGCCUUUUUCUAAGGGUCAUUUAGACUCCUAUUACGAUUAAUUUGUUGUUUCUAAUUUGGACUUAUAGGAACAGACCAAAUAUGUUCACACGUGGCAUCGCUCAAGUCAUCAUCAUUUCAGACUGAAAAUCAGCCUUCAAGUGUCUGUUGAGCCAAUAAACCUUUCUAGAUAUAUCAAGUGCAAUGGAAAUUCAUGAGUUACAUAGAGAUUUGUAAACAUUUUGAAGAUUGCAACACCUGCAAGUGAGAUAGGCGGUGACGAAAUCAGAGCUGAUUUUGAAGCCUCUGAUGCCCCUGUUGUUGCAAGUUGCACCUGAGAACAUGUUUUUUUUUUCUUUGGGGUAAAAAAACUGGCAACAUGUUCGGAGCUGACAAUUCAAUCCCUGAUGAACUAGAGAAGCGAAGCUCCGGUAAGGAAUUGGUCAAGGUUGUGACAGGGAUGAUUGAUGGUGAAAUGGAUGCUAUUUCUUAUUGCAGCCUGUUCUCAAAGUUCUUGUUGGCAAAUGCAAGAGAUGGAGUAUUUUGAUUGGGAGGAGAUAUAAUGACAUGGCUUGACAAUUCUAGAACAGCCCAUCAUUAAUCCCAGAAAAAAUCCAGUUUCUGCUAAACAAUCACUUAUGGCAAGGCCAACUCUGUAAAUGGAAUUUGUGAUCCCUUGAAAUUGUACACAUUUUUUCUUUUUGAGGAAUUUAAUCAAACAGUAUUCUAAUGUAUUAUGAUAGCACUACACGCUUUUGUUGUAACAAAUUACAAGGAGGAAUUUGGAUUGAGUUUCUUGUAUAAGCACACCUUACACAAAUUUGGUAUAUUUUCUUCCAGCAAGUCUGUUUAUUAACCCCCUUAUCUGAAAUUAAUUGUUAAAAGUUUUGAUUCAUCUUUAAUCAGUGUCUAACCCUUGUUGAAUAACACUCCUCUUUCUAAUUUAUAUUUGAAGUUUGAGGUUUCAAUUUCAAUUGUGGGCUUUGAUUUUACAGAUUUUGUUUGUCAAUUUCAGUUUGGACAAAGCAUAUGCAAACAAAAUAAGCAUUUUAUGUUAUACUUUUGAAAUAGGUGUUGAUUUGAUUUAAUCAUAAGUUUUGCUGGUGCAUUUACUAGGCUAUCAUUCAAUACUUUUGAUCAUAGAACUUCUUUGGUCGAUAUUAUCUUUGUUAAGUUUAACCAUAAAUUUAGAGAGGGGACUUCAACAGAUUUAUAAUCUCAUCAUUAUAGUAUUAAAAAUUAGAGAUUAAGGCAUUGUCUAUUAUCUGAAUUCUGCUUACUUUUAGUUCAUAUGUUUACAUCUUAGCAUAUUCAUGCGAUUAGUGCGGCUCAUACCACAAAGGCAACUUUAGGCUCAUCAAGUGCUAAGCAAUGUCAAGCUUCCAAGUGACAAGUUCUCUACAUAGUUUGAGACCUACACUUACUAGAUAUUAGAUCAUUUCGAUCAUUUCCAUAUGUUUAUAUGUAAUUGACAUGUUAUAACAAUUUUUGUAGCGUUAUAUAAUUAUUUAGCAAUUUAAUUAUUUCUUUGCAUCAAGAAAUAGUUCUUAAGUUAUUAAAAAAAAAAAAAAAGAUUUAAAAAAAAAGAUUUGUUGAUGCUUAAAAAGCAUCAAGAACAGGUAGUUUCUUGACGGUUUAGUGACGUUUCAUAACUGUAGGAGGCUUUUUCUUCCGACAGCUGUAAAUGGGCUGGGUUGCCGUAAAGGGCAGACUGAUGAAAUUGUCCCCUUUUGUCUGAGCUAGAAAAUUAAGCCCCAAAAUACUUCGAAAGGGCAGCAGAGCCUUAGGAAGUAUUUUGGUUACCCUCACCAACUAAAACAACAACAACUUACAGGUAAUUUCUUAAUGCUUACAGAUGAACUCUUGAGCUUGGCAUGAGAGACAUGUGGCAUGGAAGCAAAAUCAACAUGAGUUUAGCACUGAGGGGAAAUUUAGGCUCUCUUGGGGGAAAAAGGGAAGUGUUAAGGUGAGAGAGGAGAAGUUUGUAGGAGAUUUAGCUAAGAAAGGAGAAAUAUAGAACAAUGCUCUUCUGGCAGCUUGACAGAUGCUCUGUCUGCCAGAAAAGGAAGAUGGAGAAGAAAUGUGAAUAGUGCACGAGUUUGCUAGAUUUUUGCAGGUAAGAGAGGAAGCUUGCUCUCUGGGUCUGAGUUGAGUUUUGUUAGGUGGAAGAGACCUCAUUUUAUAGCUCCUGGAAACCAUCACUUCCCAAGAAACCCUAAUGGCUUCUACCCAUUUUGGCCAAGCUUUUCCAUUCCUUUCUCAUUUCCUUCCUUGACUUUACCCCUCUUGAUGAAAUCCUCUCUACCUAUUUGCACCAGAUCAGAGUUUUUUGAAGCUUAAGGCCCCCUUUUCCCGCAGUUGUCUCAAUGGGAGACUUUCAUUCCUAGUCAUUUCCUUUAUUGCUUUCCUUUCUUUUUUUCAUGGCCAAGUCUGGUGGGGAAAGGAGUUGGGAUAAAUAUGCUAGUUUGAAGGGUGCUUCUCUUCUUGGCAUCUUACACACUAAUACCCCUUGGUUCCUUGAAUGUUUUGGCUUUGAAACUUGCUCCCCUCCAUGUAUUGGAACCUCCCAGCAGCCCUGGUCAAUGAAUCUUCAGACCUUCUCUUCGUGGCUUUUAUUUUUUUAUCAACUGGCUAGGGCUUUUGUGGCUCAUUGGGGCAAUUGUAUGGGCUAAGGUGGUUCAUUAAGUAAGUGGGCUAUUUUUAUUAAACAUUGAGCUUUUUGGUUGAGUCACUAGGCUAUUUUGAUUGGGCUAUUGGGCUAUUGUUUCCUCUCUUGUGCUCACCCACAUGUUUGGACCAAAGAAAUGAGCUUGAGUCCUGAGGCUCCCAAGCGACCCGAGACUUUCCAUUUAUCGGUCCAUCAAUGGGCCUCAUGUUGAUUUAUUACCAUCCAUACCACACCCCACUCAAGCAAGCCCCGGGCAUUUGAGUGGCUUGGGCCCACUUAGGCUUGUAGUGUGGUUGGGUGCAAAAUAACGAUUUCGUGCUUGGCAUGUUUUAAUUUUAUCAUCCAUGGGAAAGGCUGCGAUGUUUGAUUUCGGCAUGGGCUUGUAGAGCUGGUAUGCUUUAUUUCAACUCCUAGCAUGACGAAUUAUUUAUUUAGCAUGGCACGUGAAUUACAACUCGCAUGUGGUGGGUUUUUGUGUACUACACCUUACGCCUCUUCUUAAUAGAACAUCGUUUCUGAUAAUUUAUUUGGGCCCAACCGUGAAUUUUUUGGAUCUCAAUAAUAACCAUCAUGAAACAUUACAUUUUGACUGACAUCAAGAAAUGGGGUAUCCCUUUCUUGAUAGUGGCAUCCAUGAUGCCUUCCAAGCCGUCAAUUAAGGGCUAUCGCGAUGCAUUUUAGUUGUCAGCAAAAGGUGUUUUUCUUGUACUAUAUUCACUCAAAAUCGUGUUUCAUUUAAGAUUAGUAGUAUGGUUGAAUACCAUUUGUUUUGUUAAAGAAUAUUAUACAUUAGGGAUUUUUGUAGAAAUGUCAUUUGAACUUAUACCUUAGUUUCAAUUUGUCACCUUGAAGAAAAAUUUAAGAGAAAUAUCACCUUAAUUUUUUAAAAUCCAUGAUUUGUCAUAUGACUUUAAGAUCAUCCAAUUUUCCAUCCAUUUUAAGGGUAUUUUAGACUUUUCAUUUUCAAGGAAAAAAAAGAGAUGAAAAAAGAGACCUCUCUCUUACUUUGUCCCCCAACCCAACCCCACCCGCCCCCAAAAACACAUCACAUAGGAUUGCCUCCCCCUUCCCCACUUUUCUUUUUUCUUUUUGUCAUACUUUUCCACUGUGUUUAUGUUGAAGGAUCUAAAGUUUGCUUGGUCACCAUCUUUUACGUAGGCUUCCUAAUUGUUGGUUUGGGUGGGUUGUGGGAAUUUGUGUGUGGAGGGCAAGGCUCUAUCUGACAGGACCCACCUCGAAUUCCUCGAAACCCGAGACGAAUCUUGUAGAAUUUCCGACAUCACACCGAUGCCGGGUCCACUUCUGAACUAAAUCCUCUUUUCCAAAAUUAAGGAAAAAUAGUACGAGGCUUUCUGCCAAAAUUUCGGCAGUCUUCCCUAUAAAUUUAACGUUUCAGCUUUGGAGGCCGUUCUUUCAUUUCUGCUUUGGUGGCCGGAUGAGAGAACGGCCGGCUAAAACGUGGCCAGCUGGCACUGCCGUCACGAGAGAGAGAGAGAGAGAGAGAGAGAGAGAGAGAGAGAGAGAGAGAGAGAGAGAGAGAGAGAGAGAGAGAGAGAUGUUUAUCAAACCAUUUUUGCCAAAAUUACGAUUAUGCAACUGAGGGUAUUUUGAUCGUAUCUUUUUCGUUAUAACUCCGAUUCAAGCCCACUACAUAUCUACGGACUCAUCUCGCCGUGCUCUAUGCAAUUGUAUAGUUGAAAUUCCCAAAUUCCAUCCCAGUCAAAAAGUCAACUUUAAACCUUAUAAAAUAUUCUAAGGGCAAAAUGGUCUUUUAUCUAAUUAAAUUAAUAAUUGAAAAUUUAUUUAGGACCGGGUCGUUACACUGUCGUUGAUGGACUGUGCGAUGGCACUCACACAAAGUCCUUAAGAAUAAAACACACACACACCAUGAAGAGAGUAAAACAAAUGCACAAAGAUUUAUAAAGGUUUGGCCUCCUGCCUACAUCCUCUUGGUGAUCCACCCGAGAAAUUCACUUGUACGUAAGAACAACUUUGGUUACAACUAAACCCCCUUAGCUUUCAUAAGAACCCUAGAUCUCUUUUCUCCCACCCUUGCUCCAACCCUUUGAUGCCCUUGUAAACACUCAAGAAUUCAUCCUUGAAUUCUAUCAUGUGUUACAUCUUCUCUUCUCCCCUUUGCCAACCUAACCCUACAAGUUAUAUUUAAAAUUCAUUGGACUUUAAGUACAAGUUAACUAGGAAUAGGAAACAUAAAAGACCCCAAAAAUUGGAGAAAAUAUGUCUAGAUCUCAUUAGGAAAUUGCACAACACGUGCGAUCCUCUCGAGCGCCUGCAAAAUCAUCCCUUUGCCGCUCGAGCUGCCGAUAGCUCAUGGGAUGGGGGAAUUAGAAAUUUUUUUUUUUCAAUUUUAAUUGUUUAAAAGAUAUACAAUUUAUUAAUAAUAAUUUUUCCAUUUUUAAAAUACCCUUGAAAAUAGAAAGAUUAAAAUGCCCUUAAAAAUGGAUGGAAAAUUGGAUGGUGUUAAGGUCAGAUGACAAAUCAUGGAUUUUGAAAAAUUAAGGUAACGUUUCUCUUAAAUUUUUCUUUACAGUGACAAAUUGAAAUUGAGGUAUAAGUUCAAGUUACAUUUCUGCAAAAAUUCUUAUACAUUAUGAUAUUCUAACAAUAAUUGGCUAAAAUUGAUAUGUUCCCUCUUUUAUUUUCUUUUUCUCUUUUCCUUUUCAUUUUAUGAUCCAAUCCUUUUCAUAUAUUUUUGUUCAAGACUUUGUUUUAUAAUGCUCUAUUACUAAUUUGGUACAGGUCCCUAAAAUCUCGGAGCCGCCUUAGUACAUUCAUAACGUACAUGUUCAGAGUUCAAGAAUAAUGUAUAGAAUGUGAAAUUGACGAUGCCGGCCUUUAUGAGGCAACAUCUUUAUUUCUUUGGUUAUUCCAGUUUAGAAUAUUUGCACAAAUGAGAUGACUCCAAGCAUAAAGUCACAUUCGACCAAAAAGCAUAAAGUCACACACAAAAAGAACACGGACAAUUGCUAAGUUUAUCCUUGUACCCUUAUUUUAUUGAUCCGACCCAAUUGAAAAAUAAAAAAAGAUGAUAAAAAAUAUUGUUCACUGCUUUAAAAUCUAUGAGUAGAGUCCUCCAUUUGAAAUUUGGUCAUUAUACAAAAUUGGAAUGAAAAAAGAAAAUCCUAAAGCUAUAUUUGAUAUAUUUCAUUUUCAUUUUUUGCUGGGUGUUAGGGCUCGUCAAUGGGCCGGGCCUGGCUAGCCCGGCCCGAAUUUAAUGGGCUUGGGCCAGGCCGGCCCAGGCUUUAAAGAGGAGAGAGAAAAUAUCAGGUCGAGUUUUUUAAGAAAAUUCAAAGCCCAAGCCUGACCCAUGAGCCGGGCUUGAGAAAGCCCAUCGGGCCGGGCCGGGCCUAAACGGGCCCUACUUCAUUCAAAAAAAAUCAUUAACUUAAUCAUAAGGUCAUUUUAGUCCAAAUUUGAGAUUAAACUCACUUAAUUCUAAUAUUUUUACUUCAAACCAAAUUCAUAAAACACCCAAUAAAGUCACACAACUUGUAAGAUUUUCCACAAAAAUAAUAAAACCAAGUAUUAUUUUUGAGGUUAUUACAUAAUUAGAUCGUAAUACGUUUUAAAAAAUAAUUUUUAAAAAUAAUAUUAAUAAGUAUCAAAAAAAUAUUUUUUUAAAGGAUGGUAUGAAUAAAUAUGCAAAUAUUUGGUGAUGUGUUCAAGAAAAGGAUGAUUAUAUUUGGUGGUACGAUUAUGUUUCGUGAUACGAUUAUAUUUAGUGAUGUGAUAUGUUGUUCAUCUUAUAUAUAUAUAUAUAUAUAAUUGUUGAACUAAUAAUUGACACAAAUUAAUGUGUUAAUCAUCCAAUUAUAAACUAGGAGUGAAUAAAGAAAAGUAAAUGAAAUGAAACAAAUUAUAUGUGUGAUUUAAGUGAUAUAAUCCUAAACCUAAACUCUUAUUUAUACAUAAUUAUAUAUGUAUGCGGGCCUAACGGGCCGGACUUUUGUGGGCGUGUCGGGCCGGGCUUUCUUGGGCUUAAUCAGGCUGGACCUAUGGGUCAGGCCGGGCUUCAAACACCCCAACACGAGCCUAGCCUAGCCCGCCUUGGGCCGGGCCAUCUCAAAGCCCAUAACGAGCCGGAUCGGGCUUUUUUCGAUUGGCCGGGCGGGCCCCCUCGACCCAUGAGCCCGCGGGCCAAAUGAUGAGGCCUACUGGGUGUUCAAUUUUUCUUGUUUCUUGUUGAAAAGAAAAAUGAUAAUUAAUAAAAUCUGAUUUGGUGGUUGUGCUCGUCACAAAUCAAUGAAAUGACAGCAGUGAUUUUGCAAGACAGCAUACCUUCUCUUGGGGUGCUUUUCAUUUUGCAACAUUUCUUUACGUGUAAUUUCCAGAGGAGGGUUUAUCAUUGUAUAUAGCUCUUCGGGUGGUUUUUUCUGCAAAACAAAUGUCACAAGGAAGGAGGAGAAACGGAAAAGAUUUACUUGGAAUGUCUCAAGUCUCCUUUGAGAUAAAGGCAUCGAAUGCACAACAUUGUUUUUGUGCUAUUUCAUAAUUAAAGUGUGCUUCCCAAGUCUCCUUUGCGUUUUGUAACUUGUAAUGUUUGUUUUUUUGUUUCCCCUGUUUUGUCUUUUAUAAAAGAAAGAGGAAUGCUAGCAACCUUCUCUCUAAUCUUCUCUUUUGGACCUUCUCCCUUUUCUUUUUGACAAGUGUCAUUUUCCAUACACUUAAAACAAUGACAUUAAUGCAUCACACAAUUUAGUUUUUGUUUUCCAAGUUUACCAUUUUAAAAUGUAUUGGCUUUUAUAUUUCCUUCAAUUAUUCACAUUUUGUUAUAACUUGUUUAGCACAUUAUUUUUUUUAAUUUAAAAAAAGUCAUAUUUUUUAAAAAUAAAAAUAAAGUUUGUUUCAUGACAUUGUUAUCAUUUUUAUUUUGUUUUUAACAAAACACGCAUUCUCUUUGGAAAAAUUAAAAAUUAAAAAACAAUUCAGUUUUUAUUUUCUUAUUUAAUUUUUAACAAGCUAGUAAGAAAGUUAUAAAAAAAAAUUAGCUUGUUAUUAAAAAAAAAUUAAUACAUUUAAUAAGGGUAAAUUUGGAAAACAAAAACUAGUUUGUGUGAUGCAUUAAUGACAUUGUUUUUAGUUUAAGGAAAGUGACACUUGUCAUGAGAAGAAGGGAGAAGGUCCAAAAGAGAAGGUUAGAGAGAAGGUUGUUAGCACUCCCCAUAAAAGAAAUACAGGUCUGAACCACACGGAUCUACUUGCAUAAUAAUGGACCAAAUUUAUGAUUUUUAGAAAGAACCUUCUACUGGUGGAAUCUUGGGCUACUGUUGUGGCUCUCCUCUGUGUGCCUCCUUUUUAGAAUGGUAAAAUAUUCAAAAUACCAGAAAAUGUUCAUGAUUAAUGCAAAUAUUAAGAAUUGAAAUUAUUAAUUAAAUGAAGAUAAUAUGGUAAAUUCACACUUUUUCAUAUUAAAAAAAUUAAAAUUAAAAGAAAUAUCAGAUAAUUACUCUUAUUUUUAUGGAACACAGCUACCCAUUAUCUUUUUUAAUUAUAAAAUAAAUUUAAAUUAUAAAAAAAAAAUCCUCUCACAUGCACGGAAGCGCGUGCUCAGAGGCUAGUUAAAAAUAAUGAACUUUGCUUCUGAUGUCUAUACCAGACCCACUCAACCUGCUUUAUGAUUAUACAAAGAACAAACUCGUCCUUAGACUCAUUUGGUUAAACUUAGAAAAUAAUGAAACAAAAAUAUACACACCCACAAGUAACACAGCCAGGAUUGAAAACAACUGGACAAAGAAAGGCAUGUUAAAACAGAAUUUUCAACAACUCAUCACCAUUAGACAAGAAAAAGAAAAAUCAAUACAGAAACAGAAAGAACAGAGAAUAAAUGUGGUGGAAGAAAAACGUUGAAGCCAUUUGUGAAUCCAACAACACUACCACUCUGUUUCUCUCCUUUUGUUCAGGCGGAUCUGCAUAUAUCCUAAGGCGUAUUACGGAAACAACUUCUUGCCGUUAUACUUGAAUGUUGUGGAUGCUUCAACGUUGCCAUCUGGGUGGAGUGGAUUUGUCCAAUUCACCUUCACUAUGGUUAAUCAACUAGACAGACAUAAGUCAGAAACAAUAGGUAUAUAGGUCCAAAUUGUUGUUAUUUGAAAGGCUUCUAAAUUUUAACAUUUUGAUUUCUAAAUUUUGUUUUAAUAUUUCGGCCCACUUAGUUCUUCUCAAAAUAUGUCAUCAAUAUCGUUGAAAGGUUGAACUUAGUGAAUUAUUAUAGUGCAGUACGGUAAAAUAGGCACAUGAUAUAAUUUGUCCACAUGUUCUAAUAUAAGUGAAUAUUUAUUGAUAUUAUUUUCAAAAAUAAAAAAUAUCAACCAUUACAUCCUCCCAUAUUAUAAUACAUAUACAAAUUAUACCACAUUAUCAUACUCUAAUACCAUUUUAUAAUUUCUCGUACUUAGGAGGUAUAGAGCGAGUCAAUGACAUUACAUAAUAUAUAAUUGUUCAUAUAAUGGGGCAACUAACGUGAUCAACAAGUUGUGGUGAUUAAUUUAACAUAAUAAAAAACAUACCAUUUACUAUGUAACAAUUUGUUCUUUUAAAUUGGAUUGUCAUCACUUUAAUAUGUUAUGUUUCUUAUUCUAGUCUCCCAUGUUAAGUGCUUCAGCAUUGUUUGUGGUGUGUACACAAAUUUUCUUAUAAAAUGUUUUAAUGCUUCUCACAUGUAUAUCAGAUAUAGACAGUUGAUGUGACUUAGAAAUCAAAUUGUCAAUAAAGAAAAAAAAUAUAAUUGGUGAUCGAGGUCCAAUUUAAUAGAAAAUAGUCUUAAUUUGUAUAUUAAAGGUUUCAGAUUCGAAUCCUCACUGCAUUAUUGUUGUAUGCGUACACGAGAAAUUCUAUUUCCCAAUAAUUUAGAUUAUCACUUAUACUAAAAAAAAUAUAUAUAAUAAGUUUUACGAAUGCAAACAUAAAAUUACACCAAACAAUAAUGGAAUAGAAAGAUGGAAGUUUUUUUUUUUUCCUACAUCUAAAGUAUACUUUAUAUAUAUAUUUAUUAUGGGAGUUAUAACCGUUUAAUUUUCAGUUUUUAUUUUCUAUUUAUUGUGUUAAUUUUUAUGGUUUAAUAUGUAUGGAGAUUACAAGUAUUGGAUGUCUAUAAAGGGCCACUCCUCCUUCACAUCUGAAACAAACCACCAUCUCAUUUCUGUAUUUUCAUACUUUCAUAUAUUUUCUACUUUCCAGAUUAUUAUUUUUGGGCAACGGUUUUGUGACUUGGAGAUUUCUAUCCGAUUGUUAACAUGCUCAUAACGGACCUUGAGCUUGCGUAUUGGGGAUCGUAUCUUGGAGCCUUGUAGACCUUUAUUACGUGCAUGUAGGGAGGCUACAAAUGCUUUAGGUCAGCGUCUUUGACGUACUUUUGCUUUCUUUUUUUACUUAUUUCUUCGUUUCUUUAUUUUUACUUUACUUUUAAAUCUUUAUUUUAUGUAUUAUUUAUAUUUAAAAGUUUUGAAUAAGAGUUUUACAGAAAAGGAAAAACACAAUUUCAAAUAACACAAAUUUCUCGUUUUUUGUUCUUAAAAAAGAAGAAGCAUUGAUUGGGGAGUUAUGGUAAACUCAGUUUCAAUGGUUGCGAUGAGAGGCGGUGGCGGCGAGGAGAGGACGAAGGCUUUGCUGCCGACGGGGUGGUGUGGCUGGCUGCUUGGUCCUGGGUUCUCCUUUAAUUCUCUGUUUUCUUUUUUCAUUUUCUUUUUCUCUUAGAGUUAUUGAUGUUAAGUGAAUGGACAGAUGCCAAAAUAGGGACAGAAGAUGUGAACCCAAUUAUAUACAGCUGCUGCUAUAGCUGAUUACAUAAAGUAACAAAUUAAUUAAUGCUUGAGUGGAGGACAGGCUUGAGUGGAAGAAUUGAUUAAGGCUUGAGUGGAAGACAAACUUCAGUGGAGGAAAGUAUAGAUAAGGAAAGCAUGCCUCGUUUAACGGCUUUAUCUAAUAAAGAUUACUUGUUGGCACUUGGAGUUUCUUAGGAAUGCUGGUUUUGUUUCCUUGGUGGACUUGAAAGGUGGUGCCUUGGCUCGGACAUCUCCCAAGACAUACAACUGCUCAUUAGCUGAAUAUCUCGCUCUCUUUAAAGAGAUCGAAGCAAACACAAUUUGCAAUUUGUGUGAUUCAAGCAUGAAUAUCUGAUAUAGUAACUAUACCAUUUGUUGGUUUGAUAAGAAAAGUUUGGUUAGCGAGGAUGAAACCAUAAAGUUCCCAAAACACACAAAGAACACGGACAAUUGCUAAGUUUAUUCUUGAGUUCACACAUAUUUGCACAAAUGAGAUUAUUCCAAGCAUGAUUAUACCAUUUGUUGGUUUGAUGUGAAAAGUAUGGGCAACGAGGGGUAAAACCAUACAAACACACACGAAGAACGUGGACAAUACUAAAUUUAUCUUUACGUUAUUGAUCCGACCUAACUGUAAAAUAAAAAAGAUGAAAAUAUAUAAUGUUCAGUACUUAGAUCUAUGAGCACUUGCACAAAACAUCACUUUUGGUCUUUGGUAAAUUUUUAAAAUAAAUGAAUUUUUUACUUAUUUGUGAACUGAAAUGCCUCUAAAAAAAUAAUGAUAGUUCGAAGAAUUUGAUAGAAAUUAAAAAAUAUCCUCAAAUUACUUGGAAUUGAAGACCACAUAGGCAAAAACACGAAAUUGAAACCUCACUUUAAUGAUAAAAAUGGUAAACUACAAAGACAAAAAUGACGUCUUGCCUUAUAAAUAAUUGGAAUUUGCUGGUGAUAAUAGUCGAUAUCAUCUUUUGUCGGUCCGACCUAAAAAGAAGAAAAAGUUAAAAGCAUCUUGUACCAAUUUUUGCCAAUGUGGGCCCAAACAAUUUGAAGAAGUCCACCGGCAAUUUCUCAAAAGCUAUUGUGUGAGUGUGAAGCUAAACCAAUAUUAUUUUGCAUAUCCGACCCCACAUCCCCAUGUGAUGUGAGGCUACAGAGGUGUUUCCAAAACGAAAUAUGAUAUUUCAAAACGUAGCUAUGUAUAGAGUCAUUUGUAUUUGCUUUCACAAUAACAUUUGAUUUUAUAUUUAUACAUUCUGAUAUUUUAACAAAUAAAUUGACUAAAUUUGGCCAACAGGAUUUAGCCGAAUAGAAAAGUUCUUAUUUAUGGACUAGUAAUUUUAAAUUUAAAAUUUAGACUAUCGCAUGUAUUUAAAAAAAACUAAACAAUUGGCUUAAUUUGAUAUAUUUCCUUUUUUUCCUUUUUGCAUUUUAUGCUGGUUGCCGUUAUUAAGUUUUAUCCUUAUUUUUUGUUGAAAAGAAAAUUGAAAAAAAUAAUAAUAAUUCCUACAGCUAGCAACUUCUCCACCUACAAAAAAUAAUAUUUUUUGUUUUAUCCUCAUGUGAGGCUACAGAAAAUUUUUGAAAACGAAACUGGAUAUUUUAUCUCUAACGACAGCUUUCAUACUUCGUUUACCCUGUGUUUCCAAGUUGUGCUAGCUAUUUGCAAACCUUGGAAUAUUACUUCAUCCAAAUCCCUUGCAGAGAAAAGAAAGAUAUGGCUUUGAUCGGAGAGGCCCUCAUCUCUGCUACCAUCCAGACGUUGUGUGACAAAAUUGCUUCGCCUGAGUUCACCGACUUAUUUCGGCAGAAAAAGCUCGAUGAACAACUCCUCAACAAGCUGAAGACGACGCUGUUGACCUUGUCCGUAGUGCUUAAUGAUGCAGAGGAGAAGCAAAUUGAGGAACCUUUAGUGAGAGACUGGCUUGACAAUCUCAGACAUAAUGUCUUGGCUGCGGAGGACUUACUGGAUGAAAUCGACACUGAAGCUUUGCGAUGCAAACUGGAAGAAGGUGAAGGUCAAACCCACAAUUUAACCAAGAAGGUACGUGAUUUUUAUCAACGCAUGAAUGUUGAGAUGAAAGAUUUAUUAGAAAGAUUAGAACAAUUUGUACAAGAGAAAAGUGCUCUUGGUUUGAGAGAAGGUGCUGGGAGGAAGGUUUCACGAAGAACAACAACUUCCUUGGUUCAUGAACCUUGUGUCUAUGGUAGAGAUGAAGUCAAAGAAAAUCUGUUGCCAAUUUUGUUAUCUGAUGAUGCAAGUAAGGAUGAUGUGUCUGUCCUCACCAUUGUUGGAAUGGGUGGGAUUGGCAAGACAACCCUUGCCCGACUGCUUUAUAAUGACGAUGAGGUGAAAGAACAUUUUCCACUUCACGCUUGGGUUUGUGUUACGGAAGACUAUGAUUCUAAUAGGAUAACUAAAACUCUUCUAGAGUCAGUCACCUCAAAGUCUUCUAAUAUGACAGAUCUAAAUUUACUUCAAGUUGAACUAAAAGAACAACUCAAGGGAAAGAAAUUCUUAUUUGUUUUGGAUGACCUAUGGAAUGAGAAAUAUGGUGAUUGGAAACGCCUCCAAACUCCUUUUACUUCUGGGGCAAGGGGAAGUAAAGUCAUUGUAACAACACGGAGCCAACAUGUAGUAUCUGUCCUGCAAAGUGUUCAUGUUCAUCACUUGGAACCCUUGUCGCACGAAGAUUGCUGGUUCUUACUUGCAAAACAUGCAUUUGGAAAUGAAAAUUGCAGUGAUCCAAACUUGGAAGAAAUUGGCAAGAAAAUUGCACACAAGUUCAAUGGGUUGCCUUUAGCUGCAGAAACACUUGGGGGUUUGUUACGUUGCAAUAUAGAUUCAGAGGAAUGGAAUACAAUACUAAAUAGCAGUAUUUGGGAGCUACCCUAUGAUAAAUGUGACAUUCUUCCGGCUCUUGGGUUGAGUUACCAUUAUCUCUCCUCCCAGUUAAAACGAUGCUUUGUUUAUUGUUCAAUUUUUCCAAAGGAUUAUGAGUUUAAAAAGGAAGAUAUAGUUCAAUUUUGGAUGGCAGAAGGUUUAAUUCCAAAAGCUGAGAAUGGAAAGAGCAUAGAAGCGGUAGCUAGAAAAUACUUUGAUGAGCUGUUGGCACGAUCGCUAUUUCAAAAGUCAAGCAAAUCCGGUUUCACAAUGCAUGAUCUCAUUAAUGACUUGGCCAUGUUCAUGUGUAAGGCAUUUUGCCUUAGGUUGGAAGGGGGGGAAUCACAUGUCGUAGAAAAAGUUCGGCAUUUUUCAUAUGCUAUGGAAAGAUUUGAUGCAGCUCCAAAAUUUGAGCCAUUACAUAGGGCUAAGUUUAUGCGGACCUUUCUACCCAUAUCAUUAAAUUUUGUUUCCACUUCUUAUGUAACUAAAAAGGUUCUACAAGAUUUGUUGCCGUCACUAAGAUGUUUACGGGUGUUAUCAUUGUCACAUUAUCAAAAUGUUACUGUGUUACCUGAUUCUAUUGCAAACCUCAUUCACUUGCGCUACUUGGAUCUUUCCGGUACCGCAAUUGAAAGGUUACCUGGGGUACUUUGCAAUCUCUACAACUUGCAGACAUUACUAUUGUCAAAAUGUUUCUCACUCCUUGAAUUGCCUGCAGACAUUAGAAAAUUGACUAAUUUACAGAAAUUGACAUUGCUCGGUUGUAGUUCUCUUAAUAAAUUGCCUGCAGGCAUGAAGGAGUUGACUAAUUUGCAUCAUCUUGAUGUCAGUGGAACUAAAAUUGAAGAGAUGCCGGUGCAAAUGGGUAGAUUGAAAAGUUUGAGAACAUUGACUGCAUUUGUUGUGGGCAAAUCUACUGGGUUAGGCAUAAGAGAACUGAGGCAGUUCCCGCAACUUCGAGGAAAACUAUCAAUUUUGAAGCUACAAAAUGUAGUUGAUGCGAGGGAUGCACUGCACGCCAAUAUGAAGCACAAGAAAGAUCUCAAGGAGUUAAAGUUUUCAUGGGGUGCGGAGGAUGCUGAUGAUUCCCAAAAGGAGAAAGAUGUACUCGACAAGCUCCAGCCUUGCGUGAAUUUGGAGAAAUUAUCCAUCAAAUUCUAUGGUGGAACCAAUUUUCCGAAUUGGUUAGGAGACUCGUCUUUUUCUAACAUACAAGUCAUGCAUCUCAGUGACUGUAGUUAUUGUUGGUUGCUCCCACCAGUUGGACGGCUACCGGCACUCAAAGAGCUCUGUAUAAAAAGAAUGAAGUCUUUGAGGACGAUUGGCGUUGAAUUCUAUGGCAGAAAUGGAGCUUAUCUGACUCAGCCAUUUCGAUCUCUGGAGAAGCUAGAGUUUAGGGGGAUGCCGGAGUGGGAGGAAUGGGUACCAAGUGGAAGUGCAAGUGGAGGUGAAUAUGGUCCAGACUUUCCUCGUCUCCAAAAGCUGAUUCUAAACGAGUGUCCGAAGCUAAGAGGAAGUUUGCCUUGUGAGUUGCCUUGCUUGAAGAAGCUUACGGUGUAUGGGUGUAAGGUUUUACAUGAUGGAAGGACCGCUACCGCAACUACCAAUAGUGUUAACUAUAAAUCUCUGGAAGAAUUGGAUAUAAGUGGUGGAUGCCAAACUCUGUUAUCAUUAUUAGAGACAAAGCUCCUGUCCCGACUUCGGAUUCGAAAUGUUGUUGACAUACAGUGCUUGCCCAACUGCAAUCGUCUUCAACGUUUGACUCUUUGCCUAACGCUGUCAUCGUUUCCCAAAGAUGGCCUACCCACUACAUUGACAUCACUUUAUAUAAACAAUUGUAGGAAAUUAGAAUUCCUACCUCAUGAGAUGUUGGCCAAAUUAACAUCGCUUGACUAUUUGUGCGUACAAAAUAGCUGUGAUUCAAUGAGGUCCUUCCCGUUGGGCAUUUUUCCCAAAUUGACGACGCUUCAAAUUCGUGGUUGUGAGAAUCUGGAAUCUUUUUCCUUGAUUGAAGAAGAAGGAGCUGUUGACAAUCUCAGCCAUCUCAAUUCCUUGCGUGUCUAUAACUGUCCAAAAAUGGUGUGUUUUCACGAGGGAGAAUUGCCCACUCCCAACCUGAGUCACUUUGUAGUCAUUGGUUGCGAGAAUUUGAAGUCAUUGCCCGAACGCCUUCACACCCUCACUGCCCUUCGAUCUUUGAAUAUAUGGAAUCUUCCGAAUCUGGAGUCAUUUGCAGAAGAUGGGGGUUUGCCUCCCAACCUCCGAUCUUUUAUCAUUAGGAAUUGUAAGAGACUGAGGGCACUUGACUCAGUGGGUUUGCAAGCACUUGUCUACCUUCAGAUCGAUGGAAGUGACCAUGUCUUGGAGACGUUGCUGCUCCCUACCACUCUUCACACUCUCUGCAUCUCUGAUCUAUCAACUCUGAAAUCUUUGGACGGAAAGGGUCUUGGACACCUCACUUCUCUUCAAACUCUAAAAAUUUACAGCUGUCCAAGUCUUCAAUGCCUGCCAGAAGAGGGUUUGCCGCCAUCUCUUUCUCAUCUGAGUAUCCGCUGUUGUCCUACCCUGGAGGAAAGGUAUAAGAAUAAAACGGGACAAGAUUGGGCAAAGAUAUCUCACAUUCCUUGCAUCGAGAUAGGGGAAGAAGUGAUCAUAUAAUAUGAGCUAUUCCAUAUUUCACGCUCAACCCUCAACUCUCAAAUCAAAGUCAGGUGAGGUAUGUGCCUUCUCUUACUUUAAAAAACUGCUUCUCUUCUUCUAAUUGAAUACAAAAACCAAAACACAUAUUCUCUUUCUCUUCCAAAAACCCAAAUACAUGUUGGACAUUGCCCAAAUUUGUCUCCAAAUUCCUAGUUUAAAUCAAAUUUAAUGCCUAUGGAUAGUUUGUUAAUAGGUUCAUGCCAUGAAUUAAUCUUUGGACUUUCCCAGGUACUGCAGGUUUGUUAUUAAUGUUGUGGCCUGAUAUUCGUCGUAUCAAUACGUUGAGGAGAGAGAUCGAUCAGCAAUUACAAAAUUGUUAGUGAAUUUAGCUUGUUUAUCAUCUCUCUCCUUUUGUUUGUUAAGUUUUGUUGUUCUAGGUUAAACCCUUGUCCCCGCAUUUCACAGCAACUCUGUGUUUUUCCACUCUGUUUAGAUUUCACUAGCAGGAGAGCCCGCGCGAUGCUGCGGGUUUUGAAAUUGUGUAGACAAAAUUAGAUUGUUUAUAUAUACAAUGAGAUUUAAUUUAUAACAUUAUGUUUAACUACAGGAGUGUAAGUUGCAAAAAAGUAUAUAAUAACAUAUUUUACAGGCUACUUGUUAUGGUAAAAUACUAUACUUGUUUGUAUAUACAUUGAGAUGUUUAUAGUAGGAAGUAGGCAUCAAAAUAGCAAAAGUUGGAUAGUUUUGUACAGAAUGUUAUUUAAUUGGGCAAGCUUUGUUUUGCACUUGCUUCAUGAUUUUUCUUCUCUUUCAUGGAAGUCUUGAUCCUGUUAUAAAAAAAAGUGAGAAAAUAGUAAAUGUUAAUAUUGAUGAAUGGGGGAAAUUGAGUUAGGACAAUAAUCAUAAACAUUUAAUUAUGUAUAAACAGGAAUAAUAUAAUUUAUUGAUUUAAUAAGAAAGUUAUAAAUAGUUUUUCAAUCUAGGAAAUACAAAGUUACAAAAUUAAGAGAACUAAUGAGCAAGUUGUAGAUGGUUUUCUAAUUGAAGUAAUACAAAGUAAACAUAUUUUAAAUUUUGUGUUUGUCUAAAAGAAAAGUUGAAGAGAGGCAAAAUAAUUAUGGUUGAAUAUAUGGAGAAAAGGAUGUCAAUAUAAUGUUUAGGUUUUUAUGUAUUAGGAAUAUAUGACUUUUUUGCUGUUAUUUAGAGCAAAAAUUAUUUAAGGGCUUGACAUUUCUGUUAAAAAACGGGUAGAAUCUACCCUGAAAAAUGGACAUUUUGCCAAAAAAUUCACCUGUAAACUAAUUAGUACUGAAUACCGAUUGGCGAAGGCAAGACAAUCAUAGUUGUGGAGUACAUAGUUAGAAAGAUGAAUGUGCAAACGUACAUCUAACCCCAUGAUAUACAUCUAACCCCAUGUGAACAUGAUUUAUUCUACAACAAUGAUUAUCAAUUUUCUAAUUGCUCAUUUUCCUAACCCUAAUCAUCACAAACCCAAAAUUAACUCUAAAAAUUUCAAAUAAGCAUGGUUCUAAACCAAUUUCUAACUUACUUAGCGAAGUCUUUUCUAUAAAUGAUAGUUGUUGAAGAAAAAGGGAAACGAAAAUAAGCUUUUAGUGUAUAAGUACAUUGAAGCAAAACAUGAAGAGAAUCCAAUAUAUAACUUCAAUAUAUAACUUUAAUUUUCUAUAAGUGUUGAUCUAAAUUUACAUCCCUUACCACUCUUCAAUUUAAAAAUAGUUUUAGCUACAACAAACAACUUCAGAGAGAAGAUUUGGCCCUGUUUUAUAAGGCAAAACCUCUCUAACCACAUGACAUACAUCUAACUCCAUGUGAACGUGAUUUAUUCUACAACAAUGAUUAUCAAUUUCCUAAUUGCUCAUUUCCCUAACCCUAAUCAUCACAAACCCAAAAUUAAUUCUAAAAAUUUCAAAUAAGCAUGGUACUAAACCAAUUUCCAACUUACUUAGUGAAGUCUUUUAUAUAAAUGAUAGUUGUUAAGGAAAAACGGAAACAAAAAUAAGCUUUUAGUGUAUAUGCACAGCACAGAAAUUGCAUGUAGCUUUCCGAUUUUUAUCCCAACUUCGUUUCUGUGGAAUCACAAAACUACAUACGCACAGCACAGGGAAGGGAAAAAAAAAAAAAGGCACAUUUAAGAGACACCUAUCUUCUCAUUCUACAUCACAUCCUCUUUUCCUAGCUUUCCAACCUUGCAACCAAAGCAAACAUCUUUCCUGAUAAAGGGUAGGAAAGAAAGUGGUUGUGUGAAUUGGGAUGAGAGAGACAGAGACAGAGACAGAGACAGAGAGACAAAGAGAGAGAGAGAAAAGAGAAAUCAAAGUAUAUAUAUAAAUAGUAAGUAUAGUUUAUAUCAUGCAAAGUUUUGAUGGUUUCGUUCAAAAAAAAAACAGGGAAAAAGUUUUGAUGGGUAAUUCUAGUAAUAAUGUUCUUAUAAUUCUAUAUAUAUAUAGAUAUCAAACUGUACUACCAUAUUCUUCCUAUAUAUACACUUGGUCGUCAACUACCUCUCUCUCUCUCUCUCUCUCUCUCUCUCUCUCUCUCUCUCUCUCUCUCUCUCUGUGACCUGCAUUUAUACAGAACCAAUUAUUCCAUCUUCACUAUACAUUUUCCUCAUCUUCCCAUUCAUAUUUUAUGGCUCUCUUGUUCUUCCUCCUAAUUCUUUUGGUCCCUGCAAGCAAUACUAAUUGGCCACCAUCACCUGGCUACUGGCCAAGUUCUAAAUUCAGGUCUAUGAGCUUUUAUAAAGGAUUUAAAACUCUCUGGGGUCCUCAGCAUCAAAGCUUAGACCAACAUGCAUUAACAAUCUGGGUUUAAUGAGGCCAGAAAAUUUUAAGAACUUAUCUACCAAGCAUACCAAACUGACAAAGCAAACCAUAUCUGUAUUUUAUCAUCAAUUUCAUCAAUUUUAUCACCAACAACAGAUAAAAAAAGGGAAUUUUUUCAAAAAAAAAAAAAAGGAAAAAACAUAAAUAAAAAAAGGGGCACAUUUAAGAGAGACCUAUCUUCUCAUUCUACAUCACAUCCUCUUUUCAUUUUGAAGCGGUCAUGUGUUGUGAGUUUCUUGUUUUAUAAAUUUUCAAAACUGUUGUUUAGAACUGCAAAAUUCUUCAUCAUAUAUCUUGCCUUCUAAUAUACAUUCUGUAUCAGGAAACUGGAAUGAGGCUUGCUCUUUGAGGAAGAGAAAUAAAAGAAAAAGUUGUGGCAAAGGUUCACGGAUGUAGUUGGAUUGUAGUGGGACAGAGAACAAAUUUAUUUGUUGCAGGGGAAAAGUCUCAUCCAAAUGCUAUGAAAUCAUGGCAACUUUAAAGUAUUGGACAGCAAUAAUGAAAGAAGAGGGCUAUGUUGGUGACACAGAUUCUUGCUUGCAUGAAUAAGAGGGAGAAAAGCCCCUAUGGUAUUGACUGUUGCCGCCAAGUGCAUAUUGUUAUUACUAUGCGUACUACAUCCCAAGGCCUCUCUCAGCAGGAUUACAAAGUAAACCAGAAUUACUAUCCCAGCAGUAUUCUGCAACUUUGCUCUGCACUUCCUUAUGUAAUCUCUCUCUCUCUCUCUCUCUCUCUCUCUCUCUAUAAAUAUAUAUAUACACACACACACACACACACACAUAUAUCUAGGCAUGCAUAUUUAUGAGUUCCCCAUUGAGGAGGGAUUCCCUUUUGAGGAUUUUAUAAUUAGAAUUAGACUGCCUUCUUAACCAAUAGUUGGGUUUGUGUGGUAAGGUAUGCUGGGUUUGUUGAUGUGGAUAUUUAUGCCUGGAGGUGCUUUGUUUUACUACUUCGUUGAAGUAGAAACAGACACUGACAAAGAAGCCCUUCAUUCUUUGUCUCAAUAGUGAUUGGUUUCUUUGAUCCUAUUCAUCAUAUCUGGUGGUGAGGUUGCCUAAUCAGCCAAAUGUUGGGUUCAACUACCUCUCUCUCUCUCUCUCUCUCUCUCUCUCUCUCUGUCUCUCUCUCUCUUUCUCUCUCUCUCUGUGACCUGCAUUUAUACAGAGCCAAUUAUUCCAUCUUCACUUUACAUUUUCCUCAUCUUCCCAUUCAUAUUUUAUGGCUUUCUUGCUCUUCCUCCUAAUUCUUUUGGUCCCUGCAAGCAAUACUAAUUGGCCACCAUCACCUGGCUACUGGCCAAGUUCUAAAUUGGCCAGAAAAUUUUAAGAACUUAUCUACCAAGCAUACCAAACUGACAAAGCAAACCAUAUCUGUAUUUUAUCAUCAAUUUUAUCGCCAACAACAGAUAAAAAAAGGGAAUUUUUUCAAAAAAAAAAAAAAAAAAGGAAAAAACAUGUUUAGUCUUUGCUUUCCAAUGUUUUAUCCAAAAACCUGAAAAUCAAAGUAACUAAAUAAAUGAACCCAAUCAUUCCUAAUUUCUAUUUUGUCAAAACCUAAUUAAGCUUCACUUCUUUUUUGCUUGUAUUUUAUCAUCAAUUUCAUCUAUUUUAUCACCAAUAGCAGAUAAAAAAAGGAAAUUUUUUCAAUUAAAAAAAAAAAAAACAUACUCAGUCUUUGCUUUCCAAUGUUUUAUCUAAAAACCUAAAAUCAAAGGAAUCAAAUAAAUAGGGUUUAGGGCUCAAGAACCUGAAAUCAAAAGAACCAAAAAAAUGAACACAACUCUACAUAGCACGAAAAAUCUCCCAGCCAACAAUCAAAUUCAUGAAAUAAAUACCAAAAGAUCUGUUAAAAAAUUGAUGAGAUGCAUACCUGAAAACAAAGGAUGCAACAAAGAUGGAAGCCUGAGUCGAAGCAAGAACGAUGGAAGCCUGAGUCGAAGCAAGAAAGAUGGAAGCCUGAGUCGAAGGUUGUAGAAAAGACGAAAUCUCCCGAUCCCAAAUCUGUGACACGAAGACUGAAAGCACGGCUGGAUUUGCAGCUCACCUCCCAAACAAAAAUCGACGGCCUUCAACGCAUCUCCAGCAACGAACACAACUCUUCCAUGGCUGCCCCCCAACCAGCUGGUUGGAAACGAACGGGAGAAAAUGGUUUCUCUCAGCGGACGAAACCAUCUCAACGAAGGGGGAGGGGCAAAAACGGGAACAAAAGAAACUGUUUAGUCAAGGGCAGUUUCGUCAUUUAACUGUGCUGCAGGAAAAAAAACGAAAACAGCAGAAAAAUGAGGGGCAUUUCCGUCAUUACACUGUGCUUAGCUACAGUGUUUAGUUGCAUUGGGUUUUAGUAUAUAUAUAAUUUAUGUUGUGAUUCGACUGCUGCUGUAUUUUAGAUUUAUAGGAACAGACCAAACAUGUUGAUUCUAUCACCAAAAUUAUAAAGUAUACUUCCAUUACAAUUAAUUUGUUGAUUCUAAUUUGGACUUGUAGGAACAGACCAAACAUGUUCAUACGUGGCAUUGCUCAAGUCAUCAUCAUUCGGGACAGAGAAUAAGCCUUCAAAUGUCUGCUGAGUCAAUGAACCUUUCUAGAUAUCUCAAGUGUAAUGGAAAUUGAUGAGUUACAAAGGAUUUGUAAACAUUUUCUACUGGAGGCUAGAAAUGCUUCAAAUAAAUGACUCUGUUGCAAUUAUUUUGUAGGAUCAAAGACUCUGCAAAGAGGUAAGAAAGUCAUCAUCAAGUAACUUCGCUCUUCAUACUUUUUAUUAGGGGUGGGCAUUGGAACCGCAAAACCGCAAAACCGAACCAACCCAAUCCGAAAAAAACCGAAAAAAACCGUGUUGACCGAAAAAGUCAAAAACCGAGACAAAUCCAAACCGAACCGGUUCAGACCGGUUCCGGUUCCGAUUUUCCACCUUAAGGAACCGGUCCAAUCCGAACCGGUCCAAUAUAAUUAAUUUUUAUAUUAUAUUUAUAUUUAUAUUUAAAAUAUCAAAUUUUGUAGGCCCAAACCCAACUAUUUCAUUAUACCAACAAAAAGCCCAAAUCUCCCAAGUCCAUUGCCCAAGUCCAACAAGCCAUAUUUUAAUAUCCUAAUCACAUCAAAUCUCACUUCACUCUCUCUCUCUGACGCACUCUCUCUUUUCCUCUCAGAUUUUUUUUACUCUCUUUUUCUUUCUUUCUUCUCUCUUCCGCCUCUUUUCCUCUAGGUUCUUUAACUUCUUUUUACUUCUUUCUUUCUUCACUCUUCUGCCUCUUUUCCUCAGUUUUUUCUUCUUCUUUCUCUCUUAUUCUUUCUCCUCUCAAUUCGUCUCCAUUUUUUUUCCCUCUCUUUCUCUGAUUUUCUGUUACUCUGAUUUUUUUCUUCUUGGUUUUAUGUUUCUCUCUCUCCCUCUAUAUCUCUUUCUUUGCAACUCUGUUUUUCAAUUUCUCCUUUUUUUUCUCUCUUCAUUUUUUGUUUCUCUGUACAUAUAUGUGUUCAUCUUGUAGAUCUGGGUGAAAUUCUUGUAGAUCUAGGUGAAGUUCUUGGAGAUCUGCGUUAAGUUCUUGUAGAUCUAGGUAAAGAGCCAAUUCAAAGCAGGUCAGCGUCUCUUAUCUCCCCAAUCCCUUGUGAAGAUAUGUAUUUUUUUUGUUGUCAACAAUCCAUUUUGGUGUUUUUAUAUGGUAUUGAUAUUUUCUAUGAUUUUGGGCUGAUUUGAGGUCUGAUUCUUUUUUUUUCUUUCAAUUUUUUCCUGUUGUGUUUUGAUAGACAUGUUCUCUAUUCCUGAUAUCAUUCCUCAGUGGCAAAAUCUUUGAGCGUUGUUGUAAAUUUUAGACGGGAAAGAAGCUCAUUCAUAAUUCAAAAAAAGAAAAUAAAGUUACAACAACUGACAAUUUGUUGCUCUUUGAAAUAGGUACUGAAGUAGCAUGGAUAAAAAGAAAGACUGAAGAUGUUGCAGAAGAUUGAAUAUGUUCUAUUUCUGUAAUUUGUUUGUAAUUAAAUUUGUUUAUUUUGUUUUGUUUUUAGGUUGUAAGUUUUAUUUUAAUGUUUGAUAUUUGUUGUUUUGUCAAAAAAUUGUAUUAAUGCUUGAUGGAUUCAUUCAAUUUGCAGUGCGUGGAUGUGAAUUGGGCCAAUCGGUAAUAAUUAGGCCCAAAAGGUUUUAAAUAUCAAUUGGGCUGAAACUUACAAAAAAAUUUAAGAACAAAAAAAAAAUCAAUUAAGCUGUGUGUCGGCCCAAACCGUAAAAACCGGAACCGAACCGGAUUCAAAUGGGUUCGGGUUGGUCCGGUUUUCUCAAGCAUUUUAGUAAAAAUCCGAACCGGACCGGACCGGUGAACAGUACCGGUUCCGGUUUUAAAUUGAUGCAAAAACCGGUCCAAACCGGACCGUGCCCACCCCUAUUUUUUAUUUUUAUUUUUAAAUAUCAGUAAUAACUGGGAAAGCUUGCAUCUCCUUAAAUUGCUCAUUCUUACAUCUUUUAUAGUUUGUUGAUCUUGGGCAAGUGGAGAGAGAGGCGUCAAGUGAUACGCAACAACCAUUUUCUGUGAGCUGAUUUGAUAAAGAGAAAUGGUAUGCUUUCUUGUCUUAAGCGGUGUGUUCUGCAAUUAUUUGAAACAAAGGAUGCCGCACUUCAAGUUCGAGAAAAUCAGGUAUUUUAGUAUUUUAUUCUUGAGAAAUUUGAUUUAUGUAGAAACUUGAACAUGUAAAUGAGAGAAAAAAAAAUAAAUAUAUAUAUAUAUUAUAUAUUGUAUAUGCUGUUAAUGAGUUAAUAUGGUGCUUGCUCCUAGUUGGAAAUUUAUGUAGUCAUCUACCUAUGAUCAAAUAAAGAUGAAAAAUAAAAUAAAAUUGAGAGCAUCUUCCUCUCCCCUGCUUUGCUCAUCCCUUGUUCUUCCACUUCAGCCCCACUAUUACACCAUUUUUUUCAGCCACAAUUAUAAUAGCUCCAUGAGCAUUAAGUCCCUUUCAAAUUCUGCUGACAUUCAAAAUUGGAAUCUGCUGGUGAUAUAUGAUAGCGUUAACAUAUUGUACCAUUUUGGCCAGUGUACGCAAUAUUAUUGCAUCCAACUUUGCAUAUUAACAUCAGUGGCCACAGUUACACGAUUUGAGUGCACAGAAAGGUUUCAAAAGUUGUCCCACAGAGAACAGUCGUUCAAAGUGAGAGAGUUUUGAAAGCUUAAUUACAAGUUCAUGUUGUUUACAACCUCAAAAAGCUUUCAUACUUGCUUACAAACCUGUAUUUCCAAGUUCUGCAAACCUUGGAAUAUCACUUCAUCCAAAUCCCCUUCCAAAGCAGGAAAAAAUGGCAGCAGCUUUGAUUGGAGAGGCUCUCAUCUCUGCUUCUAUCGAGGUGUUGUGUGACAGAGUUACUUCAGCCGAGUUCAUAGACUUAUUUCAGCAGAAGAAACUUGAUGAAACACUCCUCAUGAACCUGAAGACGACACUGUUGAUUUUGUUUGCGGCGCUCAAUGAUGCAGAGGAGAAGCAAAUUGUGAACCCUGCUGUGAUAGAGUGGCUUAACAGCUCAAGCAUGCUGUCUUUGAUGCAGAGGACUUACUUGAUGAGAUUGACACUGAAGCUUUGCGAUGCAAGCUGGAAGGUGAGGAUCAAACCCACAAUAAUUAACCAACAAGGAUCUUUUUGAUUGUUUGAAAGGAGGGUCUUUGAUGAUUUGAAAGGAGAGGGUUGCUUCAUUUCUGUUGGAUGCUUAAUUAAAUCUUAUCUGGACUUGAACAAGGAUUAGGUUAGCUGUAUAAUUCGUGGUAAACACCUUUUUCUAAGGUUCAUUUAGACUCCUAUUACGAUUAAUUUGUUGUUUCUAAUUUGGACUUGUAGGAACAGACCAAAUAUGUUCACACGUGGCAUCGUUCAAGUCAUCAUCAUUUCAGACAAAAUCAGCCUUCAAGUGUCUGCUGACUCAAUGAACCUUUCUAGAUAUAUCAAGUGCAAUGGAAAUUCAAGAGUUACAUAGAGAUUUGUAAACAUUUUGAAGAUUGCAACACCUGCAAGUGAGAUAGGUGGUGACGAAAUCAGAGCUGAUCUUGAAGCCUCUGAUGCCCCUGUCGUUGCAAGUUGCACCUGAGAACAUGGUUUUUUUUUGGGUAAAAAACCAGCAACAUGUUCGGGGCUGGCAAUUCAAUCCCUGAUGAACUUGAGAAGCAAAGCUCCAGUAAGGAAAUUGGUCGAGGUCACGACAGGGAUAAUUGAUGGUGAAAUGGAUGCUAUUUCUUAUUGCAGCCUGUUCUCAAAGUUCUUGUUGGCAAAAGCAAGAGAUGGAGUAUUUUGAUUGGGAGGAGAGAUAAUGACAUGUGUUGACAAUUCUAGAACAGCCCAUCUGAGUUCUUUUGUCAGGCUGCAUCAUUUAAUCCCAGCAAAAAUCCAGUUUUUGCUAAACAAUCAAAUUGUACACAUUUUUUCUUUUCGAGGAAUUUAACAUUACACAUUUUUUCAUUUUUUCAUCAAACAGUUUUCUAAUGCAUUUGUUGUCCCAAGUUACAAUGAGGAAUUUGGAUUGAGUUUCUUGUGUUAAUAACAUUAUACUUUCAUGGAAUGGUUUAUCUUCUUUUUCUGGACAAAAAUAUUUAGAUUAAUUUCUUGGAAUAAUUUUUUAAUAAUUUUUUAAUUGCAGUAGCGAAAAAAGGAAAAUUGUAUUUUUCAAAACCAAUCUUAAGUCCAGUUUCCUCUUCUUGGUCGUCACACUUGGAAAUUGCUAACCAUAUAUAACUUGGGGUAACAAUCUUAGUCCGAAUGUGUACGAUCUUAGUCCGAUCAAUGGCUACGCGUAUUGGCUCGGCCUUGGGGUCUACCAUUCCAGUGUACAAGCUUCCUGGGUCUUGGGGCAAUUCCUUCAAAUUGUACACAUGUUUUCUUUGAGAAGCAAGGCUCUAGUAAGGAAAUUGGUUAUGUAACAAAUUUUGGUCCCUUUGGAUGGAAUGAUUUACAAUGAGGAAUUUUAUUAUUAUUAUUUUGUUUUUGUUGUUAGUGUAAUGAAAAUGAUCUAGGUUCAUACACUGGGUAUAGCUCUAAUUUGGCCAAUUUCAUUAUUUUAGUUUCUUCAUAUUUUCAAUUAUUAUAAUUUGGUGCGUUGUUUUUUAAAAACAUUCAUGAGAAUCUCCAUUUUUUAGGUGUUUAAGUUAUUCAUCCACAACGGUUUUAUAAUACCGUCAUCUUUUCAAACACAACGAUGAUUUUUUAAUCUAUCGUCGUUGUUUUCUGAUCGUCUUUUUCACUUUUUGUAGUAGUGUCAAUAAGUAAGAUGAAAUAAUACAUUCACAAUCUGUUUAAAUUUUAAAUUAAAAAAAACACAAGAAAAUUUUAAAUAAGUAAGUAAUUUUAAAUAUAUAUUUCCAUUGUUUUGGUUUUCUUUUCAUAUUAGUUUUCUACUAGCUGCUAAUUUCAUUUAAAUUGUUUUUCUUACUUCAUUUAACUUUUAAGCAUGCAGAUGCAAUCAUGACUUCUUCUUUUUUUCAAUAGACUGAUUCUCUUCCCACAUAUAUAAUGCUCUCUAAGUAUUCGUAAUAUGAGUAGGAAUUUAUUUUCAUUUCACAAGAAUUGUCCAUCAAAUUCUGAUAGGUUUGUCGAUAGCACAAGCAUGCACAUAUAGACACUACAAGAACUUUGUUUCUUCAUUUUGUUUCCUAAAGAUUUGUUGGCUUCGUGCAGAUGAAUAACAAGUCUCUCUGUCCUCUAUUUCUUCUUUUUCUUUUUUAACAAUUCAUAUUCUACUUUCUGUUUUCACCCAGUAAAAAUUGAUUUUAGACAUGGGCUUCUAAAUUAUGUGCGGAUAAUGGUUGCAUUUAUAGAAUAUCCAUGGGCUUCUAGUCACCGUGGUUGUUGAUUCAGCAUGUCAUAUUACUCUUGGACUAGCUGUUGACACUACUACAUUUUACACUUUGCGCGACGAAGAACAAAACGUCGCGCAAAGUCGCAUUUAGUCGCCCCAAUUUCAGCGCGACAAAAACGUCGUCGCGCAUAUUCCGUCGCGCGAAGAUCGUGAAGAAAGCCUUUGCACGACGAGGUACAACCCUUCGUCGCGCAAAAGUGUGCGACGGGUAAACCAUCGUUGCACCAACGGUGUGGAGACGAAACAACCCUUCGUCGCAAAAAUAUUUGCGCGACGAUAAAUUAUGCGGCGCACGUAUAUUUGCGAGACGACGGGAAUUGCGCGACAAAACAUUAUUCGUCGCGCAAAAUAUGUAUGGGAGACGUAUAUGUUCGUCGCAGAACAAUUCGCGCGAUGAGAAAGUUUUCGUCGCACAUAUAAUUGCGCGACGAAAAAUUAUGUCGUCGGCCAAAUAUUUUGCGCGACGAAACAUUUCGUCGCGCAAAACGUGUUAUGUGUUCGUCGCGCAUGAAUUAAAAGUGAUAAAAAAAUAUUUGAUUUUUUUUUGUUACAUGUUGGUUUGCGCGACGAAAGAUUUUCCGUCGCGCAAAAAUAAUAUUACAAUUUUUUUUUUAUUUAUAUUUUUUAUUUGAUAUAAAAUUGGUUUCUUUUUAUUGAUUAAACAAUGAAAUUGCAAUAAAAAUAAAUUAGAAUAAAAUUUUGUUAUAAAAUAAAAUAAAAUAAAUGUAUUACAAAUAAAAUAAAUACACUAAUCAAAUAAUGAAUCAAAAUCAACCGAGUCGUCGCCAGUAUGCGGCUCGGAGGGCGGGGCGUUCACCGGGGCAGUGGUCUGGUGGGGAUGCCCGGGAUGGACGGGCUCAGAGGUCGGCGCAUCAAAAUGCGGGACUGGAAUGCCGGACUGUGCGAGGGACUGCAGAAUGACCGACAUCUGGCUCUGAAGAGUGGCCACCUGUGCUGUCAAAGCAGUGACCUGACUGUUUGACUGCGCCGAUGAACGAGGUCGAGGUUCCCUCCGCCGGGCAUUCCCCAUCCCUCGACAAUAUGUCCCCGGCCUCCUCCCGAGAGUCUGAUCCAACGUCUCCGUCAAUAUCUGAAAUCCAGCAUCCUGUGGAGGAGCCACAGACUCGAUCGGAGUCUCGGGAGGAAGCUGGGAGGCGGACUCCUGAAGAACAAGCUGGCUCCUCUCCACCAUCGUCGUCUGUUGAACAUAACAUAAAAUAUAAAUUAAAACAUGCAUAUAAAUUGAAUGCGUAACAUAAGAAUUAAAAUUAAAUAAUACUUACAUGAAGGGACUCGGCCAACUCAUUCCCGGGUCGAACAUAAACGUCACCAAAGACGUCGAUCUCUGGGAACUUGGACCCCUCCUAAAUUGAACAAGAGAAGAAAAAUAUUAGUAUGAAAAAAAUAAAUUAAUAAAAAUGACAUUAAAAAUGAAAUAAAAAUUUUGUGAUUAUUACCCGACGCCGUGCAUCCAUCCUAUAAGAAAAGGGUCUGGAGCCGGAAUGGUGGAGAAGGGUCUUCUUCUUCCUAUUACCCUUAUUCACUUGGGCUUUAUUCUGUUAUACAAAAAAUGAAACGUAUUAGUUAAAAUAUAAAAAAUUAAAUAAUAAUGAAAUAAAAAAAUAAAAUAAACAUUAAUAAGUAAUAAGUAAUAAUUAAACAAAUAUAAUUAAAAAAAUACCGCAAAUUCGGGCGCUUGAAAAUGAGCGCAGAGCCACUCCCAACUAUCCUCCCGCCCCUCAAGCUCCUUCGGGCAACCCUCCUGAAGAGCGACUUGCGGAUCAUCAUAGGCCUGAAAAUGGUGGUGCAAGUCGCUCUUCCACUGCUUGUACCUCUCAGCGAAGAGUCGGUUGACGUACGUCAACGACUCUUCGUCGAGAUCCUCCAAGUUAUAGUUCGUCUGCAAUCAAUUAAUUAGAUACGUUAAGUAAUAGAAAUAUACACAAUUUUAAAGAAAAAUAAUGAAAAUGUAAGGUACAUACCGACAACUGGCCGUGAAUCUCCGCCUGGAUCUCGUCAGGCAUGACCCUCCAAGACUUCCAUUGCAUCGGGCAAUGGGUCCGCACGACGUGGCCAAUGUCGUGGGCCAAGGAGCUAUGCAACUUCGCCGUCGGUGCAGCACGAUGGCGCUCGUCGUAUCCGAUGCUGAUACGACUGUUGGUCACCCGGGUGACCUUCGCCGUCUUCAGCUGACGACACGGUCCUCGGGUGUUCCUCUUCGCUGCAAAGAAAUAAGGUAUUAAUGUUAAAUAAAAAAACAUUGUCAAAUUUCAAUAUAAAAUUAACAAUACAAAAGUGUAGUUAUACCUGGCUGUGAUCCCGAGGCACCAGUACCGUCGGUCGAUGUCGUGUCGAUGGUGUCGGUGGGCCGGUGCCGCCGCCUAGCACUAGCUGGUUGCGCCACGGAUGACGCAGAUGACACAGGCGCCUGGGGCGCCCCGGGACCAACCACCACGUGGUCCAACAAAGCAGGAGCAGUGGCAGCAGAUGCCGACUGAGCCAGGGGAUCCGAACUCGGUGCAGUCGUCAUCGACCUACCACGUCUAAUCAAGUCUGACAUCUGCACAUAUAAUUUCAUUCAGAAUGUAAACUAAUUAAUUAAAAGCAUAGCCUGACCUAGGGUUUGGAAUUUCGGAGUAUCCGGGACUCCGAUCAACGAUCGGUCGAAUCCUAAACGAUCCUAGAAACACAAAGGUACAACUACGCGAGUUUCAGUUCGAUCCAACGGUCCGAACAUAUCAAACCUGGAAAUCGCACAAUAGGCGAAAUUCGAUCAAGACUCAAACGGUAACCAAAUUCAAAUCCGAGCAAACCUACGCGCUCGUGACAAACAGGGGAUCGCUCUGGGACACAAUGCCCCACUGCCACAGCAUCCCACGCGCCGGCAGCGCGUGGGUGUCCAAAGCGAUAACAUUCGCCGGAAAAUUCUAAAAACUAACGGCCAAGGUUCCUACCCUAGGUUGAAAACAAUAUUUGGCGCCACUUUUGUUCUCGGACCUACCCCGAAAAAUGGCCGGAAGUGGCCGGAUUUGAAAUUGCCAAACCGGCCAAAACCUAGGGUUUUAAUUCCUAUUUCCUAUACCCAUCAGCUAGAGCACAAAAAAUAGUCGAGAAAUCAUACCUCAGGCGUCGGAAAUGGUGGCCGGAGGAGAGAGAAAACGGCCGGCGAGGAAUCGGUGAAAAACCGACGAUGUGCGACGGCAGGCUCGACGGCGAAGGCAGGGGAGGCUAUGGCAGGAGCGGCGGUGGCUGAGGUGACGGCGGAGAGAGAGGGCUGAGGUGACGGCGGAGAGAGAGGCAAACGGAGGAAAAAACCAGAAAUGGGGAAGAAGGAGGCAUCGCGACGUUUCUGCAAAUUUUUACGACUUUGCGCGACGAAUCACAUCAUUCGUCGCGCAAAAUGCUAUUAAUGAAUCUUGCGCGACGCUAUAUCCGUCGCGCAAGAUCUGUCAGAACGCCAAAUUCUGAAAGUGGAUUAGGGUCUGUAAGUUUUGCGCGACGAAAUAGACAUACUUCGUCGCGCAAAAGGCUGUCUUUCCGCCAAAAUUUUGGGAUUUAGGGUUUAGCGGGAGGCUGAAACUGAAGGGUUUGCGCUUUUGCGCGACGAAGACGGUAAACGUCGCGCAAUGGUAACCUUGCGCGACGGAACGUAUUAUAUUCGUCGCGCAAAAGGCUAUCUUUCCGCCCAAAUUUUGGGAUUCAGGGUUUAGCGGGAGGCUGAAGGGUUUGCGCUUUUGCGCGACGAAGACACUAAACGUCGCACAAAAGGCUGUCUGCUGAAAUGAAUGGUUUCUGCUUUUGCGCGACGAAGACAAUAAACGUCGCGCAAAACGUUGUCGUUCCGCCAACAAUUUGGGGUUUAGGGUUUAGUGUGAAAACUGGCGCCCAGAUUGCGCGACGAAGAGUACAUAUUUCCUUCGCGCAAUCUAUUUCACUUUCACUUUGCGCGACGGAUAUGUUGGUUCGUCGCGCAAUCUUCAAGAUUUUCAUUGAAAUUUUCACUAAGUGUUCAAAGGGGAUGGAGGUGUGAAAACUGGCGCCCAGAUUGCGCGACGAAGAGUACAUAUUUCCGUCGCACAAUCUAAUUCACUUUCACUUUGCGCGACGGUUAAAUUGUUCGUCGCGCAAAAUGUAGACCCUAAACCCCCUUGUAAACCCUAAACCCUGAACCCUAAGCCAUAAACCCUAAACCCUAAAAUAGUUUCAAUGAUCCAACCGGCAAACUUAUUGUUUGAAACUUGGAGAUCAUAUACGCCAAAAAUCAAGAAGACCAAACAUUCAGAUAUCAGGGAACGGGACUAAAUAUUUCGACGGUUAUAAAUGAAAAGUCAUGAUUUAACGGUUAUUGUAACUCCGAUUUUGAUCAAUUUUGACAGCAGCAUUUGUUGACCCUAUAUGAAUACAAUGACUGAAUUUGAUCUUCAAUUUCAGAUUUUUACACUAGGGGAUACCACAUAAACGUGAAGUUACAUUUGCACAAAUGUAUAAACAAAUUUUAGGGUUUUUGGUGAAUAUAUGAUUUUGAUAGCACAUGCAGUCUACGAAACAAGUUUCAGUCAUCCAGCCGUCAAACUUGUUUUUUUAGACUUCGAGAUCAUAGACAGCAAAAAUCGGACAAAAAAAACAUUCAGAGAUUAAGCAACGGGGUAAAACUUUUCGACGGUUCUAAAUAAAAAGUGAUGAUUGAACGGUUAAUUUAACUCCGAUGUUGAUGAUUUUUUGCAGCUACAGUCCUACACUCCAUAUGAAUACAAUGAACUACUUCGAUCGCCAAUUUUAAAUAUAUAUGUGUGUAUAUAUUAUACUAUAACGUUACCUAAUAUAUAUUUGCGCGACGAAAGUUUGCUUAUCGUCGCGCAAAAAUGCCAUACGCGACGCAUGUAUAUAUGCGUCGCGGAAACUAUGCGCGACCAGUUGUAUUCGUUGCGCAAACAUUACGCGACGCUUAUGUAUGCGUCGCGUAUGGUAUGUUUGCGCGACGAUAUGGAGCCCUUCGUCGCGCAUGGAUUUGGCGCCAUAAAUCCUCAUUGAUUUCAAAUUGUGUAUGCUUUGUAUUUUUUAGAAAGGUUUUGUAUUCAUCAUUUUUUAUGCUUUGUAUUUUGUGGAAAGGCUUUGAAAUAUUCAUUUCUUUUGUUAUUUUUAUUGAAGCUUUAACUUGUUCUGUUCCGCAGAAAAUUCCAAUGAAGUUUGUGAUGAAAUAUGGAGAAUGAAUACACAACUACAUAUGGACAACUACACAUAUUCAAAGAUUUGUAUUACACAAAAUUAAUACACUAACAUAAUAAAUUUACAAAUAAAUUCAUUAUUCAUCAUCUGAACUAUAAUAACUUUCGUUAUCGUCGCUAGCUUUAACUUGUUCUGUUCCGCAGAAAAUUCCAAUGAAGUUUGUGAUGAAAUCUGGAGAAUGAAUACACAACUACAUAUAGACAACUACACAUAUUCAAAGAUUUGUAUUACACAAAAUUAAUACACUACAUAAUAAAUUACAAAUAAAUUCAUUAUUCAUCAUCUGAACUAUAAUAACUUUCGUAUCGUCGCUAUCAUCACUCUCGGUCUCCCAAUCUUCUUCCUCCUCCUCCUCUAUAACUGCAUCAUCGGCGUUGCUAGGGCCCACUGCAACAUCGUAUCGGGGAAGAUCACCGAGGUCAAUUGUAAUUGACUGAAUCGGUAUUUCGACUGAAGACACUCCUUCUAUUUGAAACGGUUCUUGUAUAACAUUUGUAUCUCGAAGUGUUUCCGCAUCAUUUUCCAUUGAAGAUUCUAAACGAUGGUCAGCCACAUUGUCGACGUCGUUGUCACUUGGGUCUAGUUCUGGUAUAUUAUACACGUUCCUAUGAUCCAUCUUCUGCACAACUUUCCACCCGUUCCCGGCUUUAGGGUCAUCUAGAUACACAAUUUGGGACGCCAUGUUUGCCAAAAUGUACGGGUCGUCAUCAUACCAAGUUCUGUUAAUAUUCACAGACAGUACUCCAUGGUCGAUUUUAACACUUCCCGCCCUAUUUGGGUUGGUAUCGAACCAUCGACACUUAAACAUGAUGACUUGGUAUCGAUCUUUGUAAAGCAAUUGCACGACAGUUGUCAGUUUGCCAUAGAAAUCAAUGUCUGUACUUUCGCCUCCACCUGGGACAUGAACACCGCUAUUUUGCGUACACAACUUGUCAUCUCGUGCGGCCCCUAAAAAUUUGACGCCGUUAACAUUACAACCCGAGAACAAUUCAGCGCGAAUUGGGCCGAACGCCAAGUUAUAUAACUCAUCACUGUAAGUGGGGGAAUUCGAUGAUUUCAAUUUAUUCACCUAAUAGUAUACAAAACCAUUUACAUGUUAGUCUGACAAAAUUAAAUACUAAAAUUUAUAUUUGUCAAUUACAAAACACUUAUAACUUACAGAAUCCAAAAACCAUUGUGGAAAUAAUUCACGGUGUUUCCGGGCAACCAAAUGUGAUGGAUGUUCUCGCUUCAUCAUCUGUUCAUGCUCAUCUAAGUAGGCCAUUAUCUCAUCACAAUUGUUCAGUACGAACCAAUGCGCUACCUCCAUGUCAUUUCUAGAAAACGACUCUCCUCGUCCAGGAUCUCCAAAUGGUCGUGCGCUUUGGGCAAAAACAGAAAGUUUUUCAUUUCUCAUACCUCCGUCAUUAUUGCGGUGAGGACGAUUGAAAACCGUCUCCACAUCUUUUAAAUACAUUCCACAGAAAGUAAGCGACUCAUAUUGAACCCAAGCCUCUAUAAUUGAUCCUUCGGGCUUUGCCCUGUUGCGUACACUUUUUUUCAGCUCUCCGAGAAGCCUGCCAAAAUAAAACGAUAUGAUACAAAUUAGCAAAGUGUCGAUAAUGAUGCAUACACAAAUGAUAAAGAUUAUAUACCUUUCUAUUGGAUACAUCCAGCGAUAGUUGACAGGACCAGCAAGCAAUGCCUCUUCUGGCAAGUGAACCAUCACGUGCAUCAUACUUAUAAAGAAAGCUGGAGGAAAUAUCAUCUCAAACUUGCAUAGGACUUGGACAAUGUCAUGGCGCAACUGAAACAUGUCUGUCCUUCGCAAUGUUUUUGCCGUCAGUUGGGAAAAAAAUCUGGAUAACAACAUGAUUGGCUUCACCACAUCUUCCGGCAGUAAGUGUCGAAUACCCACAGGAAGUAGGCGUUGCAUGAACACAUGGCAGUCAUGGCUCUUAAGUCCAGUAAAUUUACCCCCAUCGACAUUCACGCAACGUGCGAUAUUAGAAGCAUACCCAUCGGGAAAUUUGACAGACGAUACAAACUUUAGAAACUCCUUUUUGUCAUUCGGUUUCAUAGAAAAGAAUGCAAGAUCCCUUCUAGCUUUAUCACUGUCCCUAUUCAUCCAUAAACCCCUUCGUAUGCCCAUUCUUUCCAAAUCAAGACGAGCUUUGAUCGUGUCCUUCGUCUUCCCCUCGAUAUCUAGAAUCGUGCCCACCAAUGUGUCGAAAACAUUUUUCUCAACAUGCAUCACAUCUAGAUUGUGCCUCAAUUUCAGUUUCGACCAAUAUGGGCGCUCAAAAAACAUAGACUUGUGCGUCCAGUUCAAAUGUGUAGAAGGUCGGGUCCGACUAACUGUUUUCCCGAACGGAGCAAAAUCCAAACGGUUCAGCUGUUCCAAGAUCUCAUCACCGGACCAUUCUCUAGGUCUGAGGCGACGCUCUGUGUUCCCGUCGAACUCUUUAUCUUUUUCUCGCCACUCGUGGUCCCAUGGCAACCAUCUCCGAUGACCAAGGUAACAAACUUUUCCCGCGUGCCAACCAGAAGUUACAUCUUCCUUGCAUACAGGACAUGCCAUAUAACCCUUUGUGCUCCACCCAGAAACCAUUGCAUAUGCUGGAAAAUCAUUCACAGUCCACAUAACUGCUGCUCGCAAAGUGAACAUCCUCCCAGUUGAUUUAUCGUACGUGCGAACACCGUUUGUCCAUAAAUCCUUCAGCUCAUCAACCAGAGGCCUUAAGUACACAUCAAUUGACCUGCCAGGAUCCUCAGUUAUCAAAACAGUCAUCAUCAUGUAUUCUUUUUUCAUGCAUUUCCAAGGCGGCAAAUUAUAUGGGAAUGCGAAAAUCGGCCAAGUGCUGUGGUGUUGGUUUAGAACCCCAUACGGAUUGAAUCCGUCAGUGGCAAGUCCCAAUCUAACAUUUCGGGGAUCAGCAGCAAAUUCGGGGAACGUUCGAUCGAACUCUUUCCAUGCCUCCCCAUCUGCAGGAUGCCGCAUCACAUCAUCGUCUACCCGUUUUUCCUUAUGCCAUCUCAUGUCUGUGGCAGUAUGCGUUGACAUAUACAAUCGCUGCAACCUAGGUUUAAGGGGCAGAUAACGCAUGACUUUUUGUGGUAUCUUAGUCGUUCUAUUCUGGGAUGUCAGUUUGAACCUCGACUCAUUGCAUAUAGGGCAUGUAUCCAACGUUUCAUGCUCUUUGUAGAAUAACAUGCAAUUGUUUUUGCAAGCGUGGAUUUUUUCAUAACCCAAUCCAAGACCGUGCAACACCUUCUGUGCAUGUUUAUGGUCUUUCGGCAAACAAUUGUCCGUCGGAAGCAUUCUCUUGAAAACCCCCAAAAAGUAAUCAAAACACAAGUUCGACAUACGAUACUUUAUUUUUCCGUGCAUUAGCUCCACAAUGGCAGUGAGAACGGAAAACCUCUCGCACCCCGGGUAUAACUCUUGGUUGGCAUUUUUUAACAGUUUUUCAUACUGUUCAAACUCCGCACUGUCUAUUGGUGUAGGCACGUCAUCUUCCCCUUCCUGAUUGAUGUUGGUCGAUGCGAAUGGAAAAGCAUCCUGUAUAAUACCCAUGACUUGAUCAUUAGGAUCCACAAUAGGUUCAACAUUGUCCACUCUCGGGGCAUUUGAAGACGAAGCAUGGUCUACUUGUUCGCCGUGAAGGUUCCAAAUGCUAUAUGUUUCAAUCAUUCCAUUCCUUACUAAAUGAAAUCCAACAUUUUCAAUUGUCUCCCACAACGUGUUGUUACACCUCCUACAAGGACAACGGAUUCUAGUUGCACCCGGGUUGUGUCUACGUGCAAACUCAAUAAAAUCCUCGAUUCCAUCCAAGUAUUCGUCUGCGCAUCUAUUCGGGUUCUGUAUCCACCUUCUGCUCAUAAUUCCUGAAACCACAAUCACGACACAACAAUCACAACAACUUCAUACGAAGUUAUAAUGUCACCUUAUGCCUCCGGUAAGGGCCCUAUCCCAUUCGGGAAUGCAUAGUCCUGUCACGUAACCUACGGCUACAUGAGAUUAGAUUUCGACGUGGAUUAAUUUCAGCAGCAUCUCGACACAGUUCUUGAAGUGGGCAUAGGUAUAAAUACCUACGUACCACCCGAAGAACGUACCGAGAUGACACCGAAAUCUCCACAAUCGAAACCUAAUCCUGUAGCCGAAGAUUAUGUGACAACACUAUGCAUUACCAAACUGUCCAAAUAAUGGGACAAUUCAAGAAUUAAUUGGACCGCAGUCAUGCAUUACGCAUCCAUGCACGAAAUUCAACUAAUCUCGAACGGGAAACUACGUGUUACUAAACAUAAAAAUAAAAGUACGAAGUUAAUUUCAAUUAACUUCGUACAUCACAACACAUUGUGCUAUGUCACGCACAAUUUCACAACAUUAUACACAUAUAACUUCACAAAAAAAUUACAAACAUAACAAACAAACUUUUACAAUAACAUACCUUCUCAAUCGUUCUCCACCAAUCACAAAUAUCCCUAACGAUAACAAAAUUAAUAGCGUUACUACGAAUUUACAUUAAUACAUUUAAACUAACGACAAAAAAUACAUACCCAAUGAACGUACUGAAUUCACAGUAGAGCAACGGCAGAGAGAGUGAGAGAGAGGUAGAAUGCAGUGGGAGAGUGAGAGAGAGGCAGAAUGCAGAAACUGCAUUCUGCCUCUGCAAUGGAACUGGCUAAAAUGAAGAAGAAGGACUUUGCGCGACUAACAAUCCAAUCCGUCGCGCAAAAUGCCGUCGCGAAAACCCACUUUUCCGUCGCACAAAAAAACAUUUCCGUCGCGCAAUUACCUGCCGACAUCAGGUUUUUUGCGCGACGAAUACAAUUAUCCGUCGCACAAACAUCCGUCGCGCAAAUAACAUUAUUCGUCGCGCAAGGUUUAUAUUACGUCGCGCAAAUAACACUUAUUUCGUCGCGCAAGAAAUUACACUUUACGCGACGAAGGUAAUUCCGUCGCGCAAAAAAGUUUUUUCCACCCUGCAUUUUGCCGCCAAAAUUAAGUAACCCUCGUUUUCUUACGCGACGGUACAUAUUUCCGUCGCGCUAAGGCGUCUUUUGCGACGAAAAUGUUCGUCGCGCAAGAUUCUGGCGCCAAAAACAUAAACUGGGGAUUUUUCCCCGACCUUUGCUCGACGAAAUUAGUUUUGGUCGCGCAUAGAUUGUUUGCGCAACGAAGAUUGUUCGUCGCGCUAGUGUUCUGCUGUUUGCGCUACGGUAUUUUUUUUUCGUCGCAAUAGUGAUUUUUGCGCGACGAAAAUAUAUUCGUCGCGCAAACGUCCGUCGCGCAAAUAGUAAAUCGUAGUAGUGUGAUUUGGUUUAGACUUGGUUUAAUUAUCAUUGUUGUGGUUGGUUCACCAAAAAGAUUUGGCUUAGAAUUACCAGUUUUGUUGUUGGUUUAGUUAUGCUUGGCAUUUGAGGAUCCUAUGCUUACUUGUAUGGGUAAUACAUUUUAUUGAUCGUUUCAUAUACUAAUUAUGAACUUUUAGUUCCAUUGUGCAUUUAAGAGUACACAUAUUUCAUAUGUAAUUCGAAAGUUUGUCGCUGAAAUUUCUGAGAAUUUGAAACUAGAUAAGCACACCUUGCACAAAGUUCAUAUAUUUUCUUCCAGCAAGUCUGUCUAUUAACCCCCCUUAUCUGAAAUUAAUUGUUAAAAGUUCUGAUUCAUCUUUAAUCAUUGUCUUACCCUUGUUGAAUAACACUCCUCAUUCUAAUUUAUAUUCGAAGUUUGAGGUUUCAAUUUCAAUUGUGGGCUUUGAUUUUACAGAUUUUGUUUGUCAAUUUCAAUUUGGACAAAGCAUAUGCAAACAAAGUAAGGCAUUAUCUAUUAUUUGGAUCAUUUCCAUAUGUUUAUAUGUUUUUAAUAUCAUUUGCCUAUGUAGUUGACAUGUUAUAACAUUUUCGUAGUGUUGAAUAUAUAUAUAUAAUAAUUUUAUUUUAGUGGAUGUGAGAUCUCAGUUUGUUGCUUUAUAUAAUUAUUUCUUUGCAAUUUAAUUUUUUUUAUCAGUCAUACUAUUGUUGACGGCUAAAAACCAUCAAGAAACAACUCUUAAGUUUUUUAAAAAAUAAAUAAAUAAAUAAAGAUUUGUUGAUGCUUAAAAAGCAUCAAGAAAAGAUAGUUUCUUGACGGUUUUGUGACGUUUCAUAACCGUCAUGAAACAUUACAUUUUGACGAACGUCUUUCUGAUAGUGGCAUCCGUGACGCUUUCCGAGCCAUCAAUUAAGGGCUAUCGUGAUGCUUUUUAGUUGUCAGCAAAAGGUGUUUUUCUUGUACUGUAUUCACUCAAAAUCGUUUUUCAUUUAGGGUUGCUAGUGUGGUUGAAUGCCAUUUGUUUUGUUAAUGAAUAUUAUACAUUAUGGAUUUUUGUAGAAAUGUCGCUUGAAAUUAUACCUCAGUUUCAAUUUGUCACCUUAAAGAAAAAUUUAAGAGAAAUGUCACCUUAAUUUUUCAAAAUCCACGAUUUGUCAUCUCACUUUAACAUCAUCCAAUUUUCCAUCUAUUUUAAGGGUAUUUUAGUCUUUUCAUUUUCAAGGGAAAAAAAGAGAGGAAGAAAAAGACCUCUCUCUUACUUUCUCCCCCAACCCAACCCCACCCGCCCCCCAAAACACAUCGCAUAGGACCGCCUCCCCCUUCCCCACAUUUCUUUUUUCUUUUUGGCCUACUUUUCCACUAUGUUUAUGUUGAAGGAUCUAAAGUUUUCUUGGUCACCAUCUAUUACGUAGGCUACCGACUUGUUGGUUUGGGUGGGUUGAGGGAAUUUGUGUGUGGAGGGCAGGUGUUCAUGUUGUGUGCACCAAGACCUUAUCGUUGAUGAACUAUGUGACGGCACACACACAAACUCGUUGAGAAUAAAACAAACAUACCACCAAGAGAGUAAAACAAACACACAAGGACACAAAGAUUUAUAGAGGUUCGGCCUCCUGCCUACGUCUUUUUGGUGAUUCACUCGAGAAAUUCACUAGUAUGUAAAAAUAACUUUGGUUACAACUGAACCCCCUUAGCCCUCACAAGAACCUUAGAUCUCUUUUCUCUCACCCUUGCUCAAACCCUUUGAUGCCCUUGUAGACACUCAAGAAUUCACCCUUGAAUUCUAUCUUGUGUUACAUCUUCUCUUCUCCCUUUUGUUAACCUAACCCUAAAAGUCCUAUUUAUAAUGCAUAGGACUUAAGUUACAAGUUAACUUGGAAUAGGAAACAUAAAAUACCCCAAAAAUUGGAGAAAAUCUGUCCAAAUCUAGCCUGCAAAAUCAUCCUUCUGCCGCUCGAGCUGCCGGUGGCGCUCAUGGGAUGGGGGAAUUGGAGAUUUUCUUUUCAAUUUUAAUUGUUUAAAAGAUAUACAAUUUUUUAUUAUAAUAAUUUUUCCAUUUUUAAAAUACACUUGAAAAUAGAAAGCUUAAAAUGCCCUUAAAAAUAGAUGGAAAAUUGGAUGGUGUUAAAGUCAGAUGACAAAUCAUGGAUUUUGAAAAAUUAAGGUGACAUUUCUCUGAAAUUUUUCUUUUAAAAGUGACAAAUUGAAACUGAGGUAUAAGUUCAGGCGACAUUUCUACAAAAAUCCCUAUACAUUACAAUAUUAUAACAAUAAAAUUGGCUAAAAUUGAUAUGUUCCCUCUUUUCUUUUCUUUUUCUCUUUUCCUUUUCAUUUUAUGCUUUGUUGCUAUUGCUAUGUUUAUCCUACAAAUAUAGCAACUUCUCCACCAUUCAUUUGUUAGUGACUACGAUGCUUAGUAACUUCUUCAGCUCCCCUUAUUUCCAUGUACUAACCAGGGACACCAGGUCAGCAUCUUCGGUAAGAAUCCUAACUCAAUCAAACAAUGACAUCUGUAAAUAUUCAAAAUUGGAAUUUGCAUUGUGAUAGUUGAAAGCAUCCUUGUCCCAAAAAAAGCCAAAAAAUAAAAUAAAAUUGAGAGCAUUAAGUCCUUUUCAAAUUAUGCUAAUAUGCAAAAUUGGAAUUUUGAUGGAGUUGCUUCCUUGACUUUUCCACCUUUGUAUCCAGUCCACUUUGCACAAGGAGCCAAGUUUGAGAGAUAGUUUUCUGUAUUUACACCAUCCAGGAGAAAAUUAAAAAACUAUUUCAUGCCAAACUAACUACGGAUUCUUGCAAAGGACCCAUUAGUGUAGUGGUUUGGAGUAUUUACUCCCUCAGGCAAGGUCUUGGGUUCGAGUCCUAGCAUUCAUGUUGUGUGUGUGAGUUUAAUAUGCUAUCACCCCUUCCAAUAGGAAAGGACCUCAAAAAAAAAAAAAAAACUACAGAUUCUUUAAUUGAAAGAAACCCCAUAUUAAUCAUCCUUUGGCACAUAAAUGUUUGGUAAUUGGCAUUAAAGUAUCUAAAGGUUACGAAAUUAAAGAUUUUAAUGCAAACCUAAAAUUGGAAAAGAGGGCACCAAUUCAUGUAAAAUAUGGUGUACUUAGUAGAUCCAACAUAUUUUUUUAGCAACCAAGGACAAUCAUCAUUUUUUUUUUUAAGAACCAAGGAUAGCUUACAUUCUAGUUUGUCCAUCAUGUCAACACAUUUAUAAUUAAAACUUCUUUUUUGGUGAGGUUUCAAUUUUUGUCACUGUAACAAGACCACAAUUGCCAUUCAGUAUGCUAACAUUGUCACUAUGUUUGCCAAUUGCAUAUUAUCUAGAACAUAAAGGCUUUGGUGUUUUGUAUAUCCUCGGGGUGCCAAACCUGUCUUUAUAAAAAUGGUCCUUAUGAUACUACUUUAACAACAAAAAAAUAUAAUAAACUAGGCCUUUGUAGUCACUGAACGAAUGUUUUCUCAUAGAUAUGACUAUUUAAAUGUAAUUACGGGAUUAAAACAUUAUAAUAAAUUGGAGUGAACCAUAACAUUAUAUAUGAUCCAAUCCUUUUCAUAUAUUUUUGUUCAAGACUUUGUUUUAGAAUGCUCUUUUACUAAUUUGGUACAGGUCCCUAAAAUCUACGCCUUUAUGAGGCAACGUCUUUAUUUCUUUGGUUAUUCCAGUUUAGAAUAUAUUUGUACAAAUGAGAUGACUCCCAACAUAAAGUCACAUUCAACCAAAAAGCAUGAAGUCACACACAAAAAGAACACGGACAAUUGCUAAGUUUAUCUUGUAUCCUUAUUUUAUUGAUCCAACCCAAUUGAAAAAUAAAAAAGAUGAUAUAAUAUAUUGUUCACUGCUUACAUCCAUGAGUAAAGUCCUCCAUUUGAAAUUGCGUGAUUAUACAAAAUUGGAAUGAAAAAAGAAAAUCCUACAACUAAAUUUGAUAUAUUCCUUUUCAUUUUAUGUUGGAUGUUAAGUUUUCUUGUUUCUUGUUGAAAAGAAAAAUGAAAAGAAAUAAAUAAAUUACACAGCUAGCAACUUCUCCACCUUCCCUUCUUCCCAUGUACUGACAACAAGGGAGGCCUUCAAUCCAAAAUAAAGACAAGGGAUGCCAGGUCAGCAUCUCAGAUAAGUAUCCCAACCAAAACCAAUCAAAUAAUGACAUAUGUAUCUCUUUUUGUGUUUUGUUCUAUUUCUCUUUGAAUUAACUGCGAAGUUUCAUAAGCGUGUCCUCCUUUUGAAAUUGUGUAUUAUUCAAAAUUGGAAUUUGCUGGUCAUACUUGAUAUAAGCUAAAACAGUUUCCAACAUCUUGUACCAUUUUUUUCCAGUGUGGGUCAUAACUUGAAGAAGCCCACCGACAAUUUCUCAAAAGCUAUUACCAUCCAACUUUGAAAAAUAAAAGUUUCAAAAGUUACCCCAAACAACAGCCCUUGAAAGAGAGUUUUCCAAGGCUAAAGAUUACAAGGAUGUUAUUGGCACAUGCAUUAACGUGUGACAAGAAGUUAGUUAUAUUUAUAAAGUAAAAGAACGAAGUACAUAACAUGUAAGUUGAUGCCAAAUAUUUGAUCAACAGAGCUAAACAUAAAACCACGACAAUAUAACGUUGUUCACCAAAAAUUGUGUUUCGUUGAGGGUCAGUAGUGUAGGUUUCAAGAUACGAUUUAUUUUGUUAAAGAAUAUUCUGAUAUUCUAACAAUAAAAUUGGCUCAAUUUGAUAUGUUUCUUUUUUUUUUUGUUUUUGUUUUCCCUUUCAUUUUAUGCUUUGUUGUGCUAUUGCUAAGUUUAUCCUAGAGACCAGGGAUGCUUAGCAAGUUUCUUCACCUGCCCUUCUUCCCAUGUACUAACUAGGGAUACCAUGUCAGAAUCUUAGAUAAGAAUCCCAACCCAAUCAAACUAUGACAUCUGUAAGUAUUCAAAAUUGGAAUUUGCAUUGUGAUAGUUGAGUGGAAGAAUCGAUUAAGGCUUGAGUGGAAGACAAACUUCAGUGGAGGAAAGUAAUUAAUCUCACAAGACAUAGCCCAUCAGUUGGCUCAUUUUUCUUGAGUGUGUAGUCCUGGCCUUGAGGCGAGGCCACAUUGCUUUGGAGAUUUCUUUCUACUUGGUGAAAUUAUAAUUUAGAAGAAGCAAACUGCGUUUUGCAAUUUGUGCGAUUCAAGCAUAUCUGACACUAGUAAUUAGACCAUAAUCUUUGUCCGACCAGAAAAUAAGAAAAGUUGUCUUGUACCAUUUCUGCCAGUGUGGGUCCCACCCACCCCAUACGAGUAAUUUGAAGAAGUCCACCGACAAUUUCCCAAAAGCUUUGGCGUCCAACUUUGCCGACCCCAUCCCCAUGUGAGGCCAUAGAAAAGUUUUCAGCCACAAUCAAAGAAGGGAACAGUCCUUGAAAAGAGAGGGUUUUCCAAGGCCAAGAUUACAAGUUCAUGUUAUUUACAGUCUCAAAAAGCUUCCAUACUUGUUUACAAACCUGUAUUUUCAAGUUGUGCUAGCCUAGCUAUUUGCAAAUCUUGGAAUAUUUUACUUCAUCCAAAUCCCUUGCAGUCUGCAGAGAAGAUAAAAGACAUGGCUUUGAUUGGAGAGGCUCUUAUCUCUGCUUCCGUCCAGGUGUUGUGCGACAGAAUUACUUCACCCGAGUUCGUUGACUUAUUUUGGCACAAGAAACUCGAUGAGCCACUCCUCAGGAAGCUGAGGACGACACUGUUGGCCUUGAACUUGGUGCUCAAUGAUGCAGAGGGGAAGCAACUUGUGAACCGAGAUGUGAAAAAGUGGCUUGACGAGCUCAGACAUGCUGUCUUUGAUGCGGAGGACUUACUGGAUGAGAUUGACACUGAAGCUUUGCGAUGCAAGCUGGAAGAAGGUGAAGAUCAAACUCACAAAUUUACCAAUAAGGUGCGGAACUUGCUCUUUUCUCCUCGUAGUCAUUUUUAUCAGAGCAUGAAUGAUAAGAUAAAAGAGUUACUAGCAAGGUUAGAAAACUUUGUACAACUGAAAAGUGCUCUUGGUCUGGGAGAAGUUGCUGGGAGGAAGGUUUCGCAAAGAACUCAAACAACCUCCUUGGUUCUUGAACCUUAUGUAUAUGGUAGAGAUGAAGUCAAAGAAAAGUUAUCAAAAGUGUUGCUAUCUGAUGAAGCAGGCAAGGAUCCUGUGUCUUUCCUCACCAUUGUUGGAAUGGGUGGGGUUGGCAAGACAACCCUUGCUCGAAUGCUUUACAAUGACGAUAAGGUGAAAGGGCAUUUUAAACUUAAAGCUUGGGCUUGUGUUUCAGACUACGAUGAUUAUAUUAAAAUUACUAAAACUCUCCUUGAGGCAGUCACUUCAAAGCCUUGUAACACGGCAAAUCUGAAUUUGCUUCAAAAAGAUCUAAGAGAGCAAUUGAGGGGAAGGAAAUUUUUAUUUGUGUUGACCUAUGGAAUGAGAAUAAUGAGGAUUUGAACUACCUUAGAGCUCUUUUUAUUACUUUAGGAACAAUGGGAAGUAAAGUCAUUGUAACAACACGGAACAAAAAUGCAGCAUCUGUCAUGCAAAAUGUUCAUAUUCAAUACUUAGAACCAUUGUCGUAGGAGGACUGCUGGUUAUUACUUGCAAAACAUGCAUUUGGAAAUGAAAAGUGUAGUGCACAUUCAAACUUGGAAGACAUUGGAAAGCAAAUUGCACUCAAGUGCAAAGGGUUGCCUUUAGCUGCACAAACACUUGGGAGUUUGUUACGUUGCAAUAUGGAUUUCGAGUACUGGAAUAGAAUACUAAAUGAUAGUUUUUGGGACCAACCCUAUGAUAAAACUAACAUUCUUCCGGCUCUAGGGUUGAGUUACCAUUAUCUUCCUACUCAGUUGAAACGAUGCUUUGCUUAUUGUUCAAUUUUUCCAAAGGAUUAUGAGUUUGAAAAGGAAGAUAUAGUUCAAUUAUGGAUUGCAGAAGGUAUAAUUCCACAAGCUGAGAAUGGAAAAAGGAUGGAAGCAUUGGCUAGAAUAUACUUUGAUGAGCUGUUAUCACGAUCGUUGUUUCAAAAGUCAAGUAAAUUCAGCUUCAUUAUGCAUGAUCUCAUUAAUGACUUGGCUAUGUUCAUGUCUCAGGGGUUUUGCCUUAGGCUCGAAGAUGGGGUAUCCCGUGAAGUUAAAAGAGCUCGUCAUUUGUCAUAUGCUAGGGGAGAAUUUGAUGCUGCUCCAAGAUUUGAACCAUUAUAUGAGGCUAAAUGUUUGCGGACCUUCCUACCUACCAUUUGUUGUGGGCAAAUCUACUGGAUCAGGCAUAAGAGAACUGAGGCAGUUCCCGCAACUUCGAGGAAAACUAUCAAUUUUGAAGCUACAAAAUGUAGUUGAUGCGAGGGAUGCACUGCACGCCAAUAUGAAGCACAAGAAAGAUCUCAAGGAGUUAGAGCUUUCAUGGGGUGCGGAGGAUGCUGAUGAUUCCCAAAAGGAGAAAGAUGUACUCGACAAGCUCCAGCCUUGCGUGAAUUUGGAGAAAUUAACCAUCAAAUUCUAUGGUGGAACUAAUUUUCCGAAUUGGUUAGGAGACUCGUCUUUUUCUAACAUACAAGUCAUGCAUCUCAGUGACUGUAGUUAUUGUUGGUCGCUCCCACCAGUUGGACCGCUACCGGCACUCAAACAGCUCUGUAUAAGAAGAAUGAAGUUUGUGAAGACGAUUGGCGUUGAAUUCUAUGGCAGAAAUGGAGCUUAUCUGACUCAGCCAUUUCGAUCUCUGGAGAAGCUAGAGUUUAGGGAGAUGCCAGAGUGGGAGGAAUGGGUACCAAGUGGAAGUGCAAGUGGAGGUGAAUAUGGUCCAGACUUUCCUCGUCUCCAGGAGCUGAUUCUAUACGAGUGUCCGAAGCUAAGAGGAAGUUUGCCUUGUGAGUUGCCUUGCUUGAAGAAGCUUACGGUGUAUGGGUGUAAGGUUUUACAUGAUGGAAGGGCCAUUACCGCAACUACCAAUAGUCUUAACUAUAAAUCUCUGGAAGAAUUGAAUAUAAGUGGUGGAUGCCAAACUCUGUUAUCAUUAUUAGAGACAAAGCUCCUGUCCGGACUUGAGAUUCGAAAUGUUGUUGACAUACAGUGCUUGCCCAACUGCAGUCGUCUUCAACAUUUGACUCUUUCGAAUUGUCCAACGCUGUCAUCAUUUCCCAAAGAUGGCCUACCCACUACAUUGACAUCACUUUAUAUAAACAAUUGUAGGAAAUUAGAAUUCCUACCUCAUGAGAUGUUGGCCAAAUUAACAUCGCUUGACUAUUUGUGCAUACAAAAUAGCUGUGAUUCAAUGAGGUCCUUCCCGUUGGGCAUUUUUCCCAAAUUGACGAGGCUUGAAAUUCGUGGUUGUGAGAAUCUGGAAUCCCUUUCCUUGAUUGAAGAAGAAGGAGCUGUUGAGAAUCUCAGCCAUCUCAAUUACUUGCAAGUCUAUAACUGUCCAAAAAUGGUGUGUUUUCACGAGGGAGAAUUGCCCACUCCCAACCUGAGUCACUUUGUAGUCGGUGGUUGCGAGAAUUUGAAGUCAUUGCCCAAAAGCCUUCACACCCUCACUGCCCUUCGAUCUUUGUCGAUAUGUAAUCUUCCGAAUCUGGAGUCAUUUGCAGAAGAUGGGGGUUUGCCUCCCAACCUCCGACAAGUAAGUAUUAGGAAUUGUGAGAGACUGAGGGCUUCAUCAGUGGGUUUGCAAGCACUUGACUCCCUUGAGAUCAGUGGAAGUGACCAUGUAUUCUCUAUCACACUCUUCACAUCUAUUCUCUAUCAACUCUGAAAUCUUUGGACGGAAAGGGUCUUGGACACCUCACUUCUCUUCAAGAGCUAGAUAUUAACAGGUGUCCAAGUCUGGAAUUCCUGCCAGGAGAGGAACUUCAACACCUCACUUCUCUUCAAAAUCUAUACAUUUGGAACUGUCCCAGUCUUCAAUGCUUGCCAGAAGAGGGUUUUCCAUCAUCUCUUUCUCAUCUGAGUAUCCGCCGGUGUCCUACCCUGGAGGAAAGGUAUAAGAAUAAAACGGGACGAGAUUGGGCCAAGAUAUCUCACAUUCCUUGCAUCGAGAUAGGCAACGAAGUGAUCAUAUAAUAUGAGCUAUUCCAUAUUUCACGCUCAACCCUCAACUCUCAAAUCAAAGUCAGGUGAGGUAUGUGCCUUCUCUUACUUUAAAAAACUGCUGCUCAAUAACACUCUUCGCACUCUAUAUAUUAUGGCCUGUCAGUCUAAAAUUCCUGCCAGGAGAGGAACUUGAACGCCUCUCUUCACUGCAAAGGCUACAUAUUUGUGGGUGUGACAAUAUCCAAUUCCUGCCAGAAGAGCGUUUGCUGCAAUCUCUUUCUUAUCUGUGCAUCGACCAUUGUUUUGCCAUGUAGAAAAGGUAUCUCACAUUCCUUGCGUCAAGAUAGGUGAAGAAGUGAUCAUAAGAUAUGAGCUCUCUCUCCCUCUCGCUCACAUACAAAGUACUUAAAACACUCAAUCUGAUUUCUAUUAUUAUUUUGCUCAGUAAAUUUUGUUUAAAUUUGCUUUGUUUCUCAUUGCGCUUGUUCUGCUUAUCACAACUUAUAUCCUAUUUAAAUCUCAAAUGCUGAAUAGUUAGCAGUCUUUUCGCAGGACAGCAUAUCUUCUCUUGGAGAGCUAUUCAUUUGCAAGGUUUCUUUAUGUGUCAUUUCCAGAGGAGGGUUUACUAUUUAAUAGAAAGGUUCACCUGGAAUAUCUCAAAUGACACAUUCCCAAAUACAGGCAUUGAAUGCACAACAUUUUGAGGUACUAUUUUUGUAAUAAAAAUGUACUUGAGUCUCAUUUGAGCUAGUUUAAAUUGUAUUCAAUGUCUAUGGAUAACCUGUGAGCUUAAGUUGUAAGAUAAAACUCACAGUAUAUUAUUAGGGUUUAGGGUUCAACAGGUGAGCUUAAGUUGUACUUUCCUAGGUACUGCAUGUAUAUUAUCUUAGUAUCAACACUUGGUCUUAUGUGGACGAGAGAGAACAUUUGAGGAAUUACAAAAUCUUCUUAGUGAAUUAAGCUUGUUUCAGCUCUGUUUGUCAUCCCUCACAUUUUCUUUGUUAAGCCUUGAUUUUUUAUUAGACAUACGAAAAAAUGCUUUUAUAAGACAGGAGAUGAAUGCUUUUAUAUGUUGAUGUCGUAGUCAGUCUUCAACCACACUCUGUUUUUAGAAUUCAUUUAUGUUACUAGUUGAGAGCUGCUGUAUUUUAUAUUUCGUUCCUGUAAUGUUUGGAUGUUUAGCUUGAGCAGUCUAGCUUAUCCAGUAGAUAACUUGUCCCCUGUUUUGUAAUGUUUUUGUUUCCUCUAAUGAAAGCAGGUUUUACUUAUCUUGAACUGCAGAAGCCUACUUUUUGACAUAGGUGGCAUGGCACAAACUCGCAUCCGCAUUUCCAUCCCCAUUGGCAUGCUGUCUCAUCUUUUCUAUUCUGUUACCAGCUUGAAGCUUGUGUGGACAUGUUAUGCUCUUGUAAUUCUGAUCACAAACAUCACUUGACAAAUGGAAAGUCACAAUCAGAUCUUUCAGGUGAUCUGGAGGUUUACUUUCUAACAUUUGUUUUCGUGGGGGGGAGACAACAAUACAGAAUUUAAAAUUUCUGAUAAUCAAUAGUAGUUUGCAUAUAUCAGCUGGGACCUGUAUGACUGUAUUAUGUAAUUAAUUAUUUCUCUUAUUGUUUGGGUACUGUUAAAAGGAGUUAGCCACACAACAUAAAAAAGGAGGUCUCUUAUUUCAUACAAUUUUUCAAAUGUGAUCAUUAAUCCGUUUCUUUUUCAACAAUAGAGGAAUGUAUACUAAUCGUCUGGUCCAUCUGCUGCUUCACUCCCUAGUAGCUUCAUCUCCUGUCCUUUGCUUUAUUUCUGUUGAUGAAUGUUUUGUCUGGGUUAUUUAUUUUCAUUUCAUGUCCAUUGCUUUAUUUCUGUUUGGAUUCUUAAUUAAAUCUGUCCUGGACUUGAACAAGGGUUAGGUUAGCUGUAUAAUUUGCGGUUUUAUAUACACAACUGUCUACAUUGAUUAAAACCAGCAUUAUUCUAAGGUUCAUUUAGAAUGUAUUAUCACCAAAAUUAUAAAGAAUACUUCUAUUACAAUUAAUUUGUUGAUUCUAAUUUGGACUUGUAGGAACAGACCAAACAUGUUCAUGCGUGGCAUUGCUCAAGUCAUCAUCAUUCGAGACAGAGAAUAAGCCUUCAAGUGUCUGCUGAGUCAAUGAACCUUUCUAGAUAUCUCAAGUGUAAUGGAAAUUGAUGAGUUACAAAGGAUUUGUAAACAUUUUCUACUGGAGGCUAGAAAUGCUUCAAAUAAAUGACCGUGUUGCAAUUAUUUUGUAGGAUCAAAGACUCUGCAAAGAGGUAAGAAAGUCAUCAUCAAGUAACUUUGCUCUUCAAACUUUUUAUUUUUAUUUUUAAAUAUCAGUAAUAACUGGGAAAGCUUGCAUCUCCUUAAAUUGCUCAUUCUUACAUCUUUUAUAGUUUGUUGAUCUUGGGCAAGUGGAGAGAGAGGCGUCAAGUGAUACGCAACAACCAUUUUCUGUGAGCUGAUUUGAUAAAGAGAAAUGGUAUGCUUUCUUGUCUUAAGCGGUGUGUUCUGCAAUUAUUUGAAACAAAGGAUGCCGCACUUCAAGUUCGAGAAAAUCAGGUAUUUUAGUAUUUUAUUCUUGAGAAAUUUGAUUUAUGUAGAAACUUGAACAUGUAAAUAAAAUAAAUAAAAUAUAUUAUAUGCUGUUAAUGAGUUAAUAUGGUGCUUGCUUCUAGUUGGAAAUUUAUGUAGUCAUCUACCUAUGAUCAAAUAAAGAUGAAGAAUAAAAUAUAAUUGAGAGCAUCUUCCUCUCCCCUGCUUUGCUCAUCCCUUGUUCUUCCACUUCAGCCCCACUAUUACACCAUUUUUUCAGCCACAAUUAUAAUAGCUCCAUGAGCAUUAAGUCCUUUUCAAAUUCUGCUGACAUUCAAAAUUGGAAUUUGCUGGUGAUAUAUGAUAGCAUCUUUGUCCGACCAAAAAGAGAAAAAAAAAAAGUUGAUAGCAUAUUGUACCAUUUUGGCCAGUGUACGCAAUAUUAUUGCAUCCAACUUUGCAUAUUAACAUCAGUGGCCACAGUUCCAUGAUUUGAGUGCACAGAAAAGUUUCAAAAGUUGUCCCACAAAGAACAGUCGUUCAAAGUGAAAGAGAGAUUUCAAAGCUUAAUUACAAGUUCAUGUUAUUUACAAUAUCAAAAAGCUUUCAUACUUGCUUACAAACCUGUAUUUCCAAGUUCUGCAAACCUUGGAAUAUCACUUCAUCCAAAUCCCCUUCCAAAGCAGGAAAAAAUGGCAGCAGCUUUGAUUGGAGAGGCUCUCAUCUCUGCUUCUAUCGUGGUGUUGUGUGACAGAGUUACUUCAGCCGAGUUCAUAGACUUAUUUCAGCAGAAGAAACUUGAUGAAACACUCCUCAUGAACCUGAAGACGACACUGUUGAUUUUGUUUGCGGUGCUCAAUGAUUCAGAGGAGAAGCAAAUUGUGAACCCUGAAGCUUUGCGAUGCAAGCUGGAAGGUGAGGAUCAAACCCACAAUAAUUAACCAAAAAGGAUCUUUUUGAUUGUUUGAAAGGAGGGUCUUGAUGAUUUGAAAGGAGAGGGUUGCUUUAUUUCUGUUGGAUGCUUAAUUAAAUCUUAUUUGGAGUUGAACAAGGAUUAGGUUAGCUGUAUAAUUAGUGGUAAACGCCUUUUUCUAAGGGUCAUUUAGACUCCUAUUACGAUUAAUUUGUUGUUUCUAAUUUGGACUUGUAGGAACAGACCAAAUAUGUUCACACGUGGCAUCGCUCAAGUCAUCAUCAUUUCAGACUGAAAAUCAGCCUUCGAGUGUCUGUUGAGUCAAUAAACCUUUCUAGAUAUAUCAAGUGCAAUGGAAAUUCAUGAGUUACAUAGAGAUUUUUAAACAUUUUGAAGAUUGCAACACCUGCAAGUGAGAUAGGCGGUGACGAAAUCAGAGCUGAUUUUGAAGCCUCUGAUGCCCCUGUUGUUGCAAGUUGCACCUGAGAACAAGUUUUUUUUUUCUUUGGGGUAAAAAACUGGCAACAUGUUCGGAGCUGACAAUUCAAUCCCUGAUGAACUAGAGAAGCAAAGCUCCGGUAAGGAAAUUGGUCAAGGUUGUGACAGGGAUGAUUGAUGGUGAAAUGGAUGCUAUUUCUUAUUGCAGCCUGUUCUCAAAGUUCUUGUUGGCAAAUGCAAUUGAUGGAGUAUUUUGAUUGGGAGGAGAGAUAAUGACAUGGCUUGACAAUUCUAGAACAGCCCAUCAUUAAUCCCAGAAAAAAUCCCGUUUCUGCUAAACAAUCACUUAUGGCAAGGCCAACUCUGUAAAUGGAAUUUGUGAUCCCUUCAAAUUGUACACAUUUUUUCUUUUUGAGGAAUUUAAUCAAACAGUAUUCUAAUGCAUUAUGAUAGCACUACACGCUUUUGUUGUAACAAAUUACAAGGAGGAAUUUGGAUUGAGUUUCUUGUAUAAGCACACCUUACACAAAUUUCGUAUAUUUUCUUCCAGCAAGUCUGUUUAUUAACCCCCUUAUCUGAAAUUAAUUGUUAAAAGUUUUGAUUCAUCUUUAAUCAGUGUCUUACCCUUGUUGAAUAACACUCCUCUUUCUAAUUUAUAUUUGAAGUUUGAGCUUUCAAUUUCAAUUGUGGGCUUUGAUUUUUCAGAUUUUGUUUGUCAAUUUCAGUUUGGACAAAGCAUAUAUGCAAACAAAGUAAGCAUUUUAUGUUAUACUUUUGAACUAGGUGUUGAUUUGAUUUAAUCAUAAGUUUUGCUGGUGCAUUUACUAGGCUAAUCAUUCAAUACUUUUGAUCAUAGAACUUCUUUGGUUGAUAUUAUCUUUGUUAAGUUUAACCAUAACUUUAGAGAGGGGACUUCAACAGAUUUAUAAUCUCAUCAUUAUAGUAUUAAAAAUUAGAGAUUAUUUAAGGCAUUGUCUAUUAUCUGAAUUCUGCUUACUUUUAGUUCAUAUGUUUACAUCUUAGCAUAUUCAUGUGAUUAGUGCGGCUCAUACCACAAAGGCAAUUUUAGGCUCAUCAAGUGCUAAGCAAUGUCAAGCUUCCAAAUGACAAGUUCUCUACAUAGUUUGAGACCUACACUUACUAGAUAUUAGAUCAUUUCGAUCAUUUCCAUAUGUUUAUAUGUAAUUGACAUGUUAUAACAUUUUUGUAGCGUUAUAUAAUUAUUUAGCAAUUUAAUUAUUUCUUUGCAACUUAAUUUUUUUUGUCAAUCAUACUAUUGUUGACUGCUAAAAACCAUCAAGAAAUAGUUCUCAAGUUAUAAAAAAAAAAAAAUUUUAAAAAAGAUUUGUUGAUGCUUAAAAAGCAUCAAGAACAGAUAGUUUCUUGACGGUUUUGUGACAUUUCAUAACUGUAGGGGGCUUUUUCUUCCGACAGCUGUAAAUGGGCUGGGCUGCCGUAAAGGGCAGACUGAUGAAAUUGUCCCCUUUUGUAUGAGCUCAAAAAUUAAGCCCCAAAAUACUUUGAAAGGGCAGCAGAGCCUUAGGAAGUAUUUUGGUUACCCUCACCAACUAAAACAACAACAACUUACAGGUAAUUACUUAAUGCUUAUGGAUGAACUCUUGAGCUUGGCAUGAGAGACAUAUGGCAUGGAAGCAAAAUCAACAUGAGUUUAGCACUGAGGGGAAAUUUAGGCUCUCUUGGGGGAAAAAGGGAAGUGUUAAGGUGAGAGAGGAGAAGUUUGUAGGAGAUUUAGCUAAGAAAGGAGAAAUAUAGAACAAUGCUCUUUUGGCAGCUUGACAGAUGCUCUGUUUGCCAGAAAAGGAAGAUGGAGAAGAAAUGUGAAUAGUGCAAGAGUUUGCUAGAUUUUUGCAGGUAAGAGAGGAAGCUUGCUCUCUGGGUCUGAGUUGAGUUUUUUUGUGUGGAAGAGACCUCAUUUUAUAGCCCUUGGAAACCAUCACUUCCCAAGAAACCCUAAUGGCUUCUACCCAUUUUGGCCAAGCUUUUCCCUUCCUUUCUCAUUUCCUUCCUUGACUUUACCCCUCUUGAUGAAAUCCCCUCUGCCUAUUUGCACCAUAUCAGAGUUUUUUGAAGCUCAAGGCCCCUUUUUCCCGCAGUUGUCUCAAUGGGAGACUUCCAUUCCCAGUCAUCUCCUUUAUUGCUUUCCUUUCUUUUUUUCAUGGCCAAGUUUGGUGGGGAAAGGAGUUGGGAUAUAUAUGCUGGUUUGAAGGGUGCUUCUCUUCCUGGCAUCUUACACACUAAUACCCCUUGGUUCCUUGAAUGUUUUGGCUUUGAAACUUGCUCUCCCCCCCCCCCCCCCCCCCCCCAUGUACUGGAACCUACCAGCAGCUCUAUUCAAUGAAUCUUCAGACCUUCUCUUCGUGGCUUUUAUUUUUUAUCAACGGGCUGGGGCUUUUGUGGCUCAUUGUGGCAAUUGUAUGGGCUAAGGUGGUUCAUUAAGUAAGUGGGCUAUUUUUAUUAAACAUUAGGCUUUUUGGUUGAGUCACUAGGCUAUUUUGAUUGGGCUAUUGGGCUAUUUUUUUCCUCUCUUGUGCUCACCCACAUGUUUGGACCAAAGAAAUGAGCUUGAGUCCUGAGGCUCCCAAGCGACCCGAGACUUUCCAUUUCUGGCCCAUCAAUGGGCCUCAUGUUGAUUUAUUACCAUCCAUACCACAACCCACUCAAGCAGGCUCCGGGCAUUUGAAUGACUUGGGCGCACUUAGGCUUGUAGUGUGGUUGGGUGCGAAAUAACGAUUUCGUGCUUGGCAUGUUUUAAUUUUAUCAUCCUUGGGAAAGGCUGCGAUGUUUGAUUUCGGCAUGGGCUUGUAGAGCUGGUAUGCUUUAUUUCAACUCCUAGCAUGACGAAUUAUUUAUUUAGCAUGGCACGUGAAUUACAACUCGCAUGUGGUGGGUUUUUGUGUACUACACCUUACGCCUCUUCUUAAUAGAACAUCGUUUUGGGCUGAUAAUUUAUUCGGGCCAAACCGUGAAUUUUUUGGGUCUCAAUAAUAACCAUCAUGAAACAUUACAUUUUGACUGACGUCAAGAAAUGGGGUAUCCCUUUCCUGAUAGUGGCAUCCAUGAUGCCUUCCAAGCAGUCAAUUAAGGGCUAUCGUGAUGCAUUUUAGUUGUCAGCAAAAGGUGUUUUUCUUGUACUGUAUUCACUCAAAGUCGUGUUUCAUUUAAGAUUAGUAGUAUGGUUGAAUACCAUUUGUUUUGUUAAAGAAUAUUAUACAUUAGGGAUUUUUGUAGAAAUGUCAUUUGAACUUAUACCUUAGUUUCAAUUUGUCACCUUGAAGAAAAAUUUAAGAGAAAUGUCACCUUAAUUUUUAAAAAUCCAUGAUUUGUCAUAUGACUUUAAAAUCAUCCAAUUUUCCAUCCAUUUUAAGGGUAUUUUAGUCUUUUCAUUUUGAAGGAAAAAAAAGAGAUGAAAAAAGAGACCUCUCUCUUACUUUGUCCCUCAACCCAACCCCACCCGCCCCCCAAAACACAUCACAUAGGAUUGCCUCCCCCUUCCCCACUUUUCUUUUUUCUUUUUGUCCUACUUUUCCACUAUGUUUAUGUUGAAGGAUCUAAAGUUUGCUUGGUCACCAUCUGUUACGUAGGCUUCCCAAUUGUUAGUUUGGGUGGGUUGUGGGAAUUUGUGUGCUCGAAACCCGAGACGAAUCUUGUGGAAUUCCCGACAUCACACCGAUGCCGGGCCCACUUCUGAACUAAAUUCUCUUUUCCAAAAUUAAGGAAAAAGAGUACGAGGCUUUCUGCCGAAAUUUCGACAGAGUAUUCCCUAUAAAUUUAACAUUUCAGCUUUGGUGGCCGUUCUCUCAUUUCAGCUUUGGUGGCCGGAUGAGAGAACGGUCGGCUAAAACGUGGCCAGCUGGCACUGCCGUCGCGAGAGAGAGAGAGAGAGAGAGAGAGAGAGAUUUUUAUCAAAUCAUUUUUGCCAAAAUUACGAUUAUGCAACUGAGGGUAUUUUGAUCGUAUCUUUUUCAUUAUAACUCUGAUUCAAGCCCACUACGUGUUUACGGACUCAUCUCGCCGUGCUCUAUGCAAUUGUAUAGUUGAAAUUCCCAAAUUCCACCCCAGUCAAAAAUUCAACUUUAAACCCUACAAAAUAUUAUAGGGGCAAAAUGGUCUUUUAUCUAAUUAAAUUAAUAAUUGAAAAUUUAUUUAGGACCGGGUUGUUACACUGUCGUUGAUGGACUGUGCGAUGACACUCACACAAAGUCCUUGAGAAUAAAACACACACACACCAUGAAGAGAGUAAAACAAAUACACAAGUACACAAAGAUUUAUAAAGGUUUGGCCUUCUGCCUACGUCCUCUUGGUGAUCCACCCGAGAAAUUCACUAGUACGUAAGAACAACUUUGGUUACAACUAAACCCCCUUAGCUUUCAUAAGAACCCUAGAUCUCUUUUCUCCCACCCUUGCUCCAACCCUUUGAUGCCCUUGUAAACACUCAAGAAUUCACCCUUGAAUUCUGUCAUGUGUUACAUCUUCUCUUCUCCCCUUUGUUAACCUAACCCUAAAAGUUAUAUUUAUAAUUCAUAGGACUUUAAGUACAAGUUAACUAGGAAUAGGAAACAUAAUAGACCUCAAAAAUUGGAGAAAAUAUGUUUAGAUCUCGUUAGGAAAUUGCACAACACGUGCGAUCCGCUCGAGCGCCUGCAAAAUGAUCCCUUUGUCGCUCAAGCUGCCGAUAGCUCAUGGGAUGGGGGAAUUAGAGAUUUUUUUUUUUUUCAAUUUUAAUUGUUUAAAAGAUAUACAAUUUUUUAAUAAUAAUUUUUCCAUUUUUAAAAUACCCUUGAAAAUAGAAAGAUUAAAAUGCCCUUAAAAAUGGAUGGAAAAUUGGAUUGCGUUAAGGUCAGUUGACAAAUCAUGGAUUUUGAAAAAUUAAGGUAACAUUUCUCUUAAAUUUUUCUUUAAAGUGACAAAUUAAAAUUGAGGUAUAAGUUCAAGUUACAUUUAUGCAAAAAUCCUUAUACAUUAUGAUAUUCUAACAAUAAAAUUGGCUAAAAUUGAUAUGUUCCCUCUUUAUUUUCUUUUUCUCUUUUCCUUUUCAUUUUAUGAUCCAAUCCUUUUCAUAUAUUUUUGUUCAAGACUUUGUUUUAGAAUGCUCUAUUACUAAUUUGGUACAGGUCCCUAAAAUCUCGGAGCCGCCUUAGUACAUUCAUAAUGUACAUGUUCAGAGUUCAAGAAUAAUGUAUAGAAUGUGAAAUUGACGAUGCCGGCCUUUAUGAGGCAACGUCUUUAUUUCUUUGGUUAUUACAGUUUAGAAUAUUUGCACAAAUGAGAUGAUUCCAAGCAUAAAGUCACAUUCGACCAAAAAGCAUGAAGUCACACACAAAAAGAACACGGACAAUUGCUAAGUUUAUCCUUGUACCCUUAUUUUAUUGAUCCGACCCAAUUGAAAAUUAAAAAAAGAUGAUAAAAAAUAUUGUUCACUACUUUAAAAUCUAUGAGUAGAGUCCUCCAUUUGAAAUUUCGUCAUUAUACAAAAUUGGAAUGAAAAAAGAAAAUCCUACAGCUAAAUUUGAUAUAUUUCCUUUUCAUUUUAUGCUGGGUGUUAGGGCUUGUCAAUGGGCCGGGCUAGGCUAGCCCGGCUCAAAUUUAAUGGGCUUGGGCUAGGCCGGGCCAAGCUUUAAAGAGGAGAGAGAAAAUAUCCGGCCGAGUUUUUUAAGAAAAUUCAAAGCCCAAGCCCGAAUCACUGCUGUCUAGCCCGGCCCAAAUUUAAUGAGCUUGGGCCAGGCCGAGCCAAGCUUUAAAGAGGAGAGAGAAAAUAUCCGGCCGAGUUUUUUAAGAAAAUUCAAAGCCCAAGCCCGAAUCACUGCUGUCAUUUCAUUGAUUUGUGACGAGCACAACCACCAAAUCAGAAUUUACUCACGAAAAUAUCAAGUAUGUCUAGCAAAUUUCAAUUUUGAAUAAUACACAAUUUCAAAAGGAGGACAUGUUGCAAGACAGCAUACCUUCUCUUGGGGUGCUUUUCAUUUUGCAACAUUUCUUUACGUGUAAUUUCCAGAGGAGGGUUUAUCAUUGUAUAUAGCUUUUCGGGUGGUUUGUCUACAAAACAAAUGUCACAAAGAAGGAGGAGAAACGGAAAAGAUUUACUUGGAAUGUCUCAAGUCUCCUUUGAGAUAAAGGCAUCGAAUGCACAACAUUGCUUUUGUGCUAUUUCAUAAUUAAAGUGUGCUUCCCAAGUCUCCUUUGUGUUUUGUAACUUGUAAUGUUUGUUUUUUUGUUUCCCCUGUUUUCCCUCUUAUAAAAGAAAUACAGGUCCAAACCACACGGAUCUACUUGCAUAAUAAUGGACCAAAUUUAUGAUUUUUAGAAAGAACCUUCUGCCGGUGGAAUCUUGGGCUACUGUUGUGGCUCUCCUCUGUGUGCCUCCUUUUUAGAACGGUAAAAUAUUCAAAAUACUAGAAAAUGUUCGUGAUUAAUAUAAAUAUUAAGAAUUGAAAUUAUUAAUUAAAUGAGGAUAAUAUGGUAAAUUCACACUUUUUUAUAUUAAAAAAAUUAAAAUUAAAAGAAAAAUCAGAUAAUUGAUAUUAUUUUUAUGGAACACAGCUACUCAUUAUCUUUUUUAAUUCUAAAAUAAAUUUAAAUUAAAGAAAAAAACCCCUCUCACAGGCACGGAAGCGCGUGCUCAGAGGCUAGUUAAAAAUAAUGAACUUUGCUUCUGAAGACGUCUAUACCAGACCCACUCAACCUGCUUUAUGAUUAUACAAAGAACAAACUCGUCCUUAGACUCAUUUGGUUAAACUUAGAAAAUAAUGAAACAAAAAUAUGCACUCCCACAAGUAACACAGCCAGGAUUGAAAACAACUGGACAAAGAAAGGCAUGUUAAAACAGAAUUUUCAACAACUCAUCACCAUUAGACAAGAAAAAGAAAAAUCAAUACAAAAACAGAAAGAACAGAGAAUAAAUGUGGUGGAAGAAAAACGUUGAAGCCAUUUGUGAAUCCAACAACACUACCACUCUGUUUCUCUCCUUUUGUUCAGGCGGAUCUGCAUAUAUCCUAAGGCGUAUUACGGAAACAACUUCUUGCCGUUAUACUUGAAUGUUGUGGAUGCUUCAACGUUGCCAUCUGGGUGGAGUGGAUUUGUCCAAUUCACCUUCACUAUGGUAUAUACGUCCAAAUUGUUGUUAUUUGAAAGGCUUCUAAAUUUUAACAUUUUGAUUUUUAAAUUUUGUUUAAAUAUUUCGGCCCACUUAGUUCUUCUCAAAAUAUGUCAUCAAUAUCGUUGAAAGGUUGAACUUAGUGAAUUAUUAUAGUGCAGUACUGUAGAAUAGACACAUGAUAUAAUUUGUCCACAUGUUAUAAUAUAAGUAAAUAUUUAUUGAUAUUAUUUCUAAAAAUAAGAAAUAUCAACCAUUAUAUCCUCCCAUAUUAUAAUACAUAUACAAAUUAUACCACAUUAUCAUACUCUAAUACCAUUUUAUAAUUUCUCGUACUUAGAGCGAGUCAAUGACAUUACAUAAUAUAUAAUUGUUCAUAUAAUGGGGCAACUAACGUGAUCAACAAGUUGUGGUGAUUAAUUUAACAUAAUAAAAAAUAUACCAUUUACUUGAGUGAUGUAACAAUUUGUUCUUUUAAAUUGGAUUGCCAUCACUUUAAUAUGAUAUGUUUCUUAUUAUAGUGUCCCAUGUUAAGUGCUUCAGCAUUGUUUGUGGUGUGUACACAAAUUUUCUUAUAAAAUGUUUUAAUGCUUCUCACAUGUAUAUCAGAUAUAGACAGUUGAUGUGACUUAGAAAUCAAAUUGUCAAUAAAGCAAAAAAAUAUAAUUGGUGAUUGAGGUCCAAUUUAAUAGAAAAUAGUCUUAACUUGUAUAUUAGAGGUUUCAGAUUCGAAUCCUCACUGCAUUAUUGUUGUAUACGUACACGAGAAAUCCUCUUCUCCAAUAAUUUAGACUAUCACUUAUACUAAAAAAAUAUAUAUAUAUAAUGACUUUUACGGAUGCAAACAUAAAAUUACACCAAACAAUAAUGGAAUAGAAAGAUGCAAGUUAUUUUUUUUUUUUUUACAUCUAAAGUAUACUUUAUAUAUAUAUUUAUUAUGGGUGUUAUAACCGUUUAAUUUUCAGUUUUUAUUUUCUAUUUAUUGUUUUAAUUUUUAUGGUUUAAUGUGUAUGAAGAUUACAAGUAUUGGAUGUCUACCACUCCUCCUUCACAUCUGAAACAAACCACCAUCUCAUUUCUGUAUUUUCAUACUUUCAUAUAUUUUCUACUUUCCAGAUUAUUAUUUUUGGGCAACGGUUCUGUGACUUGCAGAUUUCUAUCCGAUUGUUAACAUGCUCAUAGCGGACCUUGAGCUUGCGUAUUGGGGAUCGUAUCUUGGAGCCUUAUAGACCUUUAUUACCUGCAUGUAGGGAGGUUAUAAAUGCUUUAGGUCAGCAUCUUUGACGUGCUUUUGCUUUCUUUUUUUUUUUACUUAUUUCUUCGUUUCUUUAUUUUUACUUUACUUUUAAAUUUUUAUUUUAUGUAUUAUUUAUAUUUAAAAGUUUUGAAUAAGAGUUUUACAGAAAAGGAAAAACACAAUUUCAAAUAACACAAAUUUCUCGUUUUUGGUUCUUAAAAUAAAUGAAUUUUUUACUUAUUUGUGAACUGAAAUGCCUCUAAAAAAAUAAUGAUAGUUUGAAGAAUUUGAUAGAAAUUAAAAAAUAUCCUCAAAUUACUUGGAAUUGAAGACCACAUAGGCAAAAACACCAUUUUGGACAAAGGCUGGUGAUAAUAGUCGAUAUCAUCUUUAAGUACUUUAAUAUGAUAUGUUUCUUAUUAUAGUGUCCCAUGUUAAGUGUUUCAGCAUUGUUUGUGGUGUGUACACAAAUUUUCUUAUAAAAUGUUUUAAUGCUUCUCACAUGUAUAUCAGAUAUAGACAGUUGAUGUGACUUAGAAAUCAAAUUGUCAAUAAAGCAAAAAAAUAUAAUUGGUGAUCGAGGUCCAAUUUAAUAGAAAAUAGUCUUAACUUGUAUAUUAGAGGUCUCAUAUUCGAAUCCUCACUGCAUUAUUAUUGUAUGCGUACAUGAGAAAUCCUCUUUCCUAAUAAUUUAGACUAUCACUUAUACUAAAAUAUAUAUAUAAUGACUUUUACGAAUGCAAACAUAAAAUUACACCAAACAAUAAUGGAAUAGAAAGAUGGAAGUUUUUUUUUUUUUUCCUACGUCUAAAGUAUACUUUAUACAGUCCCGAUCUCUUGGACCACAGGAGUCCAAGAGAUUGUGGUCACCCACCGUUGGAUAUUAAUCCAAUGGUUCAAAAUGAUAUAUAUAAAUGCAAUAUGACAUAAAUGAUUAUUACCCGAUCCAAGUCAACCGUUGAAUUUACAUUCAACGGUGGGUGACCAUAAAUCUCUUGGACUACAGGGGUCCAAGAGAUCAGGACUGAUACUUUAUAUAUAUAUAUAUAUAUAUUUAUUUAUUAUGGGAGUUAUAACUGUUUAGUUUUCAGUUUUUAUUUUCUAUUUAUUGUUUUAAUUUUUAUGGUUUAAUGUGUAUGGAGAUUACAAAUAUUGGAUGUCUAUAAAGGGCCACUCCUCCUUCACAUCUGAAACAAACUACCAUCUCAUUUCUGUAUUUUCAUACUUUCAUAUAUUUUCUACUGUCCAGAUUAUUAUUUUUGGGCAACGGUUCUGUGACUUGGAGAUUUCUAUCCGAUUGUUAACAUGCUCAUAGCGGACCUUGAGCUUGCGUAUUAGGGAUCGUAUCUUGGAGCCUUGUAGACCUUUAUUACCUGCAUGUAGGGAGGGUACAAAUGCUUUAGGUCAGCGUCUUCGACGUACUUUUGCUUUCUUAUUUCUUCGUUUCUUUAUUUUUGCUUUACUUUUAAAUCUUUAUUUUAUGUAUUAUUUAUAUUUAAAAGUUUGAAUAAGAGUUUUACAGAAAAGGAAAAAUACAAUUUCAAAUAACACAAAUUUCUCGUUUUUUGUUCUUAAAAAAGAAGAAGCAUUGAUUGGGGAGUUAUGGUAAACUCAAUUUCAAUGGUUGCGAUGAGAGGCGGUGGCGGCGAGGAGAGGACGAAGGCUUUGCUGCCGACGGGGUGGUGUGGGUGGGUGGAGACCUCGGCUGGCUGCUUGGUCCUGGGUUCUCCUUUAAUUCUCUGUUUUCUUUUUUCUUUUUCUUUUUCUCUUAGAGUUAUUGAUGUUAAGUGAAUGGACAGAUGCCAAAAUAGGGACAGAAGUAGGGGUGGGCAUCAAUCCGGCCGAUCCGGUCAAUCCGGCCGAACCGAUUAUAUUGGAUUGGUUUGGUUUGGUUUUGACCAAAGAAAAAGUCAACAUUUUGAAAAACCGAACCGAACCGGUUUGGUUUGGUUCAGCUGUGGUUUGAGAGUUUUAAAAACUGUCCUAAACCGAACCGGACCGAUUAUAAAUCAAUUUAUUAUUUAUUUAAUUUAGUUUACAUGUGGCAAGGUUUGUGUGCGUUUUGUGAGUCCGCGUAUCUGAAUGUUGGUGCACGUUUUGAUCUUCUAAUUUGCAUAUCCCAGUUAUUUGUGUGUGCUUGUAUUUCCCUCUCUUUCUAUCUCUACUAUGUGUGUUUGCUCUUUGUGUUGUGUGGCUCUUCUUACUCUAUCUAUCUUAAUUAAUGGGUCCAUUUCAUAAUUUCAUACGCAUUCAAACUCCACCUCUGUGAUAAAAACAUUUACCUCUUUGUGAUAAAAGCUUUUCAUUUGUUUGUAUUUCUCUUUGGCUUUUUGACUCACUCACUGUCUUUCUUUCUUUUAAUGCUACUUGUGAUGAAUGCAAUGAGUAAAUUUAAUGCUACUUGGUUAAUGCAAAUUUUGUAUAUGUUUGUUUUGAUGGAAAUUGUGAACUUAGAUGCAUGCUAGACAUUGGACAACCUUUGAAUAAAUGGAAUGAUGUUGUAUUAGCCUUUGAUGGAAUGAAAUGAAAUGAUAUAAUGGCAAAAUGUUAGCAUUAUAAUGUAAGAGCAGGUUGAAAAAUGCAUGGUUUUGUGUUAGGCACAAACCGGCCGAACCAAUCCGAACCAAACCGAUUACAAGUGGUUUGGAUUGGUUCGGUUUCCAUUAUGAUUUUAGGCUAAUCCGAACCAAACCGGACCGUUAUUUUCUUAUUGGUUCAGCUGUGGUUUGAGAGUAAAACCGAACCAAUCCGGACCGUGCCCACCCCUAGACAGAAGAUGUGAACCCAAUUAUAUACAGCUGAUUACAUAAAGUAACAAAUUAAUUAAUACUUGAGUGGAGGACAGGCUUGAGUGGAAGAAUUGAUUAAGGCUUGAGUGGAAGACCAACUUCAGUGGAGGAAAGUAUAGAUAAGGAAAGCAUGCCUCGUUUAACGGCUUUAUCUAAUAAAGAUUAGUUGUUGGCACUUGGAGUUUCUUAGGAAUGCUGGUUUUGUUUCCUUGGUGGACUUGAAAGGUGGUGCGUUGGCUCGGACAUCUCCCUAGUAAUUAAUCGAAGGUGGAAUCUUACAAGACAUACAGCUGCUCAUUAGCUGAAUAUCUCGCUCUCUUUAAAGAGAUCGAAGCAAACUGCAAUUUGCAAUUUGUGUGAUUCAAGCAUGAAUAUCUGAUAUAGUAACUAUACCAUUUGUUGGUUUGAUAAGAAAAGUUUGGUUAGCGAGGAUGAAACCAUAAAGUUCUCCAAAACACACAAAAAACACGAACAAUUGCUAAGUUUAUUCUUGAGUUCACACAUAUUUGUACAAAUGAGAUUACUCCAAGCAUGACUAUACCAUUUGUUGGUUUGAUAUGAAAAGUACGGGCAACGAGGAUAAAACCAUACAAACACACACAAAGAACGUGGACAAUAUACUAAGUUUAUCUUUGCGUUAUUGAUCCGACCUAACUGUAAAAUAAAAAAGAUAAAAAUAUAUAAUGUUCACUACUUAGAUCUAUGAGCACUAAAGUCCUCCUUUUGAAAUUGCACAAAACAUCACUUUUGGUCUUUGGUAAAUUUUUAAAAUAAAUGAAUUUUUUACUUAUUUGUGAACUGAAAUGCCUCUAAAAAAAUAAUGAUAGUUUGAAGAAUUUGAUAGAAAUAAAAAAAUAUCCUCAAAUUACUUGGAAUUGAAGACCACAUAGGCAAAAACACCAAAUUGCAACCUCACUUUAAUGAUAAAAAUGGUAAACUACAAAGACAAAAAUGACGUUUUGCCUUAUACAUAAUUGGAAUUUGCUGGUGAUAAUAGUCUACCAUCUUUUGUCGAUUUGCUGGUGAUAAUAGUCUAUCAUCUUUUGUCGGUCCGACCUAAAAAGAAGAAAAAGUUGAUGGCAUCUUGUACCAUUUUUGCCAAUGUGGGCCCAAACAAUUUGAAGAAGUCCACCGGCAAUUUCUCAAAAGCUAUUGUGUGAGUGUGAAGCUAAACCAAUAUUAUUUUGCAUAUACGACUCCACAUCCCCAUGUGAUGUGAGGCUACAAAAGUGUUUCCAAAACGAAAUAUGAUAUUUCAAAACGAAGCUAUGUAUAGAGUCAUUUGUAUUUGCUUUCACAAUAACAUUUGAUUUGUGAAAGCAUUUUAUAUUUAUACAUUCUGAUAUUCUAACAAAUAAAUUGACUAAAUUUGGCCAACAGGAUUUAGCCGAAUAGAAAAGUCCUUAUUUAUAGACUAGUGGUUUCAAAUUUAAAGUUUAGACUAUCGCAUGUAUUUAAAAAAAAAAAAACAAUUGGCUUAAUUUGAUAUAUUUCCUUUUUUUCCUUUUUCAUUUUAUACUGGGUGCCGUUAUUAAGUUUUAUCCUUAUUUUUUGUUGAAAAGAAAAUUGAAAAAAAAUAAUAAUUCCUACAGCUAGCAACUUCUCCACCUUCCCUUCUUCGCAACUAGGGAUGCCAUUGCAAGGUCACCAUCUCAGAUUAAGUCCUCCUUUUAAAAUUGUGUCGUUAUUCAGAAUUGGAAUAUAAUCCUGUACCACUUUGGCCACUUUUGAAGAUGUUCACCGACAAUUUCUCAAAAGCUAUUAAGCUGUACAUCCACAAUAUUAUUGCAUCCAUCCCCAUGUGAGGCUACAGAAAAAUUUUGAAAACGAAACUGGAUAUUUUAUCUCUAACAACAGCUUUCAUACUUCGUUUACCCUGUGUUUCCAAGUUGUGCUAGCUAUUUGCAAACCUUGGAAUAUUACUUCAUCCAAAUCCCUUGCAGAGAAGAGCAAGAUAUGGCUUUGAUCGGAGAAGCCCUCAUCUCCGCUACCAUCCAGACGUUUUGUGACAAAAUUGCUUCGCCUGAGUUCACCGACUUAUUUCGGCAGAAAAAGCUCGAUGAACAACUCCUCAACAAGCUGAAGACGACGCUGUUGACCUUGUCCGUAGUGCUUAAUGAUGCAGAGGAGAAGCAAAUUAAGGAACCUUUAGUGAGAGACUGGCUUGACAAUCUCAGACAUAAUGUCUUGGCUGCGGAGGACUUACUGGAUGAGAUCGACACUGAAGCUUUGCGAUGCAAGCUGGAAGAAGGUGAAGGUCAAACCCACAAUUUAACCAAGAAGGUACGUGAUUUUUAUCAACGCAUGAAUGUUGAGAUGAAAGAUUUAUUAGAAAGAUUAGAACAAUUUGUACAAGAGAAAAGUGCUCUUGGUUUGAGAGAAGGUGCUGGGAGGAAGGUUUCACAAAGAAGAACAACUUCCUUGGUUCAUGAACCUUGUGUCUAUGGUAGAGAUGAAGUCAAAGAAAAUCUGUUACAAAGAAGAGGAUUUGCCGUCAUCUCUUUCUCAUCUGAGUAUCUCGCGGUGUCCUGCCCUGGAGAAAAGGUAUAAGAAUAAGACGGGACAAGAUUGGGCAAAGAUAUCUCACAUUCCUUGCAUCAAGAUAGGAUACGAACUGAUCAUAUAAUAUGAGCUAUUCCAUAUUUCACUCUCAACCCUCAACUCUCAAAUCAAAGUCAGGUGAGGUAUGUGCCUUCUCUUACUUUAAAAAACUGCUUCUCUUCUUCUAAUUGAAUACAAAAACCAAAACACAUAUUCUCUUUCUCUUCCAAAAACCCAAAUACAUGUUGAACAUUGCCAAAUUUGAUCUCCAAAUUCCUAAUUAUUUCACGCUUUUUGUUAUUUUGUUGCUUAGUAAAUUAUGGUUGCUGGUCACAAAUUAUAGUCUGUUAAUAGGUUCAUGCCAUGAAUUAAUCUUUGGACUUUCCCAGGUACUGCAGGUUUGUUAUUAAUGUUGUGGCCUGAUAUUCGUCGUAUCAAUAGGUUGUCUUACGUUGAGGAGAGAGAUCGAUCAGCAAUUACAAAAUUGUUAGUGAAUUUAGCUUGUUUAUCAUCUCUCUCCUUUUGUUUGUUAAGUUUGGUUGUUCUAGGUUAAACCCUUGUCCCCGCAUUUCACAGCAACUCUAUGUUAUUCCACUCUGUUUAGUUUCAUUUAUGUUGUGAUUCGACUGCUGCUGUAUUUUAGAUUUCGUUCAUGUAAUGCUAGGAUGUUUAAUCUCUUAUCUGUGGUGGUAGUUGAGUAGUCUAGCUAAUCCAAUGAUAACUUGUCCCCUGUUUUGUAUUGUUUUUAUUUCUCUGGUAAUGAAAGCACGUUUCUUAUAAAUAAAUAAAAAAUAUUUCAUUGAUAUUCAUUGCUUAUUUUGAACUGCAGAAGCCUACUUUUGUCAGAGUCAGUAGAUGCCAGAAUGAAGUCAUUGCCUAAACACAUUGGCACCCUCACAGCCUUCGACAUUUUGGGAUAUAUGAUCUUCAAAAUCUUGUGUCAUUUGCCUCCCAACCUGCAAUAUUUUCAUAUUUUAAAUUGUGACAGACUGAGCCCUUUGGUGGGAGAUUACUGGGGUUUGCAAGGACUUGGUGGCAAUAUCUUGUAGACGUUUCUCAAGGAACAGCUGCUCAAUACCACUCUUCACACUCUAUAUAUUAUGGCCUGUCAGUCUAUAAUUCCUGCCAGGAGAGGAACUUGAACGCCUCUCUUCGCUGCAAAGGCUACAUAUUUGUGGGUGUGACAAUAUCCAAUUCCUGCCAGAAGAGUGUUUGCUGCCAUCUCUUUCUUAUCUGUGCAUCAACCAUUGUUUUGCCAUGUAGAAAAGGUAUCUCACAUUCCUUGCGUCAAGAUAGGCGAAGAAGUGAUCAUAAGAUAUGAGCUCUCUCUCCCUCUCGCUCACAUACAAUGUACUUAACACAAACACUCAAUCUGAUUUCUAUUAUUAUUUUGCUCAGUAAAUUUUGUUUAAAUUUGCUUUAUUUCUCAUUGCACUUGUUCUGCUGAUCACAACUUAUAUCCUAUUUAAAUCUCAAAUGCUGAAUAAUGAGCAGUCUUUUCGCAGGACAACAUAUCUUCUCUUGGAGAGCUAUUCAUUUGCAAGGUUUCUUUAUGGGUCAUUUCCAGAGGAGGGUUUACUAUUUAAUAGAAAGGUUCACCUGGAAUAUCUCAACUGACACAUUCCCAAAUACAGGCAUUGAAUGCACAACAUUUUGAGGUACUAUUUUUGUAAUAAAAAUGUACUUGAGUCUCAUUUGAGCUAGUUUAAAUUGUAUUCAAUGUCUAUGGAUAACCUGUGAGCUUAAGUUGUAAGAUAAAACUCACAGUAUAUUAUUAGGGUUUAGGGUUCAACUGUUCAACAGGUGAGCUUAAGUUGUACUUUCCUAGGUACUGCAUGUAUAUAAUCUUAGUAUCAACACUUGGUCUUAUGUGGACAAGAGAGAACAUUUGAGGAAUUACAAAAUCUUCUUAGUGAAUUAAUGUUGUUUCAGCUCUGUUUGUCAUCCCUCACAUUUUCUUUGUUAAGCCUUGAUUUUUUAUUAGACAUAAGAAAAAAUGCUUUUAUAAGACAGGAGAUGAAUGCUUUUAUAUGUUGAUGUCGUAGUCAGUCUUCAACCACACUCUGUUUUUAGAAUUCAUUUAUGUUACUAGUUGAGUGCUGCUGUAUUUUAUAUUUCGUUCCUGUAAUGUUUGGAUGUUUAGCUUGAGCAGUCUAGCUUAUCCAGUAGAUAACUUGUUCCCUGUUUUGUAAUGUUUUUGUUUCCUCUAAUGAAAGCAGGUUUUACUUAUCUUGAACUGCAGAAGCCUACUUUUUGACAUAGGUGGCAUGGCACAAACUCGCAUCCGCAUUUCCUUCCCCAUUGGCAUGCUGUCUCAUCUUUUGUAUUCUGUUACCAGCUUGAAGCUUGUGUAGACAUGUUAUGCUCUUGUAAUUCUGAUCACAAACAUCACUUGACAAAUGGAAAGUCACAAUCAGAUCUUUCAGGUGAUCGGGAGGUUUACUUUCUAACAUUUGUUUUCAUUGGGGGGAGGACAACAAUACAGAAUUUAAAAUUUCUGAUAAUCAAUAGUAGUUUGCAUAUAUCAGCUGGGACCUGUAUGACUGUAUUAUGUAAUUAAUUAUUUCUCUUAUUGUUUUGGUACUGUUAAAAGGAGUUAGCCACAAAAUAAAAAAGGAGGCCUCUUAUUUCAUACAAUUUUUCAAAAGUGAUCAUUCAUCCGUUUCUUUUUCAACAAUAGAGGAAUGUAUACUAAUCGUCUGGUCCAUCUGCUGCUUCACUCCCUAGUAGCUUCAUCUCCUGUCCUUUGCUUUAUUUCUGUUGAUGAAUGUUUUGUCUGGGUUAUUUAUUUUCAUUUCAUGUCCAUUGCUUCAUUUCUGUUUGGAUUCUGUCCUGGACUUGAACAAGGGUUAGGUUAGCUGUAUAAUUUGCGGUUUUAUAUACACAACUGUCUACAUUGAUUAAAACCAGCAUUAUUCUAAGGUUCAUUUAGAAUGUAUUAUCACCAAAAUUAUAAAGUAUACUUCUAUUACAAUUAAUUUGUUGAUUCUAAUUUGGACUUGUAGGAACAGACCAAACAUGUUCAUACGUGGCAUUGCUCAAGUCAUCAUCAUUCGGGACAGAGAAUAAGCCUUCAAAUGUCUGCUGAGUCAAUGAACCUUUCUAGAUAUCUCAAGUGUAGUGGAAAUUGAUGAGUUACAAAGGAUUUUUAAACAUUUUCUACUGGAGGCUAGAAAUGCUUCAAAUAAAUGACUGUGUUGCAAUUAUUUUGUAGGAUCAAAGACUCUGCAAAGAGGUAAGAAAGUCAUCAUCAAGUAACUUUGCUCUUCAAACUUUUUAAUUUUAUUUUUAAAUAUCAGUAAUAACUGGGAAAGUUUGCAUUUCCUUAAAUUGCUCAUUCUUACAUCUUUUAUAGUUUGUUGAUCUUGGGCAAGUGGAGAGAGAGGCGUCAAGUGAUACACAACAACCAUUUUCUGUGAGCUGAUUUGAUAAAGAGAAAUGGUAUGCUUUCUUGUCUUAAGCGGUGUGUUCUGCAAUUAUUUGAAACAAAGGAUGCCGCACUUCAAGUUCGAGAAAAUCAGGUAUUUUAGUAUUUUAUUCUGGAGAAAUUUGAUUUAUGUAGAAACUUGAACAUGUAAAUGAGAGAAAAAAAAAUUUAUAUAUAUAUAUAUUAUAUUGUAUAUGCUCUUAAUGAGUUAAUAUGGUGCUUGCUCCUGGUUGGAAAUUUAUGUAGUCAUCUACCUAUGAUCAAAUAAAGAUGAAAAAUAAAAUAAAAUUGAGAGCAUCUUCCUCUCCCCUGCUUUGCUCAUCCCUUGUUCUUCCACUUCAGCCCCACUAUUACACCAUUUUUUCAGCCACAAUUAUAAUAGCUCCAUGAGCAUUAAGUCCUUUUCAAAUUCUGCUGACAUUCAAAAUUGGAAUUGCUGGUGAUAUAUGAUAGCAUCCUUGUCCGACCAAAAAGAAAAAAAAAAAAAGUUGAUAGCAUAUUGUACCAUUUUGGCCAGUGUACGCAAUAUUAUUGCAUCCAACUUUGCAUAUUAACAUCAGUGGCCACAGUUCCAUGAUUUGAGUGCACAGAAAGGUUUCAAAAGUUGUCCCACAAAGAACAGUCGUUCAAAGUGAAAGAGAGUUUUCAAAGCUUAGUUACAAGUUCAUGUUAUUUACAAUAUCAAAAAGCUUUCAUACUUGCUUACAAACCUGUAUUUCCAAGUUCUGCAAACCUUGGAAUAUCACUUCAUCCAAAUCCCCUUCCAAAGCAGGAAAAAUGGCAGCAGCUUUGAUUGGAGAGGCUCUCAUCUCUGCUUCUAUCGAGUUGUUGUGUGACAGAGUUACUUCAGCCGAGUUCAUAGACUUAUUUCAGCAGAAGAAACUUGAUGAAACACUCCUCAUGAACCUGAAGACGACACUGUUGAUUUUGUUUGCGGUGCUCAAUGAUUCAGAGGAGAAGCAAAUUGUGAACCCUGCUGUGAGAGAGUGGCUUAACAGCUCAAGCAUGCUGUCUUUGAUGCAGAGGACUUACUUGAUGAGAUUGACACUGAAGCUUUGCGAUGCAAGCUGGAAGGUGAGGAUGAAACCCACAAUAAUUAACCAAAAAGGAUCUUUUUGAUUGUUUGAAAGGAGGGUCUUGAUGAUUUGAAAGGAGAGGGUUGCUUUAUUUCUGUUGGAUGCUUAAUUAAAUCUUAUUUGGAGUUGAACAAGGAUUAGGUUAGCUGUAUAAUUAGUGGUAAACGCCUUUUUCUAAGGGUCAUUUAGACUCAUAUUACGAUUAAUUUGUUGUUUCUAAUUUGGACUUGUAGGAACAGACCAAAUAUGUUCACACGUGGCAUCGCUCAAGUCAUCAUCAUUUCAGACUGAAAAUCAGCCUUCAAGUGUCUGUUGAGUCAAUAAAACUUUCUAGAUAUAUCAAGUGCAAUGGAAAUUCAUGAGUUACAUAGAGAUUUGUAAACAUUUUGAAGAUUGCAACACCUGCAAGUGAGAUAGGCGGUGACGAAAUCAGAGAUGAAGCCUCUGAUGCCCCUGUUGUUGCAAGUUGCACCUGAGAACAUGUUUUUUUUUCUUCUUUGGGGUAAAAAACUGGCAACAUGUUCGGAGCUGACAAUUCAAUCCCUGAUGAACUAGAGAAGCAAAGCUCCGGUAAGGAAAUUGGUCAAGGUUGUGACAGGGAUGAUUGAUGGUGAAAUGGAUGCUAUUUCUUAUUGCAGCCUGUUCUUAAAGUUCUUGUUGGCAAAUGCAAGAGAUGGAGUAUUUUGAUUGGGAGGAGAGAUAAUGACAUGGCUUGACAAUUCUAGAACAGCCCAUCAUUAAUCCCAGAAAAAAUCCAGUUUCUGCUAAACAAUCACUUAUGGCAAGGCCAACUCUGUAAAUGGAAUUUGUGAUCCCUUCAAAUUGUACACAUUUUUUCUUUUUGAGGAAUUUAAUCAAACAGUAUUCUAAUGCAUUAUGAUGGCACUACACGCUUUUGUUGUAACAAAUUACAAGGAGGAAUUUGGAUUGAGUUUCUUGUAUAAGCACACCUUACACAAAUUUCGUAUAUUUUCUUCCAGCAAGUCUGUCUAUUAAACCCCUUAUUUGAAAUUAAUUGUUAUAAGUUUUGAUUCAUCUUUAAUCAGUGUCUUCCCCUUGUUGAAUAACACUCCUCUUUCUAAUUUAUAUUUGAAGUUUGAGGUUUCAAUUUCAAUUGUGGGUUUUGAUUUUACAGAUUUUGUUUGUCAAUUUCAGUUUGGACAAAGCAUAUGCAAUCAAAGUAAGCAUUUUAUGUUAUACUUUUGAACUAGGUGUUGAUUUGAUUUAAUCAUAAGUUUUGCUGGUGCAUUUACUAGGCUAAUCAUUCAAUACUUUUGAUCAUAGAACUUCUUUGGUUGAUAUUAUCUUUGUUAAGUUUAACCAUAACUUUAGAGAGGGGACUUAACAGAUUUAUAAUCUCAUCAUUAUAGUAUUAAAAAUUAGAGAUUAUUUAAGGCAUUGUCUAUUAUCUGAAUUCUGCUUACUUUUAGUUCAUAUGUUUACAUCUUAGCAUAUUCAUGUGAUUAGUGCGGCUCAUACCACAAAGGCAAUUUUAGGCUCAUCAAGUGCUAAGCAAUGUCAAGCUUCCAAGUGACAAGUUCUCUACAUAGUUUGAGACCUACACUUACUAGAUAUUAGAUCAUUUGGAUCAUUUCCAUAUGUGUAUAUGUAAUUGACAUGUUAUAACAUUUUUGUAGCGUUAUAUAAUUAUUUAGCAAUUUAAUUAUUUCUUUGCAACUUUAUUUUUUUUGUCAGUCAUACUAUUGUUGACUGCUAAAAACCAUCAAGAAAUAGUUCUUAAGUUAUAAAAAAAAAUUAUAAAAAAAAAGAUUUGUUGAUGCUUAAAAAGCAUCAAGAACAGAUAGUUUCUUGACGGUUUUGUGACGUUUCAUAACUGUAAGGGGCUUUUUCUUUCGACAGCUGUAAAUGGGCUGGGCUGCCGUAAAGGUCAAGACUGAUGAAAUUGUCCCUUUUUGUCUGAGCUCGAAAAUUAUGCCCCAAAAUACUUUGAAAGGGCAGCAGAGCCUUAGGAAGUAUUUUGGUUACCCUCACCAACUAAAACAACAACAACUUACAGGUAAUUUCUUAAUGCUUACAGAUGAACUCUUGUGCUUGGCAUGAGUGACAUGUGGCAUGGAAGCAAAAUCAACAUGAGUUUAGCACUGAGGCGAAAUUUAGGCUCUCUUGGGGGAAAAAGGGAAGUGUUAAGGUGAGAGAGGAGAAGUUUGUAGGAGAUUUAGCUAAGAAAGGAGAAAUAUAGAACAAUGCUCUUCUGGCAACUUGACAGAUGCUCUGUCUGCCAAAAAAGGAAGAUGGAGAAGAAAUGUGAAUAGUGCACGAAUUUGCUAGAUUUUUGCAGGUAAGAGAGGAAGCUUGCCCUAUGGGUCUGAGUUGAGUUUUGUUGGGUGGAAGAGACCUCAUUUUAUAGCCCCUGGAAACCAUCACUUCCCAAGAAACCCUAAUGGCUUCUACCUAUUUUGGCCAAGCUUUUCCCUUCCUUUCUCAUUUCCUUCCUUGAGUUUACCCCUUUUGAUGAAAUCCCAUCUGCCUAUUUGCACCAGAUCAAAGUUUUUUGAAGCUCAAGGCCCCCAUUUUCUUGCAGUUGUCUCAAUGGGAGACUUCCAUUCCCAGUCAUUCUCCUUUAUUGCUUUCCUUUCUUUUUUUCAUGGCCUAGUCUGGUGGGGAAAGGAGUUGGGAUAUAUAUGCUGGUUUGAAGGGUGCUUCUCUUCCUGACAUCUUACACACUAAUACCCCUUGGUUCCUUGAAUGUUUUGGCUUUGAAACUUGCUCCCCCCCUCCCCCCAUGUACUGGAACCUCCCAGCAGCUCUGUUCAAUGAAUUUUCAGACCUUUUCUUCAUGGCUUUUAUUUUUUUAUUAACUGGCUGGAGCUUUUGUGGCUCAUUGUGGCAAUUGUAUGGGCUAAGGUGGUUCAUUAAGUAAGUGAGCUAUUUUUAUUAAACAUUGGGCUUUUUGGUUGAGUCACUAGGCUAUUUUGAUUGGGCUAUUGGGCUAUUUUUUCCUUUCUUGUACUCACCCACAUGUUUGGACCAAAGAAAUGAGCUUGAGUCCUGAGGCUCCCAAGCGACCCGAGACUUUCCAUUUCUCGGCCCAUCAAUGGGCCUCAUGUUGAUUUAUUACCAUCCAUACCACAACCCACUCAAGCAAGCCCCGGGCAUUUGAGUGGCUUGGGCCCACUUAGGCUUGUAGUGUGGUUGGGUGCGAAAUGACGAUUUCGUGCUUGGCAUGUUUUAAUUUUAUCAUCCUUGGGAAAGGCUGCGAUGUUUGAUUUCGGCAUGGGCUUGUAGAGCUGGUAUGCUUUAUUUCAACUCUAGCAUGACGAAUUAUUUAUUUAGCAUGGCACGUGAAUUACAACUCGCAUGGGGUGGGUUUUUGUGUACUACACCUUACGCCUCUUCUUAAUAGAACAUCGUUUUGGGCUGAUAAUUUAUUCGGGCCCAACUGUGAAUUUUUUGGGUCUCAAUAAUAACCAUCAUAAAAUAUUACAUUUUGACUGACGUCAAGAAAUGGGGUAUCCCUUUCCUGAUAGUGGCAUCCAUGAUGCCUUCCAAGCCGUCAAUUAAGGGCUAUCGUGAUGCAUUUUAGUUGUCAGCAAAAGGUGUUUUUCUUGUAUUGUAUUCACUCAAAAUCAUGUUUCAUUUAAGACUAGUAGUAUGGUUGAAUACCAUUUGUUUUGUUAAAGAAUAUUAUACAUUAGGGAUUUUUGUAGAAAUGUCAUUUGAACUUAUACCUUAGUUUCAAUUUGUUACCUUGAAGAAAAAUUUAAGAGAAAUGUCACCUUAAUUUUUAAAAAUCCAUGAUUUGUUAUAUGACUUUAAGAUCAUCCAAUUUUCCAUCCAUUUUAAGGGGAUUUUAGUCUUUUCAUUUUCAAGGAAAAAAAAGAGAUGAAAAAAGAGACAUCUCUCUUACUUUGUUGCCCAACCCAACCCAACCCCACCCGCCCCCCAAAACCACAUAGGAUUGCCUCCCCUUUCCCCACUUUUCUUUUUUCUUUUUGUCCUACUUUUCCACUGUGUUUAUGUUGAAGGAUCUAAAGUUUGCUUGGUCACCAUCUGUUACGUAGGCUUCCCAAUUGUUGGUUUGGGUGGGUUGUGGGAAUUUGUGUGUGGAGGGCAAGACCCUAUCUGACAGGACCUGCCUCGAAUUCCUCGAAACCCGAGACGAAUCUUGUGGAAUUCCCGACAUUACACCGAUGUCGGGCCCACUUAUGAACUAAAUCCUCCUUUCCAAAAUUAAGGAAAAAGAGUACGAGGCUUUCUGCCGAAAUUGCGGCAGUGUCUUCCUUAUAAAUUUAACAUUUCAGCUUUGGUGGCCAUUCUCUCAUUUUAGCUUUGGUGGCCGGAUGAGAGAACGGCCGGCUAAAACGUGGCCAACUGGCAUUGCCGUCGCGAGAGAGGAGAGAGAGAGAGAGAUUUUUAUCAAACCAUUUUUGCCAAAAUUACGAUUAUGCAACUGAGGGUAUUUUGAUCGUAUCUUUUUUGUUAUAACUCCGAUUCAAGCUCACUACAUGCCUAUGGAUUCAUCUCGCCGUGCUUUAUGCAAUUGUAUAGUUGAAAUUCCCAAAUUCCAUCCCAGUCAAAAGUCAACUUUAAACCCUAUAAAAUAUUCUAGGGGAAGAAUGGUCUUUUAUCUAAUUAAAUUAAUAAUUGAAAAUUUAUUUAGGAUCGGGUCGUUACACUGUCGUUGAUGGACUGUGCGAUGACACUCACACAAAGUCCUUGAGAAUAAAACACACACACACCGUGAAGAGAGUAAAACAAAUACACAAGUACACAAAGAUUUAUAAAGGUUUGGCCUCCUGCCUACGUCCUUUUGGUGAUCCACCCGAGAAAUUCACUAGUAUGUAAGAACAACUUUGGUUACAACUAAACCCCCUUAGCUUUCAUAAGAACCCUAGAUCUCUUUUCUCCCACCCUUGCUCCAACCCUUUGAUGCCCUUGUAAACACUCAAGAAUUCACCCUUGAAUUCUGUCAUGUGUUACAUCUUCUCUUCUCCCCUUUGUUAACCUAACCCUAAAAGUUAUAUUUAUAAUUCAUAGGACUUUAAGUACAAGUUAACUAGGAAUAGGAAACAUAAAAGACCCCCAAAAUUGGAGAAAAUAUGUCUAGAUCUCGUUAGGAAAUUGCACAACACGUGCGAUCCGCUCGAGCGCCUGCAAAAUCAUCCCUUUGCCGCUCGAUCUGCCGAUAGCUCAUGGGAUGGGGGAAUUAGAGAUUUUUUUUUUUUCAAUUUUAAUUGUUUAAAAGAUAUACAAUUUUUUAAUAAUAAUUUUUCCAUUUUUAAAAUACCCUUGAAAAUAGAAAGAUUAAAAUGCCCUUAAAAAUGGAUGGAAAAUUGGAUGGUGUUAAGAUCAGAUGACAAAUCAUGGAUUUUGAAAAAUUAAGGUAACAUUUCUCUUAAAUUUUUCUUUAAAGUGACAAAUUGAAAUUGAGGUAUAAGUUCAAGUUACAUUUCUGCAAAAAUCCUUAUACAUUAUGAUAUUCUAACAAUAAAAUUGGCUAAAAUUGAUAUGUUCCCUCUUUUAUUUUCUUUUUCUCUUUUCCUUUUCAUUUUAUGAUCCAAUCCUUUUCAUAUAUUUUUGUUCAAGACUUUGUUUUAGAAUGCUCUAUUACUAAUUUGGUACAGGUCCCUAAAAUCUCAGAGCCGCCUUAGUACAUUCAUAACGUACAUGUUCAGAGUUCAAGAAUAAUGUAUAGAAUGUGAAAUUGACGAUGCCGGCCUUUAUGAGGCAACGUCUUUAUUUCUUUGGUUAUUCCAGUUUAGAAUAUUUGCACAAAUGAGAUGACUCCAAGCAUAAAGUCACAUUCGACCAAAAAGCAUGAAGUCACACACAAAAAGAACACGGACAAUUGCUAAGUUUAUCCUUGUACCCUUAUUAUCCGACCCAAUUGAAAAAUAAAAAAAGAUGAUAAAAAAUAUUGUUCACUGCUUUAAAAUCUAUGAGUAGAGUCCUCCAUUUGAAAUUUCGUCAUUAUACAAAAUUGGAAUGAAAAAAGAAAAUCCUACAGCUAAAUUUGAUAUAUUUCCUUUUCAUUUUAUGCUGGGUGUUAGGGCUCGUCAAUGGGCCGGGCCAGGCUAGCCCGGCCCAAAUUUAAUGGGCUUGGGCCAGGCUGGGCCAGGCUUUAAAGAGGAGAGAGAAAAUAUCAGGCCGAGUUUUUUAAGAAAAUUCAAAGCCCAAGCCCGACCCAUGAGCCCGGCUUGAGAAAGCCCAUCGGGCCGGCCCGGGCCUAAACAGGCCCUACUUCGUUAAAAAAAAAUCAUAAACUUAAUCAUAAGGUCAUUUUAGUCCAAAUUUGAGAUUAAACUCACUUAAUUCCAAUAUUUUCACUUCAAACCAAAUUCAUAAAACACCCAAUAAAGUCACACAGCUUGUAAGAUUUUCCACAAAAAUAAUAAAACCAAGUACUAUUUUUGAGGUUAUUACAUAAUUAGAUCGUAAUAUGUUUUAAGAAAUAAUUUUAAAAAAUAAUAUUAAUAAGUAUCAAAAAAAUAAUUUUUUAAAGGAUGGUAUGAAUAAAUAUGCAAAUAUUUGGUGAUGUGUUCAAGAAAAGGAUGAUUAUAUUUGGUGGUACGAUUAUGUUUCGUGAUAUGAUUAUAAUUAGUGAUGUGAUAUGUUGUUCAUCUUAUAUAUAUAUAUAAUUGUUGAAUUAAUAAUUGACACAAAUUAAUGUGUUAAUCAUCCAAUUAUAAACUAGGAAUGAAUAAAGAAAAGUAAAUGAAAUGAAACAAAUUAUAUAUGUGAUUUAAGUGAUAUAAUCCUAAACCUAAACUCUUAUUUAUACAUAAUUAUAUAUGUAUGCGGGCCUAACGAGCCGGACUUUUGUGGGCGGGUAGGGCCGGGCUUUAUUGGGCUUAAUCGGGCUUUAUUGGACUUAAUCGGGCUGGGCCUAUAGGUCGGACCGAGCUUCAGACAUCCAAGCCCACGCCUAGCCUCGCCCGCCUUGGGCCGGGCCAUUCUUUUUUUGGGGUUCUAUUUCUCUUUGAAUUAACUGCUGAGUUUCAUGAACAUGUCCUCCUUUUGAAAUUGUGUAUUAUUCAAAAUUGGAAUUUGCUGGACAUACUUGAUAUUUUCGUGAGUAAAUUCUGAUUUGGUGGUUGUGCUCGUCACAAAUCAAUGAAAUGACAGCAGUGAUUUUGCAAGACAGCGUACCUUCUCUUGGGGUGCUUUUCAUUUUGCAACAUUUCUUUACGUGUAAUUUCCAGAGGAGGGUUUAUCAUUGUAUACAGCUCUUCGGGUGGUUUUUCUACAAAACAAAUGUCACAAAGAAGGAGGAGAAGCGGAAAAGAUUUACUUGGAAUGUCUCAAGUCUCCUUUGAGAUAAAGGCAUCGAAUGCACAACAUUGUUUUUGUGCUAUUUCAUAAUUAAAGUGUGCUUCCCAAGUCUCCUUUGUGUUUUGUAACUUGUAAUGUUUGUUUUUUUGUUUCCCAUGUUUUGUCUCUUAUAAAAGAAAGGCUUUUUAUCACAAAUGGUCCUUCAGGUUUACAAAAUUAUCACAAAUCGUCCUUCAAGUUUUUUUGUGACACUAAUAGUCCUUCAGGUUAUCAUUUACCCAUCAAAAUGGUCCUUCUGUCAGUUUCUGUCAAAACUGACGUUAAAUUCCUGUGCUCAGCCUGCUUUUGAAAUGAUAAUCUCAUCUUUUCCACUCAACCUUCAACCAAACUCAACUGUCAGAACCCUUUCCCUCCAUUUCCUCAUGGUCCUUCCAGUUUGGCGCCCCUGUAAUAUAUAACCAAUCUUAAAAAUUAAACUUCUGAAGAAAUUGAAACAAUCCAAGCUCAAGAGAAAGACCAACAAUUGAGAACUGCAGAGAAAGAUCAAACUCAUGGAUCAAUAUGGUAAAGCCAAAUUGAAAAACAUAAUUUGCUAAAGAUAAAGCCAAACUGAAAAACCAAACUGAAAAACAUAAAGAUAUCAUUGACAAAUAUAAAAAGUUAAAAAAUAUUGCACAAUCAAAAUACAACCACAUGUUUCACAAAACAAAACAAAACAACCACAUUUGCAGACAAGCUGUAGUUUACACUUUAACAAAGAUUAAAAAACUAACCUGUAUACUUUGGUUGUUUCCCCCCCUUUCGAAAGAACUCCUCGGACUCAUCCAUCUAGUCACUUUUGUAAGAAGAAUAAUGCGUAUUUGACUCUUACGAACCCAGAUAUUCCUUUUGCAGACCAGCUUUAUCAAUUAAAAACCCAAAAAACCUUAAUUGUGCAGGGCCCGAGGAUGAAAUGGAGGGAAAAGGUUAUAUAUGCGGUUUAGAGCGCCAAAAUGGAAGGCCCGAUGAAGAAAUGGAGGGAAAGGGUUAUUUCAGUUGGGUUUGGUCGAAGGUUGAGUGGAAUGAUGCGAUUAUCAUUUCAAAAGGCAGGCUGAGCACGCGACUUUAACGUCAGUUUUGACAGAAACUAACAGAAGGACUAUUUUGAUGGAUAGAUGUUAAACUAAAGGACUAUUAGUGACACAAAAAAACCUAAAGGAUGAUUUGUGAUAAUUUUGUAAACCUGAAGGACCAUUUGUGAUAAAAAGCCUAAAAGAAAUACAGGUCCAAACCACACGGAUCUACUUGCAUAAUAAUGGACCAAAUUUAUGAUUUUUAGAAAGAACCUUCUACUGGUGGAAUCUUGGGCUACUGUUGUGGCUCUCCUCUGUGUGCCUCCUUUUUAGAACGAUAAAAUAUUCAAAAUACCAGAAAAUGUUCAUGAUUAAUGCAAAUAUUAAGAAUUGAAAUUAUUAAUUAAAUGAAGAUAAUAUGGUAAAUUCACACUUUUUCAUAUUAAAAAAAUUAAAAUUAAAAGAAAUAUCAGAUAAUUACUCUUAUUUUUAUGGAACACAGCUACCCAUUAUCUUUUUUAAUUAUAAAAUAAAUUUAAAUUAAAAAAAAAAUCUCUCUCACAGACACGGAAGCGCGUGCUCAGAGGCUAGUUAAAAAUAAUGAACUUUGCUUUUGAAGACGUCUAUACCAGACCCACUCAACCUGCUUUAUGAUUAUGCAAAGAACAAACUCGUCCUUAGACUCAUUUGGUUAAACUUAGAAAAUAAUGAAACAAAAAUAUACACACCCACAAGUAACACAGCCAGGAUUGAAAACAACUGGAAAAAGAAAGGCAUGUCAAAACAAAAUUUUCAACAACUCAUCACCAUUAGACAAGAAAAAGAAAAAUCAAUACAGAAACAGAAAGAACAGAGAAUAAAUGUGGUGGAAGAAAAACGUUGAAGCCAUUUGUGAAUCCAACAACACUACCACUCUGUUUCUCUCCUUUUGUUCAGGCGGAUCUGCAUAUAUCCUAAGGCGUAUUACGGAAACAACUUCUUGCGGUUAUACUUGAAUGUUGUGGAUGCUUCAACGUUGCCAUCUGGGUGGAGUGGAUUUGUCCAAUUCACCUUCACUAUGGUUAAUCAACUAGACAGACAUAAGUCAGAAACAAUAGGUAUAUACGUCCAAAUUGUUGUUAUUUGAAAGGUUCUAAAUUUUAACAUUUUGUUGUAAAUGUGGAGAGAAAAAGUAGAGAAUUGGAAUAGAGAGGAGAGACUGAUUUUCUCAUUCAUAUGUUCAGAUGAAUGUCUUCAGUGUAUAUUUUACAAGUAGGGGGAGGUAUCUAUUUAUAGGCUAAGGUUUUGGUAAAAUACAGGGAAGGAAAGUUCCUGGAAGAUGCAAGGAAACUUCCUCUGUGGGCUCCACCUUCAAACUUUUACAACACUCCCCCUUGGAGACCACAAAUGAUAUGGAAUAUGCCUCGUUAAAAACCUUGCCAGUAAAAACCCAGUGGGACAAAAACUGGUCAAAGGGAAAAAGAGUACAUAAUGAUGUGUAACAUAAAAUUCUGUGUAUAUUGACGCGCGUGCGACACUGCCUCGUUAAAACCUUGCCAGGAAAAACCCAGUGGGAUGAAAACCUGGACGAAGGAAAAAGAGUACAGUGUUUGAAGAUCUUUAUUGAUAGCAUGCUCCCCCUGAUGCUUGGUAAAAUAUCUUUAAGUCAUACUGUUGAUCACCUUUCUGAAUAUCGUAGUUGACACUGCUGCUGUGAGUCAAUCUUGAGCGACACUGCCUCGUUAAAACCUUACCAGGAAAAACCCAGUGGGAUAAAAACCUGGAUGAAGGAAAAAGAGUACAGUGUAUGGAGGUCUUUAUGAAAAACCACGCUCCCCCUGAAAAAUAUCUCCCCCUAAAAAAUUUCAUGACUAGCUUUUCCAGUAUGCGACCAUAGAAAUUUUCAUAGUAUACUCUAAACCCUUGAGCGACACUGCCUCGUUAAAACCUUACCAGGUAAAACCCAAUGGGAUAAAAACCUGGAUGAAGGAAAAAGAGUACAGUGUGGAGCUGACCUCUAUCUGGUCUAGUAUACUUCCGGAAAAACAUUUAAGGUGUCCAACGGAUAAUCCUCAUAAAAAUGCUUCAAUACUUUCUUAGUAUAAGCAAGAAUCUCGUUGGCAUAAUGCUCGAUCUUUAAGUCGAGACAAAUAUUUCGUGACUUCUGCAGAAGCUUUAAUGUGUUGCAAACACAUUAUAAACAAUGUACUCACUGAGGUAAUUUAUGCAUAUUAAUAUUGAGUACAAAUUUUGUGCUUCAAGCACAUGUCCUUUAGGGACUUGCUUUAUGCAAUGUCAAUCCUCUCAACGGAUUUUGUUUAAAAGGGGAUUAAACUUUAUGACACAUUAUAUAGCUUUAACCCAGCUAUUUAUACAUCUUUAGGGAAUCACUUCAAGUGAUAUGCUCUGUGCAUUUAAUAACCCUUAAAGAUAACAUGUUGGUCUCCGUAAUUGUGCAGUAAGGGGGGAGGCACAAUUGAAUCUGUAAAUAUGGAAAAGACCCAACAUUCAUUGUUUCUGCCAGAAACAUUGUGUCAUACAAAGUAGGUAUAUUCCCUUUUAUUCCGAACACCCAAGUAUAAGUUUCAAUAUUAACAUCUUUUGGGGUUCGUACUGUGGGUUUGUUCUUUCACGUUCAUUCUCAUCUAUAAUGGAAUUACCUCUUUCCAUUUUGGCCAAUGAUAUUGUCGACAUCUAAUAAUUGAACGUGGUUCCAAUCAACACAGCCCAUUGAUGAUUUGAGUAGCUACUCCAAAACCAAAAAUUGUCAUUCAUCAAUUCAUUAUCCCACCAUUCUCAUGUGCAUGCGCAUGCAUCAAUUAUAAGCAUUUCUUUGCUUUUGGGUACCCAAGCCACUUCAGGGGGCUUUUAUUAUGUGAGAAUGUGGAUUAUAACCUCCAAUGGAGCGUUAUUUUGCAGUAGGGCGUGGAUAAUCUCCAUUUAGGGAGUUGGAACAUUUAGAACCCAUAUAUCUGUCAUGCUGCAGGCAUGCCACAGAUUAAUACAUACAUGUCAAUUAGUUUAUGGGACUUUAACCCAUAUGAUGGGACUUUAACCCAUGUAAUUUGCUACGCAUUCGGCGUGCAUAAUCUCAAUAUUGACAUGUCAAAGGAUUGUCCAUUCGGGACUUCAAUCCACAUCAUUUGCUACGCAAUAGGCGUGCAUCAUAUUGAUCACUGCUAUACCCAUAUUCUGUUCUUAUGGGACUUUAAUCUGUGCAAUGUAUUAUCAAUGUAUCCAACUUGCAAUCUGUAAAAUUUGCAUUAAUAAUACAUGGAUACAUACAAGCCAUUCUUUUGGGACGGACUUAUCUCCCCAUUUGGUUACCUUUCAAUAUAAAAUAUCAAAUAGGUAUAUAAGCAUAAAAUAACACAAGUAUUGCUUACAUCCUUAGGUGGGAGAAACUUUUCUCAAGUAUCGCUUGAUGAUCUUGUUAUAUCCUGCAAGAGCAAAAAUCACAAUUCCUUUCUCUGUCAAAAACAAAUAAGAGGAAUAGGUAGAACCGGUGAAUUUCAAAUUAACCAUAGGAAAAUUGCGAGAUUCUCGGGAUGCUUUUGAAAAAGUAGCUCCGUGAAAUCCGUAAAGCAAGAUUGGCUUUGAAAAUAAUACUUGAAAACGCCGAAAGUGCCGACAGGCAUUAUUAGAGGCCACGUGAAGUUUUGGACUUCUAGGAAAGAAAAAGAUAAUAUGGGGAUUCGAGAAGAUAUUGGGGUCUUGAAAAACAGUAGCCAUAUUUCCUCCUAUAGAUAUGGCCUUUGCAACAAUUGCGCACCUUCUUAAACUUGCACCUGUGGUUUUUACGCCUUUUCAAAAUGACGGUUUGGAACCUUGUGCCUUAUAGGUUCAAAUAACCACAUUGUUUCUCCCAAAUUUCAUAUUUUAUCGCAUGGUAGCCCGAAACUUUUGGCCUGGGCACAAAUUCAGAAUUUAUUUGCCCUUUUCAAAUGGACAUGAAAUAUGAAUUGAGUAAAAGCCAUGAUAAUAUCGCAAUAUAGUAGUGAAGAGCAUUAACUACUAUAUACCCACAACUUCAAGUUCAGGAUCUCUCAUAUAUUUGGAUCCAUGGGUUUCCGGCCCAGAUAUAACAAAAUAUGUGGGGAGCCUCAAUUCAUCAUUUGAGGUUCAUACUGAUAUUAUCCAUUUCACGGUGUAUUCUUGACAACCGGAAUUCACAAAAUAUAUUUCUUCCUUGAAGUGUCGAUUAUAACAAAAUCGAACUUUAAAUUCAUCAUCUUCUUAUGCCAAAGAAAUAUGUGGCAUACCACAAUUUGCAAUAAUACCUCAAGGGUUGUCCAUUUAAUUGUUGGAACUUCAGGUUCUCAACACUGUUAGAUUUUGAACUUCUGGCCAAAAUCACAUAUUCUCAUGGUAUGGACAUUCAAUCCCCUUAGAUUUUGAACUUCGGGCCAAAAUCACAUAUUCUCAUGGUAUGGACAUUUUUACAAUUUUCUGUACAUAUUUCUGGACUUCAAGCCCUUACAUAAUUGUCCAUAUUUUGAGGAACUUCUGGCAUCUCAUUUAAUUGCUCAUCCAUGAGUUUAAGGAACUGCAGGUUCCCUUUUGAAUGGUGAUGGUUUACCCAAAAUGGUAAAUACUUAUGCAUACAUCACUAUUCAUGUAUACGGCACUAUUUAUGUAUACAGUACAUUUGCCAGUACAGUUAUCAUCCAUGUGUACGGCAUUAUGAACAAAUACGGUACUGUUACAUCAUUAAGGAACCCCAUGUCCUUAUUUACAUGUCAGGGAUCAAGGACCCUCAAGUCCGAUCACAUGUUUACAAAUAUAGUACCGGAGAGACUGCCAGCUCUCAUAUUAACAUCAUCAUCAAGGAUCUUCAAGUCCUGAUGUAAUUGUAUGAUGAGGAUCAAAGAACUUCUGGUCCUGAUCUGUAUACUGUAAAAACUCAUCAUACAGCACAUUUAAUCCAUAGAAUAAAUUGCUGGUAAAUAAAUUACUGGUAUGGACGAUAAACUCGCACCAUACUUUAAAUAAAUAUUGCCUUACAUACACUUACAGCAUCAAUAAUUGAUAUCCAUCCAUGAUCCACCUGUAUAAAUGUAUAUAUAUAUAUGUAUAUAUAUAUAUAUUAUUUUUAUUUGGACUUAAACAGAAACAGGCAUUUUCUAUAGCUGUAAGUAUAAUUGUACCUGCCUACGCUGAAGAUUCCUUUCAUUGUUGCAGGAUGGUGGGCAUUCAGUUUAAAUAAAGCAAACACACACAUUUCAAAUUUUAAUUGAAUUUCAAAUUAGCAGUUUACUUACAUGCCCAUCCAUGACGUAAAAAGCAGAGACAAGUGAUUGUCUUUCGACAAUGACAUGAUAUCACAGUAGUGGGGAUAACGCUAUGAUAUUGGCCGAUCGGCUUCGCUGUAUCCCUGCACACCUUUAAUAAUUAUAUAAUAUUAAAAUAAUAUAAUUAUGUACCUGCACUAUAGACCUGCAUCUUAAGCUUCUUCCCUUUAUGGGGUCUGCCGCUUUGCCUUUUGUUUCCUUUGCUUUGCUUUCCACUGAAGCAAGUUGGCCAGCACCAAUAAUGCCGCCCACAAUGCAAAAAUCAAGUUGGCCAGCACCAAUAAUGCCGCCCACAAUGCAAAAAUCAAGUUGGCUACUUUUGCCUGUUGCUUUCUCAAUUUCCUCCACCCUUUCAUUGUCUUUUCUUCUUUCACUACUUCUCAUCUUCUGCCUCUCUCUUGCCUUUUUUUUUUCUUUUUUUUUUUUUGUAUUCGAUUUUCUGGCAAGCCUCCAAAGACAGCAACGACCAAGUUGCCUUGUCAUGGCUGGCGGCCAUUGCAAAAGCCUUUUCCAUGAAGAAAUGGACUUGGACACGAGGCUGGUUGAUUAUGUAGUUGGAGAUGAAGAAAGCAGCUGACAGUCUAGGGAGGGAGCGAACCAGAGAGUUUGUUACUCCACUGGUGUGGUUGGGAGGUAGGGAUCGUCUGUGGUUGGUACAGAGUUUUCUUCCUCAGCUCAAGCAAGGCAAUAGAGGUAGGUUUGUUUGCUCAGCUCAGCUCAACCUGUGCUCUCUGUGUUUGUUUGCUGGGUUAUCUGGGAGAGUAAUUUUCUUCGGGUUCGGUUCUGGUAUGCUUUUGCAUAUAGAAAACAGAGAACCCAGAAAGGAAAUCCAAGAGAGAGACUUUGGUUGAGAAAAUGGCAAUUUUUGAGAAAAAUGGAGAUGCUGAGGUUGGUUGGACAACACCGAAUGGAAGUUGUUGGGCUCGGAGCAGAGAAUUGGUUCUCUAGAUCGGAGGUUUUGUGUGAAAUUUUACUGGCAAGCAAUCCGUGUGGCUCUGUACAAAACUGGGUUGGUUUUGGGUGGGCAAUCUGGGCUUGGUUUCGAACUGGGUGUCUUGAUCAAUUUCUGGGAUCAAGAAAUCAGAGAUUUCAGCCGGUUAAAGACUCGUGCUGAUAUCGUGUUGUAAAUGUGGAGAGAAAAAGUAGAGAAUUGGAAUAGAGAGGAGAGACUGAUUUUCUCAUUCAUAUGUUCUGAUGAAUGUCUUCAGUGUAUAUUUUACAAGUAGGGGGAGGUAUCUAUUUAUAGGCUAAGGUUUUGGUAAAAUACAGGGAAGGAAAGUUCCUGGAAGAUGCAAGGAAACUUCCUCUGUGGGCUCCACCUUCAAACUUUUACAACACAUUUUGAUUUUUAAAUUUUGUUUUAAUAUUUCGGCCCACUUAGUUCUUCUCAAAAUAUGUCAUCAAUAUCGUUGAAAGGUUGAACUUAGUGAAUUAUUAUAGUGCAGUACGGUAGAAUAAGCACAUGAUAUAAUUUGUCCACAUGUUAUAAUAUAAGUGAAUAUUUAUUGAUAUUAUUUCCAAAAAUAAGAAAUAUCAACAAUUAUAUCCUCCUAUAUUAUAAUACAUAUACAAAUUAUACCACAUUAUCAUACUCUAAUACCAUUUUAUAAUUUCUCGUACUUAGGAGGUAUAGAGCGAGUCAAUGACAUUACAUAAUAUAUAAUUGUUCAUAUAAUGGGGCAACUAACGUGAUCAACAAGUUGUGGUGAUUAAUUUAACAUAAUAAAAAAUAUACCAUUUACUUGAGUGAUGUAACAAUUUGUUCUUUUAAAUUGGAUUGCCAUCACUUUAAUAUGUUAUGUUUCUUAUUAUAGUCUCCCAUGUUAAGUGCUUCAGCAUUGUUUGUGGUGUGUACACAAAUUUUCUUAUAAAAUGUUUUAAUGCUUCUCACAUGUAUAUCAGAUAUAGACAGUUGAUGUGACUUAGAAAUCAAAUUGUCAAUAAAACAAAAAAAUAUAAUUGGUGAUCGAGGUCCAAUUUAAUAGAAAAUAGUCUUAACUUGCAUAUUAAAGGUCUUAUAUUCGAAUCCUCACUGCAUUAUUGUUGUAUGCGUACACAAGAAAUUCUCUUCCCCAAUAAUUUAGACUAUCACUUAUACUAAAAAUAUAUAUAUAUAAUGACUUUUACGAAUGCAAACAUAAAAUUACAUCAAACAAUAAUCACUACUACAAAAAAGCAAAAAGACGACGGUAAAUCACCGUCGUGUAUUGGGGUUUUCAAUGGUCGUGGAAUCCACCGUCAUCUUUUCCCUCAUAAACCACGACGCUAAAUAACCGUCGUUGUUAAAAUAUACAACGUCAUCAACAAAUACAAAACGACGUCUUUGUACUGCAAAAAGAUCUAAAAAAAGCAAUCGAGGAUGAUAAUAGACGACCAACUCUCUAAAAAAACCGUCGUUAAAAAGAAAAAAUAUGACACAUAUUAAGAGAACAAGGCCGCAAGAUAGACAUACAACGACGAAAAUAAAAAUACGACGACGUUAAAUAUAAUUUUCACGACAAUAAAAAAUAUGACGUCUUUAAAUACAUUAGAAGACGACGUUAUUGAUACAUACUACGUCGCAUAUAUAAAAACAACCGUCGUAAAAUUAAUUUUCCACUUCGAUUUUUCGAUAAAAGAUGACGUGGAAAUAGUUGUCAGUGUCAUUAUUUACGACGUAUGUGUUUAUAGAUUAGACGUUGAAAAACUAAACAACGUCGGUUACAAAUAUAUGAGAGUCGUAUUACAAAAUUUAUACGUCCUAUUUUCAGAAACAAACAACGACGAUAAAUAUUAGACGUUGUUAAACAAAACAACGUCGGAAAAAUAAAAACAGACGUGUUUAGUCUGCUAAAGUUCUAGAAAAUAGUCGAGGAUGAGAAUAGACAACCAACUCAAAAAAAUCACCGUCGUUAAAAAGGAAAAAUCUGACACAUAUUAAAAGAACAAGGCCGCAAGAUAUACAUACAACGACGACAACUAAAAUACUACGCCGUUAAAUAUAAUUUACACGACAAGAAAAAAUAUGACGUCUUUAAAUACAUGAGAAGACGACGUUAUUGAAAUCUACUACGUCUCUUAUUUACAAAAAACCGUCGUGAAAUAAAUUUUCCACUUCGAUUUUUCUAAAAAAGAUGACGUGGAAAUAGUUGUCAGUGUCAUUAUUUACGACGUACACAUUUAUAUAGUCGACGUUGUAUUUAUAUGUAUUCAUUACUCACGACGCACUUAAUAAUAUAGACGACGUUGAACUUCUAAACAACGUCGGUUCCAAAUAAAUGAGAGCCGUAUUACAGAACAUAUAGACGGCGUAGAUUAUGAUGAGAGCCGUAUUACAAAUAACGUCGUUUAAUUGUUAUUAGACGGCGGUUAUAAUGAAUUUCCGUCGGAAUUCAUUUCGUUCCUCUUCGUUUAUAAAAGAACUUGCGACGUGGAAAAUGUAUGAUGACGUCGUAUUUUUUAACGUUCAGAUUAUAUAUCUCGUUUUUAGACGUCGGUAUUAUGGGAUUGGAGUCGUGUUAUUUUGAAUUACAUGGCGGUUCUUAAUCCUUCACCGACGUGAUAUCCUGAAUAAUUGCUUCACAAUAGCGUCGUGGUUCUUCAUUGUUACGUUGCUUUAAGACGUCGGUAAAUAUGCUGAAUAACUGAUUCACAAUAACGUCGUGUUUUAUUUGAACGUAGAAAGUGAAGAAAUCACAUUACAAUAUAUUACAAAAUUAAUGUCAUACACUGCCAAUUACAUAAGCAUCAUUCAAUCCAUAUAUCUUCACACCCAUCUCGAAUAUUUUGACCGCCUAACUCACCCACCAGUUCAUCAAAUGUGUCAACAUUUGGCAUCCCUCUAGUAAAUGGCUCACACUCAAUUAUCACAUCACCUAAGACUUCAUCACCAAUAACAUCAUUAUAUUCUCUAUUAGGCAUUGAUAACACUACCGACCAACCACGAUGCAUCGGGUCGUCAACAAAAAAUAUUUGUUUGACUUGAGAAGCCAAAACAAAUUGGUCAUUCCUAUGUCCAAUUUUACUCAAAUCUACAAGGGUAAAUCCAAGUUCGUCGACUACAAGACCAGAACUAUCUAUCCAAUCACACCUAAAGACUGGGAUUGUAAACUUUUGGUAGUCAAGGUCCCAAAUUUCUUGAAUGACACCAUAGAAACCCAUAUUUGAGAGAAUUGGGUUUUUAUCCUUGGCACUAGCAACUUGCAUGGUAUGUGCAAGUAAAUAAACUCCACUAUUUUGAGUUGUCCGCACAUCAUCUUGUGCCUUGAUAUUGAAUUUAAUACCUUUAAUAAGAUAGCUCCUAUAUAAUGGCACUGACAUGUUUGGACCAGCUGCUAGCCACCUUAAAUUUUCUGAUACGCCAUGAUUGUCUUCCUCAAGUUCACUUUGAACCUGCAAAUUAAUCAUAUCUUAAUUCAAUCUAACAUAUAAAUAAGAAGAAAAUUAAAAGAGAAAUAUGUUAUUCAACAACAUAUACCUUGAAGCGUAGCCAUUGAAUGAAAGUGCUAUUGUGCUUAUCCUGCAGCCACUUUGUUCUCUUUCUAAAUUUUGGAUAAGCAGUCUUGAUGUGGAUCAUAUGUUGCCCACAUGACACGAAAAAUUCAAGCAUUACGAUCCUAAAUAUAGAAGAUAAACAUAAGAAAUAAUUUAAAAUGGAAACUUAAAGAAUAAAGCUCAUACGUACUCGAUAUAAGGUAGGACUUCCUCCGUAUUCUCCAAGACAUAUAGAUGUGCUUGAUUCAACAGGUCCUGAUCAACUACGCUCACUGUGCAACCUGAUAAUGGCUUUGAAAGCCCCAUCUUUUGGCUUGAAGGCACUCCAACUGUACUAACAUCAGAUAAAUGCUGAGUACAACACUCUACCGCUUCUUCAGCUAUAUACCGCUCAGCAAUGCAACCUUCGGGACGAGUACGAUUCUGAACAUACCCCUUCAGCACUUUCAUAUAUCUUUCAAACGGAUACAUCCACCGAAAAUAUACUGGCCCACAUAGACGAACUUCUCUGACAAGAUGUACUACUAGAUGAACCAUGAUAUCAAAGAAUGAAGGGGGAAAGUACUUCUCAAGCAAACACAGAGUAACUACUACAUCUUCUUCCAACUUAUCUAGCUUGGAAACAUCAACAGUCUUUGCACAUAUAGCAUUGAAGAAGAAGCACAAACGAGUUAUUGCAUACCUUGCAGGCUUCUCCAAAACAGAACGAAUUGCCACAGGGAGCAAUUGUUGCAUUAAGGUAUGACAAUCAUGUGAUUUAAGGCCAAGAAGUCUUGAAUCUUGUAAAGAUACAAGAUUUUUAAUAUUUGAAGAAUAACCUUCAGGGACCUUCAUACCAUAGAAAGAAUUGCAAACCUCUCUCUUCUCUACUCUUGACAAAUUCCAAGGCCCAGGAGGCAAACGAGUACGUCUUUCUCCAUACUCGGGUUGCAAAUCAGUUUUGACCCCCAUGUUCAAUAAAUCUAAUCGAGCAGCAAUCCCAUCUUUAUUUUUUCCAGGGAUCUCCAGCAAUGUACCAAUGAUACUAUCACAAACAUUCUUCUCAAUGUGCAUAACAUCUAGGGCAUGCCUUACAGGAAGGUAUUUCCAAUACUCGAGAUCAAAGAAUAUUGAUUUCUUCUUCCAACAAACUCUGUCACCAUUUUCAACCAUAUGCAGCACUUCUUCUCCGGUUAAUGGCUCGGGAGGUAUGCCAUAUUCAGGUUUCCCAUUAAAAGCUGCACGUUGCCUCCUAUAUGGAUGAUUGAUUGGUAACCAUUUUCUAUGCCCAAUGUAACAAAUUUUGUGGCCAUUUUUCAACCUGUGACUAGGUGUAUCAUCGCCGCAUAUUGGACAAGCUUUAUAUCCUUUAACAACACAACCAGAUAAGUUUCCAUAGGCGGGGAAAUCAUUAAUUGUCCACAUUAAUGCAGCUCUGAGUGUAAAGUAUUCUCCAUUAUGUGCAUCAUACACUCCUCUAAUCCCAUCCCACAAAGAUUUUAAAUCAUCAAUCAAAGGCUCCAAGUAGACGUCUAUAUCAUUUCCGGGUUGUUUAGGACCGAAAAUCAAUAAGGUUAACAUCAUGAACUUUCGUUUCAUGCACAGCCAUGGAGGGAGAUUAUAUGUAACUAAGAUAACCGGCCAACAACUAUAUCUGCUACUUAGAGAACUGUGGGGAUUGAAUCCAUCAGAUGAAAGAGCCAAUCUCAAGUUUCUCGGCUCAUUACCAAACUCAGGCCAUUUAUCAUCAAGAAGUUUCCAAGACGGGGAAUCCGCCGGAUGAGACAUCUGACCGUCAAUUGAUUUUCUAGGAGCAUGCCAAGUCAAACUCUUAGCUGUCUCAUGUGAUUGAAACAUCCUUUUAAACCUUGGAAUUGGAGGAAAAUACCACACCACCUUCGCUGGCACACCCUCUUUCAAGAUUGAAUCUUUGCCUUCCUUCCACCUUGAGAUACCACAAGUAGGACAAUUAGUUGAAUCCUCAUACUCCUUCCUAUACAAGAUGCAAUCAUUGGGGCAUGCGUGCAUUUUCUCAUAACUCAGCCCCAAUGCACACAAAGUCUUUUUAGCCUCAUACAUAGAGGUUGGUAUUGUAUUUCCUUAUGGAAGCAAAUCGCCUUGAAGUAUCAAUAAUUCUGUAAAACAGACAUCACUCAUCCCAUGUUUUGCCUUCAAAUUAUACAACUUCACUAAUGCCGAUAACUUCGUGUACUUUCUACAACCAGGGUACACUGGUUGAUCUCCAUCCCCAAUCACAUUGGCAAACUCAUACGGAUCGGAACCAAAAUCAUUAUCAUCCAUAUCAAUUUCUUCAGACACAAAACUGUACCUACUAUGGCCAUCAUCUUCUUCAACAUUUCUACUAGCAUUAGUAGUUGCUUCCCAAGGUUCUCCGUGAAAUGUCCAAUUCUUAUAGCUUUGGUCAAUUCCAUUAAAGUAUAAGUGAUCCCUUAUAAUUCCAACCCCAAACAACUUCAAAUUAACACAUUUAACACAUGGACAACGGAUAUGUGUUGUAGUUAGAAGAUUUUCUACAGCAAAGUUCAAAAAUGCUUCCACCCCAAACUCAUAUGCCUUCGAUCUUCUAUCCGAGUGCAUCAUUGACUUAUCCAUCUCCGACACUAUAACCUAUUAUCUAUAAUAAAGUGAAAAUACAGGCAAUGACCAUCACUAUAGCAGAUUAUACAAAGAUCUAAUAGCAAGUAAUACACAACAAAGACGACGGGUUUUAAACAAAAACAGACGUAUUUGGCAUAUAUAGACGACGGAUUUUCAACAGACGUCGUCUAAUAUAAGUAAUACAAACGACGGUUUAUGAAAAAACCGUCGUGUAUAAGUAAUACAACGACGGUUUUUUCAUAAACCGUCGUGUAAUCGUCGGCGUAUGCCUAAAAAGGCGUCGUGUCUCAGUUUAUUUUCAAGAACCCAAAACCCAUUAAGAACACAACAUAUAUAUGAAACCAAGCAAGAAAACAACAUAUACAUGAAACCAAGCAUGAAAACAAUAAAUCCAUUCCCAAUUCAACAUAACAUAGGGUGAUUAAAAGAUCCGACAAAAUUAAAUCCAUUCCCAAUUCAACAUAACAGAUAAUGUAAUCCAUGAACCCAUUAAACAGAAAAUCCAUGAACCCAUACUUAUAAGCACAUUAUUAACAGAUCGCAAAGCAUAUACCUAAAACCCUUUAACAAAACAACCUAAUAUCAUUCAAUGAAUUUACAAGGGGAAGAUAGGGUUUGUACUUACAGGUUGGACGAGCUCACAGAUUCGACGGAGCAGAAGUGAGAGAGCAACUUUUAAUUAGAGCAGAAGUGAGAGAGCGAAAUGUUAUGUUGCGCGAAAUCUGAAAAUUUUAGGGUUCAGGGUUAGAAGAAUAAGAAUAAGAGCCAAAUAUAAAAAAAUUUAGGACGCGUGAAAAUUUUUAGAGCGCGCGCUCUUUAAAACUUCGAAAGAAAAACCAUGGCGAAAGUUCUACAAGAACCGACAUAAAUGUAAUAUUCCACGACGGAAACACUGAACGUAACGCCGUUUAUUUUGACGCUUCAUUUUUCGGAUUAAUUUUAAAUUUAUUUUCAAUAUUUUGAUAUAAAGACGACUGAAAAACCACGUCGGGGUUAAGAAAUUGAAAACGUUGUAAAUUAUAAUAGACGACUUACAUAUUAAAAUGACGUCGUUUAAAGUAGAAACUAUGUCGGAUAAUUUACUGCACGACGUAACAUAUGUAUUCCACGACUCAACCACCGUCGUUAACAAUUAAUACCCUAAACCCUUAAAACUAAAUUAUAUAAUUUUAAAAAUUAACUUUAUAAAAGGGUUUAUGGUUUUACAGCCUAAUAUAUACCCUAGACUACCCAAAAAUUAUACUUUAAAAAUAAACCCCAAUAAAUAACAACCCUAAUCUCUAAACCCUAGACUCUAAACCCUAAACCAUAAAACUAGAAGUGAUUUUAUGACUCAUCAAAACAAUUUUGUUUUGGAUGUUCAUUUUAAAUUUUUGUAAUUCAAAAUGAAUUUUUUCAAGGUUUAGGGGGAAGAAAAUAUAUCAAUGACUUCAUAGGAGUUGACUUUGCAUUUUUCUGAUUUAUUUUAAAUUUAUUUUGAAUAUUUUGAUAUAAAAAUAAUAAAAUAUUCUUAUCACAACAACAAACCACGUCGGUGUUGAUAAAUUGUAGACGUUGUAAAUUGUAAUAGACGACUAAGUUGUUAAAAUGACGUCGUUUAAAUGAGAAACGAUGGCGGAUAUUUAACUAUCCGACGUAAAAUAUAUAUUCCUCGACUUAACCACUGUCGUUACAAAGUACUACCCUGAACCCUUAAGAAAUUGAAGACGUUGUAAACCAUAAACGACUCCAUUGUUCAAAGAACGUCGUCUAAAUAUCCUUUUACGCCGGAUUUGUUUAAAACGAAACCACAAAAAACGACGGCUUUUGACUUUAUUACGUCGUUGGAAAAUUAUUACACGUCGGUUACGCAUUUUGUAUGUUUGUUUUUGUUUUUACUUUAAGAAAACCUCAACAAAUUUUUACAUUAUAUAUUAUAGACAAAAUUUGUACAUUAUACAUAAAUAUCAAGUGUUCAAUAAUUCCCCUAUUCCAGUUGAAUGCAAACAAACUCUGCCCAUUCAUUCCGGACUUCAUCAAUUGCUUCUUGGGGGUAUGGCUCUUCCUGUUUUCCCUUCGCAUACUGCAUAAAAACAAUGACUAUUAGGGUUUAUAAAUAAAAGGAAAUUCAAUCACAGACGACCAUAACCGACGUAGUAUAUCUAUUCAACGACGGUAAUUUUACAUGACCGUCGUUGAUAAUACAAAAAACGACGUAAAAUGUUUGAAGGUUAUUUCUUCUUACCUUCUUCUCAAACCCCAAGGAAGGAUCCAUGAUGAUGUCCUUCAUGAAGCGCAUCACGUAAUACCCGCAUUCGACAUUGCUGGGUUGCUUUGGUGUGCCUGACAGGGUUUUCCAAAUGACUGCCUUACGGCCUGAUCUGGCUAUGUGGGAAUUAUAAAUUUUUAUGGCACUGUUCACGAUGUCUUUGGCCUCUUCAUCGACCACACGAUUUCCUGGCAGAGGAUCCAGAAAAUAGACUGUUUCCCUCUUUGCUCUUACAAUCAGCAAGAUCCAAUGACGGCUGCACAAAAUUAAUAUAAAAACGACGGUUAUUUACAAAAACGACGUAUUAUAAUAUUUCACACGACGAAAUAAAGUAGCAAUCGACGACAUUAUAUAUUUAUAACGACGAUAAAUAACUACCGACGUGGUUAGUCGUUUCAAACGACUCAAUAAAAUAAAACACCGACGUGGUUAGUUUAUACGCUGUCAUUUAUUGAAAAUCAUAAAAACAAAAUCCUGUUAAGGAGACUAACCCUGGAUUGUAAGGCAUGAGGAAAAUCUGUUCACCGUCAGUCUUCUGAAGUCGUGAUGCUACAAGCCGUGAUCUGUCAGCUAUUGUGCCAGAGCUGGCACUAACUGUAGCAGGGUCGAUAAAGCCAACCAUUGUGCACAUAUUUGCUUGUUUUAAAACAUCGUGUAAGUACCUAAAUAUAUAAAAUAAUAUAAACAAGUCAGCGCAAAAAAAACACACGACGGUUAUGUAUAACAAAACGACGUAUUAUAAGGUUUCACACGACGUACUGAAAUAGACAACGACGUUAUAAUAAAUUUAUCACGACGGUACAUACUAACGACGUGGUUAGUUAGUUAAGACGACGCAAUAAAUAAACCAACGACGUAUUAUUUUAGAAUGACAAACCUCAUAUAUACAGCAAUGACUGUAGCUCCUAUUUCCUCCAUGCCUGCAAAUUGUGUAAUAUCUUCAGGCAGGAGGAAGGUAUCGCGCUCUAGACCAAACACCUCCUUAUCAAUUGUAAAGUGCAGGGUCUUAUCUUGAGUUACGAGUGUCGUUUCCACAUAACGACAAAGGGUUUGUAAAGAAGAUGGCGCCUCCAUAUUUGAAUAAUCAACAACUUUAGUAACCUGUUUAAAGAAAUAAAAAAAUGACGUGGUAAUUCAAUAAAAACGACGGUUUAAGGAAUAAAAUGUCGUUUGAAAACAAUUUAAACGACGGUGAAAAAACCGUCGUGGUGAAUUAUUUAUUACGUCUUAGAAAACAAUUCCGCCGUCUAAGUUGUAAACAAACGACGGUUUAAAGAAAAAUAUCGACGUCUGGAAUUUUGAAAACAAAUAAAAAAGGUAAAGUUAUGUGAACAUACCUGGUCGUCAUCUUCUUUCUCCUUUUCAUCUUGUUUUUCUUCCUUAUUCUCUUCAUAUAUGACGUCGGGAAUGAUUAACUCCGUCAUCUAAAAACCACAAAGUUUUAAAAAUAACGACGUUUAAUGGCGUGUAAAACAAGUAAACUAAAUACGACGUGGUAUUGAAAUACAAACGACGGUUUAUUUUUAAAAUCGUCGUGGUAUGUAUUUCAAACGACGGUUUUAUUAAAAAUAACGACGUCUAAUGGUUUUUAAAAAAACAGAGAAUUCAAAGUUCAGAUAUGUUACCUUUUCUUCCUGAUGUUUCCCAUUUUUGGCAGUAUCAUCCUCAAAAUGCUGGGAUCUCACAUCACCUCCAGAGCAGCUUGCUUUGUCAGACAUUGGAUUUUUGGGACUUUGGCUAAUUCUGGGUUUAAGCAUGCUUGGAUCAAAAUUGGGAAUUAAUUGGGAAAGCUGACUCAGGAAAUGCUCCCUCUCAGCCUCUACCAAUUGUUUCGUUCUAGCCUCCAUUCUUAAAGCCUCUUCCCUUGCCUUAGCCUCCAUCUUUUUAGUCUCUUCUUGAAGGAGAACUCUUAAACUGUCCUUCAAACGGUCGUCAAAGCUCACUCUCUGUGGUUUGGGUAAAUUGAAAUAUUGCUUUGGUGAGAUCCCAGCACCUACUCCUCUGACUCUGCCUGGAUGCUCGGGGCCCAAAGCCAUGGUCAGCACAUCAUUGCUGCCAGAGACGGUGACUUUGCCUUCCGAGACUUGUUUUUGCAAAUCAUCCUAAAACAAAGAUAUAUAAAAAAGUAAGAACAAAAACACACGACGGUUAUUUAUAUACAAACGACGUAUUAUAUAAUUUCACACGACUCAAUAACAUAUAAAUCGACGUUAUUAUAAUUUAUCACGACGGUAGUUAUACCGACGUGGUUAGUUCUUUAAAACGACGAAAUUAAUAAACCACCAACGUCUUAUGUAACAGAGGGAUGAUUCAAUAUUCACACCUUUAACGACGUUGUUUAAAACAUUUCGACGUAGUAAUUUAAUACAGACGACGCGAAAUUGAACCACCGACAUCUUAUGCUAUAAUUACAGAAAACAGAGUUCUGAUUCCUAUUUAGACCUUUAACGACGUGUUUUAAAAAAUGUCGACGUGGUAAUAUCAUUCACACGACGCAAAAUAUAACAUAAGACGUAAUAAGAAUUAUUCACAGUUUAAUAAAAAUUUAAAACAGAGUGAGUAGGCUUACAAUUAAUUUUGCUUUCUCUGCCACCUUUGGAUCAGGGAUGUUACCAUGUUUGUCAUGUCUAGCUCUCUUCCAUAAGGUAGAUCGAUCAAUUUCUACCCCAGGCAUGGUUUCCUCUAAUUGAUCCUCCAAACCGGCAUAUCCUUUUCGAGACAAUCGAUGAUUGUACUCGAGUUUCUCCCUAAUCUGUGCAUGUUGAGAAUGCACAGACUCAAAAUCUUUGGAUAGCCUUGAAGCUACAAAGGCAUCCCAUUGUGCUUUCUCUAUGAAUUUAUAUGUUUCAGGGGGUUGGCUUAAUCUCUCCCUGUCAUUGGUGUAUGGAAGGAUAUAAUGCCUCGUUAGUGUAGACUUGAAAUCCUUCCAUUUCUUGGCAGCAGAAGCUAAGACAGAGUUCUUGCCCCCUUGACCUACUACAAAAGCAAUGUCAACUGCUUCCCAAAUCUGCUCCUUUAUAUCCUUGGGGAUUUGAGCCCAUUUCAAGUCCACAAGUGGAACUCUGGAGCGUGCCAACACACCAAUAUAGGACUGCAUCUCACUAUGAGCUUGGCCAAUUCCUUUCCCCCUUUUAUUGUACUCAACAAUUGGCCUCAGUUUCUGCAGUUUUCUCUUCACAACACGAGGCAUUGUGCUCAUACCUCGACCAGCCUUUGAAUCAUCAGAUAUUGUUGUCCCGCUGGUUGGUUCUGUAUCAGCAGAUGAUGAAGCAAACUUCAUCUUCUUCGAAGACUUCAUUAUCUUCGAAGACUUCUCUUGAGGAGGUACUUGCUCCUCACCUCCAUUUUUCUUGGAGCCAGAAUCCUUACUUUAGUCUUGUUGAGAAACCAUUUUUACAGACAAAACUGCAAGUGAAAAUAUUUCAAGAAAAGAUUAAGAACACAAACGACGGUUAUUAAUAAAAUACGACGUAUGAUAUGAUUUUAAACGACGCAAUGAAAUAAUAUCAGACGUAAUAAAUUUUUAAAACGAAGGUAAUUAAACAACGACGAAAUAAUUGACUACAAACGACGAGAUAAUUAACUAUAAACGACGGAAUAUUUAUAUAACGUCGUGGUAUUGAUGUUCACACGACGUCAGUAGUAAUAUACCGUCGUCUAUAUAAGGAUCCAAAACCCUUCUUUCUUUCUCUGUGAAUGUUUGAUUGCAGAUUUGAUUUUUCUGAACCAUGGUUUUUGUUUUCUAAUUUGAUAAAAUACAAGGCCAAGAAAGAAAGUUUUGGAAUCUUAUAUAGACGACGGUAUUUUAAUAUGACGUCGUGGUAUUAACAUUCACACGACGUAAAACAAUAAGAUACUGUCGUCUAUAUUAGAUACCAACCCUAAUUUCUUUUUCUUUAUAUUUUAUCAAAUUAGGGAAAAACAAAAACCAUUGUUCAGAAAAAUCAAACCUGCAAUUAAACAAGCAAAUAAAAAAAAGACUAAAAUUUUAAAAACAACUUUGUCAAUUUUCAGACGACGCUAGAACGACUGACGAACCGUCGUGGUCUACAUAUUUAACCACGUAAAUAAGAAGCUACCGUCGUCUUAUUUAGUUAAGGUAGUUGUCUUCAAAGUUGGAAACUUUCCCUCUUUGUCUGUAUAUUUUAUCGAACUUGGAAAGAAGUAAAAUGAUUUUGGCCAGAAAAAAGGUAAAAAGAUUUUUCAAACAAAAAACGUAUGAGCAUGCAAAACAGCAACCAAAAUAGUGAAAAUGAAAGCUUACCUUUUGUGUGCAAUGAAAGCAAGAGGAAGACGAUCGAUGUUUAAAUUCAGAGACGACGAAGAAGACGAGAGGAAGACGAUGAGAUACUCUGAAAGUGCUCUGACAAGGAAAAAAGUCUAAAAGUUUUCUCUGGGAGAUUGAAAUUUUUAAUCGGGUUUGGAAAAAGUGCAUGUGUAAGUCAGGUAGACGAAAAGUUGCUUAUAUAUAAAACCAUUUCAAAAAAAUAAUACGGCGGUUACAUAUAACUACGACGUAUAAAUUACAAAAUACGACAGUACGUUUAACUUCGGACGUGGUAAAUAAUUACGACAGUAGUGUUAUAGGUACCGUCGUAGUAAACUCAAAAUUAAAGUACAUAAGUAAUAACUCGCGUCAUGGUAGAUCAUUUAACACGUCGGUUUUAUUAAUGUACCGACGUGGAUUUAUGUAAUAUACGUCGGUAAUACCGACGUUGAUUUUACAAUUUAAACGGCGGUUUUUUUGUAAGGACCGCCGUUGGUUUUAAAAAUUUAUUCUAUAAAUUUGUUGCUUUCAUUCAUUUUCGGUUUACAUUUAGGGUUCCAAGUUCUUCCUCUCUCAGAGACACUAUCUCUCACAUCUCAAAGACAGUAAUUUGGAUGUCUUUCUCAAAGAGAAAUUGAGCUUACUCGCAUCAAAUCUAUGUCCACAAGAAGAAGCUUGUCAACUAGCCUUCUCACUUCCUUGAUCAAGCCUGAUAGGACACUUAGUGCUUCUGAAUACUCCUUGCUUUCCAUCAAAAGAGAUGCAAGCCUGGCCUCCACUCGCUGUCGAAGGAAAGUUCGCUUCUCAGGGAAAUCUGAAGAUCAGAUGUGCCUGAUCCUCUGCUUGAUUUUCUUGGCUAAGAAGAUCCGUCAGAUUUGUGAUAGCCUCUUCCUUUAUCCGUAGAGCUUCAGAAGAAGAAGAUGGGUUUCAAGAAUGCGAUAAAGAAUAGAAAUGGCUUCAGAUGGCCUCUAAAGCAUGAGCAAUCGAAUCAGUGCUUUGAACUAUACUUUGAACUAUACAAGUCAAUGCUUUGAACUAUACAAGUCCUGCAGAAAGAUAAAGGACCAAACUAUUAAAGAAACCCCAAACUAACACGACGCAAUAUUUGUUUUGCGACGUGGAAUCUUUUCAUUUAACGUCGUUAGGUUUAAUAUAACCGACGUGGAUUUGAAUUUUUAAAUUAUGAAUAGCAUUUUUUUUCCCGUGACCUUUCAGUUUAUUUUUCAAUUACAGUGCGUUAUAAAUAGAGUUUUUUUUCCGGAGGAAAUUUAAAAUGAAGGAAAUUAAUGUUCUGGAAUAUGUAAAAUUUCUUUUUUGGAUGACAGAUUUAAAUAAAAUAAGAAUAUAAAAACAACGACUGUUUUUGUAUUACUGUCGUCGUUUUUCGUCGUCUUAAGUAAGACUAAGACAACGUAAUAUAUUUGUUGAGCGACGUUGAUUUGUGUUUUAAACGUCCUUAGGUAUAAUAUAACCGUCGUUGAAAAUUGUCUCUCUGAUUGCAAAUUUGCAACGACGUUAGGUAUAAUAUUUGUAGAUACACAAACGCACACACAUCAUCAACUUCCAAAAAAUUGUCUCUCUGAUUGCAAAUCUGUGUCAUCUGUUAAGAUUAUGAUGUGGAACAAAGUUCCAUUUGGUAAGAUUUCGUAACCCUUGGGAUCUCAGAAAAAUCUGAUUAUGUCGGCGAUUUUCUAUAUAAACCGUCGUGGUUAUUUCAAUUCUUGUCAUUAAGUAGAUCUACCGACGUAGGAUAAGAAAAUCAAAGAAAAAAAUUGUUAACAAAAAUUCUUAUUAAGACGACGGUUUAAAUUAAAGGUAAGACGUAUAAAAUGAAUAAAUACGACGUUAAAUUUUAUAGUACGAUUUAAAGAUAACGUCGUAGAACUAUACCAGAAUGACGUCGAUAUAUUUAUAUUUUUCGUCGUUGUACAUUAAUUUAAUACGGCGAUAUUUUGUAUUUUAAAGUCGUGGAUUUGUUUGUAAUUAUACAGCGUCUUAUACGAAAACCUCGUCGUGUUAUUUUAUGAGUAAAAACGGCGGCUUUUAUUGAAAUCGUCGUCUUUACUUUCUACGUCGGUUGAUUCAUAACUUCUGUCGUUCUUUGUUGGCUUUGAUUUUACACUGCGGAAAUCUGUUUCAAAUAGACGUCGGUUGUUUAAUUAAGUACGUCGUUGUUUUUGAACAGCCAUUUGAAUCUCCAUUUUUUAGUUGUCUAAGGUGGUAUUACACGACGGUGUUUUUAGAACCGUCGUCUUUUUAAAAACCACGACGGUUUUCACUGAGACCGUCGUUGUUUUCUGGUCGUCUUUUUCACUUUUUGUAGUAGUGAAUGGAAUAGAAUGAUGGAAGUUAUUUUUUUUUUUUCCUACGUCUAAAGUAUACUUUAUAUAUAUAUAUAUAUAUUUAUAUUUAUUAUGGAAGUUAUAACCGUUUAAUUUUCAGUUUUUAUUUUCUAUUUAUUGUUUUAAUUUUUAUAGUUUAAUGUGUAUGGAGAUUUCAAGUAUUGGAUGUUUAUAAAGGGUCACUCCUCCUUCACAUCUGAAACAAACCACCAUCUCAUUUCUGUAUUUUCAUACUUUCAUAUAUUUUCUACUUUCCAGAUUAUUAUUUUUGGGCAACGGUUCUGUGACUUGGAGAUUUCUAUCCGAUUAUUAACAUGCUCAUAGCGGACCUUGAGCUUGCGUAUUGAGGAUAGUAUCUUGGAGCCUUGUAGACCUUUAUUACCUGCAUGUAGGGAGGCUAUAAAUGCUUUAAGUCAGCGUCUUUGACGUGCUUUUGCUUUCUUUUUUUUACUUAUUUCUUCGUUACUUUAUUUUUACUUUACUUUUAAAUCUUUAUUUUAUGUAUUAUUUAUAUUUAAAAAUUUUGAAUAAGAGUUUUACAGAAAAGGAAAAACACAAUUUCAAAUAACACAAAUUUCUCGUUUUUUGUUCUUAAAAAAGAAGAAGCAUUGAUUGGGGAGUUAUGGUAAACUCAGUUUCAAUGGUUGCGAUGAGAGGCGGUGGCGGCGAGGAGAGGACGAAGGCUUUGCUGCCGACGGGGUGGUGUGGGUGGGUGGAGACCUCGGCUGGCUGCUUGGUCCUGGGUUCUCCUUUAAUUCUCUGUUUUCUUUUUUCAUAUUUUUCUUUUUCUCUUAGAGUUAUUGAUGUUAAGUGAAUGGACAGAUGCCAAGAGAAGAUGUGAACCCAAUUAUAUACAGCUGAUUACAUAAAGUAACAAAUUAAUUAAUACUUGAGUGGAGGACAGGCUCGAGUGGAAGAAUUGAUUAAGGCUUGAGUGGAAGACAAACUUCAGUGGAGGAAAGUACAGAUAAGGAAAGCAUGCCACGUUUAACGGCUUUAUCUCAACAAAUUAGGAAUGCUGGUUUUGUUUCCUCGGUGGUUGAAAGGUGGUGCCUUGGCUCGGACAUCUCCCUAGUAAUUAAUCGAAGGUGGAAUCUUACAAGACAUUCAGCUGCUCAUUAGCUGAAUAUCUCGCUCUCUUUAAAGAGAUCGAAGCAAACUGCAAUUUGCAAUUUGUGUGAUUCAAGCAUGAAUAUCUGACAUAGUAACUAUACCAUUUGUUGGUUUGAUGAGAAAAGUUUGGUUAGCGAGGAUGAAACCAUAAAGUUCCCCAAAACACACAAAGAGCACGGACAAUUGCUAAGUUUAUCUUUGAGUUCACGCAUAUUUGCACAAAUGAGAUUACUCCAAGUAUGACUAUACCAUUUGUUGGUUUGAUGUGAAAAAUAUGGGCAACGAGGGUAAAACUAUACAAACACACACAAAGAAAGUGGACAAUUACUAAGUUUAUCUUUGCGUUAUUCAUCCGACCUAACUGUAAAAUAAAAAAGAUGAAAAUAUAUAAUGUUCACUACUUAGAUCUAUGAGCACUAAAGUCCUCCUUUUGGAAUUGCACAAAACGUCACUUUUGGUCUUUGACAAAUUUUUAAAAUAAAUGAAUUUUUUACUUAUUUGUGGACUGAAAUGCCUCAAAAAAAAUAAUGAUAAUUUGAAGAAUUUGAUAGAAAUUAAAAAAUAUCCUCAAAUUACUUGGAAUUGAAGACCACAUAGGCAAAAACACCACUUUGGACAAAGGCUGGUGAUAAUAGUCGAUAUCAUCUUUUGUCGGUCCGACCUAAAAAGAAGAAAAAGUUGAAAGCAUCUUGUUACCAUUUUUGCCAAUGUGGGUCCAGACAAUUUGAAGAAGUCCACCGACAAUUUCUCAAAAGCUAUUGUGUGAGUGUUUUGAAGCUAAACCAAUAUUAUUUUGCACAUACGACCCCACAUCCCCAUGUGAGGCUACAGAAGUGUUUCCAAAACGAAACAUGAUAUUUCAAAACAAAGCUAUGUAUAGAAUAGAGUCAUUUGUAUUUGCUUUCACAAUAACAUUUUAUUUGUGAAAGCAUUUUAUAUUUUUACAUUAUGAUGUUCUAACAAAUAAAUUGACUAUAUUUGGCCAACAGGGUUUAACCGAGUAAAAAAGUCCUUAUUUAUAAACUACUGGUUUCAUAUUUGAACUCUAUGACAUUCUCUUUACCCUUAAAGUUUAGACUAUCGCAUGUAUUAUAAAUAAAAAAAAACAAUUGGCUUAAUUUGAUAUAUUUCAUUUUAUGCUGGGUGCCGUUAUUAAGUUUUAUCCUUGUUUCUUGUUGAAAAAAAAUUGAUAAAAAAUAAGAAUUCCUAUAGCUAGCAACUUCUCCACCUUCCCUUCUUCGCAACUAGGGAUGCCAUUGCAAGGUCACCAUCUCAGAUUAAGUCCUCCUUUUAAAAUUGUGUUGUUAUUCAAAAUUGGAAUAUGCUGGUCAUUCUUGAUAUAAUCUGUUCCACAAAAAGAAAAAGAAAAAAGUUGAUAGCAUCUUUUACCACUUUGGCCACUUUUGAAGAUAUUCACCGACAAUUUCUCAAAAGCUAUUAAGCUGUACGUCCACAAUAUUAUUGCAUCCAACUUUGCAUAUACGACCCCAUCCCCAUGUGAGGCUACAAUAUUGUUAAAAAAAUAUGCUAACAUUGUCAUUCAGUAUGCUAACAUUGUCACUAUGUUUGCGAAUUGCAUAUUAUCUAGAACAUAAAGGCUUUGGUGUUUUGUAGAUCCUCAGGGAGCCAAACCCGUCUUUAUAAAAAUGGUCCUUAUGAUACUACUUUAACAACAAUAAAGUAUAAUAAACUAGGCCUUUGUAGUCACUGAACGAAUGUUUUGUCAUAUAUAUGACUAUUUAAAUGUAAUUACGGGAUUAAAACAUUAUAAUAAAUUGGAGUGAACCAUAACAUUAUAUAUGAUCCAAUCCUUUGCAUAUAUUUUUGUUCAAGACUUUGUUUUAGAAUGCUCUAUUACUAAUUUGGUACAGGUCUCUAAAAUCUAUGCCUUUAUGAGGCAACGUCUUUAUUUCUUUGGUUAUUCCAGUUUAGAAUAUUUGCACAAAUGAGAUGACUCCCAGCAUAAAGUCACAUUCAACCAAAAAGCAUGAAGUCACACACAAAAAGAAUACGGACAAUUGCUAAGUUUAUCUUGUAUCCUUAUUUUAUUGAUCCAACCCAAUUGAAAAAUUAAAAAGAUGAUAUAAUAUACUGUUCACUGCUUACAUCCAUGAGUAAAGUCCUCCAUUUGAAAUUGCGUGAUGAUAUAAAAUUGGAAUGAAAAAAGAAAAUCCUACAGCUAAAUUUGAUAUAUUUCCUUUUCAUUUUAUGCUGGGUGUUAAGUUUUCUUAUUUCUUGUUGAAAAGAAAAAUGAAAAGAAAUAAAUAAAUUCCACAGCUAGCCACUUAUCCACCUUCCCUUCUUCCCAUGUAGUGACAACAAGGGAGGCCUUCAAUCCAAAAUAAAGACAAGGGAUGCCAGAUCAGCAUCUCAGAUAAGUAUCCCAACCAAAACCAAUCAAAUAAUGACAUAUGUAUCUCUUUUUGUGUUUUGUUCUAUUUCUCUUUGAAUUAACUGCAUAGUUUCAUAAGCGUGUCCUCCUUUUGAAAUUGUGUAUUAUUCAAAAUUGGAAUUUGCUGAUCAUACUUGAUAUCAGCUAAAAAAGUUUCCAACAUCUUGUACCAUUUUUUUCCAGUGUGGGUCAUAACUUGAAGAAGCCCACCGACAAUUUCUCAAAAGCUAUUACCAUCCAACUUUGAAAAAUAAAAGUUUUCAAAAGUUACCCCAAACAACAGUCCUUGAAAGAGAGAGUUUUCCAAGGCUAAAGAUUACAAGGAUGUUAUUUACAGUCUCGACAACGACAAGCUUCAUAUUUGUUUACAAACCUGUAUUUUCAAGUUGUGCUAGCCUAGCUACUUGCAAAAAAUAUCCAGUUGGCACAUGCAUUAACGUGUGACAAGAAGUUAGUUAUAUUUGUAAAGUAAAAGAACGAAGUACAUAGCAUGUAAGUUGAUGCUAAAUAUUUGAUCAACAGAGUUAAACAUAAAACCACUGACAAUAUAACGUUGUUCACCAAAAAUUGCAUUUCGUUGAGGGUCAGUAGUGUAGGUUUCAAGAUACGAUUUAUUUUGUUAAAGAAUAUUCUGAUAUUCUAACAAUAAAAUUGGCUCAAUUUGAUAUGUUUCUCUCUCUUUUUUUGUUUCUGUUUUCCCUUUCAUUUGAUGCUUUGUUGUGCUAUUGCUAAGUUUAUCUUAGAGACCAGGGAUGCUUAGCAAGUUUCUUCACCUGCCCUUCUUCCCAUGUACUAACUAGGGAUACCAUGUCAGAAUCUUAGAUAAGAAUCCCAUGCUUUGUUGUGCUAUUGCUAAGUUUAUCUUAGAGACCAGGGAUGCUUAGCAAGUUUCUUCACCUGCCCUUCUUCCCAUGUACUAACUAGGGAUACCAUGUCAGAAUCUUAGAUAAGAAUCCCAACCCAAUCAAACUAUGACAUCUGUAAGUAUUCAAAAUUGGAAUUUGCAUUGUGAUAGUUGAGUGGAAGAAUCGAUUAAGGCUUGAGUGGAAGACAAACUUCAGUGGAGGAAAGUAAUUAAUUAGACCAUUAUUUGUUGGUUUGAUGAGAAAAGUUUGCUGGUGAUAGUCCAUAAUCUUUGUCCGACCAGAAAAUAAGAAAAGUUGUCUUGUACCAUUUCUGCCAGUGUGGGUCCCACCCACCCCAUGCGAGUAAUUUGAAGAAGUCCACCGACAAUUUCCCAAAAGCUUUGGCGUCCAACUUUGCCGACCCCAUCCCCAUGUGAGGCCAUAGAAAAGUUUUCAGCCACAAUCAAAUAAGGAACAGUCCUUGAAAAGAGAGGGUUUUCCAAGGCCAAGAUUACAAGUUCAUGUUAUUUACAGUCUCAAAAAGCUUCCAUACUUGUUUACAAACCUGUAUUUUCAAGUUGUGCUAGCCUAGCUAUUUGCAAAUCUUGGAAUAUUUUACUUCAUCCAAAUCCCUUGAAGUCUGCAGAGAAGAUAAAAGACAUGGCUUUGAUUGGAGAGGCUCUUAUCUCUGCUUCCGUCCAGGUGUUGUGCGACAGAAUUACUUCACCCGAGUUCGUUGACUUAUUUCGGCACAAGAAACUCGAUGAGCCACUCCUCAGGAAGCUGAGGACGACACUGUUGGCCUUGAACUUGGUGCUCAAUGAUGCAGAGGAGAAGCAACUUGUGAACCGAGAUGUGAAAAAGUGGCUUGACGAGCUCAAACAUGCUGUCUUUGAUGCGGAGGACUUACUGGAUGAGAUUGACACUGAAGCUUUGAGAUGCAAGCUGGAAGAAGGUGAAGAUCAAACUCACAAAUUUACCAAUAAGGUGCGGAACUUGCUCUUUUCUUCUCGUAGUCAUUUUUAUCAGAGCAUGAAUGAUAAGAUAAAAGAGUUACUAGCAAGGUUAGAAAACUUUGUACAACUGAAAAGUGCUCUUGGUCUGGGAGAAGUUGCUGGGAGGAAGGUUUCGCAAAGAACUCAAACAACCUCCUUGGUUCUUGAACCUUAUGUAUAUGGUAGAGAUGAAGUCAAAGAAAAGUUAUCAAAAGUUUUGCUAUCUGAUGAAGCAGGCAAGGAUCCUGUGUCUUUCCUCACCAUUGUUGGAAUGGGUGGGGUUGGCAAGACAACCCUUGCUCGAAUGCUUUACAAUGACGAUAAGGUGAAAGGGCAUUUUAAACUUAAAGCUUGGGCUUGUGUUUCAGACUACGAUGAUUAUAUUAAAAUUACUAAAACUCUCCUUGAGGCAGUCACUUCAAAGCCUUGUAACACGGCAAAUCUGAAUUUGCUUCAAGAAGAUCUAAGAGAGCAAUUGAAGGGAAGGAAAUUUUUAUUUGUGUUGGAUGACCUAUGGAAUGAGAAUAAUGAGGAUUUGAACUACCUUAGAGCUCUUUUUAUUACUUUAGGAACAAUGGGAAGUAAAGUCAUUGUAACAACACGGAGCAAAAAUGCAGCAUCUGUCAUGCAAAAUGUUCAUAUUCAAUACUUAGAACCAUUGUCGCAGGAGGACUGCUGGUUAUUACUUGCAAAACAUGCAUUUGGAAAUGUAAAGUGUAGUGCACAUUCAAACUUGGAAGAUAUUGGAAACCAAAUUGCACGCAAGUGCAAAGGGUUGCCUUUAGCUGCACAAACACUUGGGAGUUUGUUA